ACGACGCUGGGCAGAAAACAGAGGAGAAAGGAGAGGGGAGACAGCCGGCGGUUACAGGUUCACGCGGCGGCCUUGGCUUCGACGGACGGAAGGGAAGAGAGGGAGAUGAUCGGCGGCUGCGACAAAUAGAAGAAGAAAAAGGAAAGAGGUGGGCGGCUGCUAGGGUGAACGGAGAAGAAAGAGAUGGAGGACGCACGGAGGAAGAAGGAAGGGAAAAAUUCUUUUUCUUUUCUUUUAUUUAUUUUAAAUAAUAAAAACUAAAAUAUAAAUAAAUAUAUAUAUAAUUAUAUUAUCACAUUUUCAAAUCUUCUUUCUCCCCCUUCAACAUAUUUUCUUAAAAAAAUAAAUCUUGUACAAAUCGAAAAAUUUUCUUAAAAUAAAUUACCUUCGAGUUUGGGGCGUUACACAAGGACUUGAACAUAGGACCUUUUGGACCACCUGCUCUGAUACCAUAUUAAACCCCAAAUUCACCCAAAAGCUUAAGCUAGUGGUUGAAGGUAAAUUUAAUUAUAUAUUACCAAAGUAUGAGGUUUCAUCACAAUACCAAUUGGCAAUGAGAGGAGUAGCUCAUCUAUUUUAUAAGGAGUCUAAGUUUCCUUGGUUUUUCAAUUGUGGGAACAUGCCCCUUCAAGAUGGUGCCUCUUUGGUUUCACCUAUCUUGAACCAAAUAUCCGUUUAGGCUUAAUGAGCUCUAAUACCAUAUUGAAAGCAAUAUAUACGAAACCAAAGCUUACGUGAAAACGCAAGAAUCGAAAGAAAAGCAUUGUGUUUGUAGAGGCACAAUUGGUUGUUUAAUAUAUAUCACUAACACUAUUGCUGCAAUGAUCGAUCAUCUCGAUGGAUUACCCAUUUAAGAGUUGUUGACAAGAGUUGACACUCUAGAAUCAAAAGUUGUAAGAACUAGAUGUUGUAAUUUAUGUCCUAAAACUCGUUGUAAUCAUAAUCUAUUCAAUUAAGUCGUUAUUGAUACUAUAAUCUUAAAGCCAAUAAACUAAGGACCCGAGGUUAUUAUUAAGUAAACUUGAACUUUAUGUAGAGACAUAAAAGUUGAUCAAGUUUAAGUAUAGAGCCUAAAUAGUAUAGAUUGUACGAAUACAGUUAGGCACCUUAUUCCAGGACACAAUGAAUGCAGUCUGCUUUGUAUUUAGUAUAAACGAUGUGAUCCUAAAUCCUAGAGACAUGAAAGUAUGGACAUCCUAUGUAAAGAGUUUACAAAAGAAUAGAACCAUGAAAUAGUCACUUUUAAGUUAUAACACCGUUAACUUUGAAAAACUUACUAUUUCAUUGAUAGAUAUCAAAUAUAACUUAAUCUUAAUACUGGGCUAACUAUAAGCUUUUGUUCUCACCAGCAUGCUUGUUUAAGGCGUUGUUUAUCUAUGGCCACAUGCCCAAAUACCCCCAAAUCACCUUUUCUUUAUGUCUUGUAUUUAGUUUAGUCUAUUGCUUUCCUUUUUAUGUCAUAGACCUAGGGUGUGAGGUGUCACACAUUUUCAUUUGCAAACCUGUCAAAGCUCAAAAGUCUAAACUAUACUAUAGGAGAGACCCAAUAGUUGAAUCCCCAACCAUGUCUUAUCGUAUUCUUUAUAAUUAAAUUUUUAUUUGCAAUUGAAAGUCUUCAACGCAUUCUUUAAUGAUGUUUUUAAUGAUAUUCUCUCUCACAUUUUAUAAAACAAUUGUCGUGAGUUUGUUUGUGAUUUUCGAAUUUUACAUGCCUGACUUAUUGACUGAGCAAAACAAGUGUUCUACAAUUGUCCGUUCCAUGUUUGAAAGAUUGCGAUUGUGGUACGCAGAGUGUCACAAGUGUGCUUGUCCAAGGCAUUAUUUGCCUAUGGUCGUAUGCUCGUAUAUCCUCAAACCACUUUAUCUUUAUGCUUUGUACUUAGUUUAGUCAACUGCUUUCCUUUUGUUGUCACCGACCUAAGGUGCGUCGUUUCGCAAUUUUCAUAUGCAAUGUUGUCAAUGCUAAAAAAGUUUAAGAUGUAUUGUAGGGGAGGCAUGGUAGUUGAAUCCCCAACUAAGCCCUAUUGUGAUUUUUGCAAAUCUAAGCUUUCUUUGUAAUUGACAAUAUUCAAUUUUUUCUUUAAGGAUGUUAUCAAUGUUUUUCUUUAUCUCUCACGUUUUAUAAAACCAAUUUCUCUCAAAAGAUGAAGCGAGGCUACAUCGUACCACAAGUUUGUCCGCAACUUUCAAAUUUCACAAGGUUGCCUUGUUCAUCAAUUUAGAACAAGUGUUGCACAAUCGCCCGUCCCGUAUUCGAAAAGUUGCAUUUUGUGACAAGUGGUAUUAAAGCUUUGUUAGCUCCUUGGCUAAGCGAGAUGCAAUUAUGUCAACAAUGAAACAACUAUCAAAGUUGCAACCGGAGCGACUGACUGAGAUUGAAGAGGAAUUCUUGGAUAUGAAAGAAUUUCCAAACGAAGUAAGAUUUCUCUAGACCCAACUUGAGAUGUUUAAAGAAAAAGUCAGAGAAAUAGACGCAUUGAAUGCCUAAAUAGACAAACUACCCAUAAAUGAAUUGGUGCUGAGGGUUGUUUCGUUAGAACAUAAAACCACCAAAGUAGGUAGUUUUGAACGUGGAAGUAGCUCUUCAAGUUCUAUUGCACAAAUGGAAGAGCGUGUCGAAGAUUUUGACUUUUGACAAGCUCCAACAUAAUCAGUUAUAUUUCAAGAAAGAGAAAAGUGUUUUUGCUAAAUAGCGUAUCAAUUUUCUAGGUCACAUCAUCGAAUGUAGAAAGAUUUGAAUGGACGAACAUAAGUUGUAAGCUAUUAAGGAGUGGAGAGCCCCCACUUCCGUGAAAGAGUUACGUUUCAUCCUUCAAUAUAUUCUAAAAUAGGGUUCACCUACUAUCCUCUAGACUCAGUACCGGGAGAAAGAAAUAGAUGGAAAAAGAAAUGGGCUUGGUAAUUUUUUUCUAUGUAAAUAAGAAAAAGAAAUCCAAUUUGGUACAAGAGCCCAAAUUCAAUAGCCAGCCCAUCAAAUGAGGUCAACGACCCUAUUUAUAAGGAUUUUCCAUGCAAAAUUGCAUGUCCAUGGAAUACUAAAGCCCAACAACUCAAAGCUCUAUUUCUAAUAUGAAAUUCGAUGGCUAUAACACAUAUACUUGUCAGUUUCUCUCUCUUCUCCCAAUUCGAACAAUUCGACUUAUUCCAUCACACUGUUUUAAGUUUAUUCCAUAUGAGCUAGCAAGGGAACCUAAUGGACCUAUAUUGUAAUGCCCAAAAAAAAAAAAGGUAAAUAUAUAUAUAUAUAUAUAUAUAUUUUAUUUUUACUUUAAUAUUAAAAUUUCUUUAUUAUUUUUCUUUUCUUCUUUUCCUUUUCUUUUCUUUUCUCCCUUCUUCUUCCCGUGCGAUCGUGACUCCCAUCCAUCUUCUCCUUCUUUCCGCCGAUCUCUUCCUUCCAUUUUCUCCUUCCGCCGCAGCCCAGCAACCGCCGUAGCCCAGCAACCGCCACCCGAGACUUCUCUUCUUCCGUUUCUCUUUCUUUUUCACCAUACCCAGCCGCGAAGCAAGACCGUGCCGCUGCCAGUCCAGAUUUGCGUUGCAGUCGUCCCGCGCGCCGAAUUGCCGUCUCCAUCUCCGUUCGCGAAGCAAAACCGCCGCCGCUCGCCGAACCCAACCGCCACCCUCUCUUUUCUUCUUCAGAUCUAAACCGUCGCGCCCAUCCGCCUGUAACCGUCGUGCCUCUCCGCUCACAACCGUCGUGCCUCCCUCGCAAAGCAAAUCGUCGUCCAGAUCUGCCUCGCCGUGAACCAUUGGGCUCAUAUUUGGGUAAGAACAAGUUAUGGUUUUUGUUGGUUUCUUGGUUUUUGUUCGAUGCUGCCAUUGGAUUUAAUUGUUGGCGAAAUGCUUAAUUCUUGAAGGUACAUCUUGAUUCAGUGAGCGAAUCCUUGAUUUUCCAAAAGGUUGAAGUGGACUUGAUUUUCCACUUCUUGGGUAAGUUGUGGAAUUUACAUAUGGGGUAAUUUGAAUGGUUGAAAACUAUUUAGAAAGAUGUUGAUUUUUAUGAUUGAUUAUGUUUAGGAUUUGAUUCAUUGGAUUUAGUAGAUUGAAGAACUUGCAUAAAAGUGAGGUAAGGGAUUUUCUACUGGACUUACCUAAAGUUUUUGAGUUGUGUUGGACUGUAUGGAUGAUGAUUAAGAUGUACAUGUUUGAUUGCAGACUAAAUGUUUAGUGUAUGUUGUAUUUGACUGGAAACAUAUAUAUAUACAUUGAUGUGUGAAUUGAUGUGGAUUGCCGAAAGUAUACAUGUGAAUGACUGAAAUUAUGCUUCUGUGUACAUGAUGAUAUUAAUAGAUUGUGCUGUAUAAAGAUUGGAUGUGAACUAGUGAAUUUGUUUCAGUUGGAUGUGGAUUAUACUGAACUGUGGUUUGUGCUGGUGAACUGAGGGGUGUAUUGACUUGACUGUAUAGUGGAUUGACUGAUGUAUUAGCAUAUUAUUGACAGACAUAUGACUGUAGUAAAAUAAGUUGACUGUUAGGAUGUUGAAAGAAAGGACUUUGUGAUUUGAAGUAACUGAAAGAUGGGUUGAAUGGAAUGAGGGAUAAAUUGUUAGGUUGUAUUGGGAUGUUUACCUUGUAGGUGUCCCACGGGAUCACCAAUUUAUUUUGCACCUUCGGGAGUAUUUGACUGAUAUGUGUUUCUGCAGAACACUUGACUGAUAUGUACGUCCCUCGGCGUUAGACUGAUAUGUACGUCCCUCGGGGCGUUAGACUGAUAUGUACGUCCCUCGGGCGUCAGACUGAUAUGUACGUCCUUCGGGGCGUUAGACUGAGAUGUGUAUCCUACGGAUCACAAGACUGCGACUGUACAGGGUGUCCCAAUAGAACUUUAACAAUUUAUUUUCCCCUGACGAGACCAGUAGAGGCUCUCUUACUGAGUAUUUAAAAUACUCACCCUUCUUAUGUUUAAUUUUCAGGAAAAGGAAAUAAAGGUGGCAAACCGGCGAGGGGCAGGAAGGAAGCGUGAUUGCCAUAGGAAAUGUGUUAUUUUGCUUCCGCUUAUGAUUUCUUUUAAGGUUUAAGAUGUACUAAAAACUUAGUUUACAAACUUUUAUUUGUAAAUAGUGUUAUUUUUAAGUUUUCUUGAGUAUUUGAAAAUCAGGCCUGACAUAAUUUGUUUUUAAAUUGACUUACGUUUCAUUUUGUAUCAACCAAAGUCUUUUGUCAAAAAUUAACGACCUCGACUUACCCAGAAAAGUUGGGUCGUUACAGUUGGUAUCAGAGCCUAAGUUUUAGGUUCUGUAGACUGACUUACGAUGUAAGUCUAUGUUUUUGUGUUCCUAUGGCUAACGCGACCCUUCGUCUCUCGUCAGGUAUGCUUGAUGCUUAUAUGUAUGGUUUAUUUGCAUGACCUUGCCUAAAUUAAACUAGAUUGCAUGACGAUAAAGACUUGCUUAUGUUUAUGAUUAAGAUUUUGUUAAAGAGUGUUGUUGGUGGAUAAUAGGAAUUAUGCCGCCAAGGGAAGAAGUACGUAGAGGAGGUCGUAGAGGCCGAGUAGAGGAGCAGGAGGCCGAGGUAGAGGAGCAGGUCGUAAUCAGCCUACUGAGGGUCAAGCUGAACAGCGAAUUCCUGCUGCACCCGUGACUCACGUUGAGUUUGAUGCACUGUCUGCUCACAUGGAGCAGAGGUUUACAGAACUUAUGACAGCCAUAGCUCAAAACCAGCAGGCACCUGCGGUUCCACCUGCACCUGUAGUUUCCCCUGCACCAGCAGCCCCUCCUGCACAAGAAUUACCUAACCAACUUUCUGCUGAGGGACUUUCGGAAGUAUGACCCUCAGACGUUUGAUGGGUCACUGGAGGAUCCUACUAAAGCUGAAAUGUGGUUGUCCUCUGUGGAAACCAUAUUUAAUUACAUGAGAUGUCCCGAGGAGCACAGAGUUCAGUGUGCUGCUUUUCUACUGAGGGACAGAGCAUUAUCUGGUGGAGGACUACAAUGCGCAUGCUAGGUGGAGAUGUGAGGCAAAUUACCUGGGAUCAGUUUAAGAACUGCUUCUAUACCAAGUUUUUCUCGGCUAACCUUAGAGACGCCAAAGCCAGGAAUUCUUGGAGUUGAAGCAAGGAUAUAUGACAGUCGAGGAGUACGACCAGGAGUUGAUAUGCUGUCACGUUUUGCCCCUGAGCUUGUUAGUAAUGAGCAGGCUAGAGCUGAUAGUUCGUCAAGGGAUUGAAAGAUGAAAUUAGGGGUUUUGUGCGAGCACUAAAGCCCACUACCCAAGCUGAAGCACUGCGUCUGCAGUGGAUAUGAGUAUUGGAAGGAUGAAAGACAGCCAAGGAGCUUUAAUAAGGGAUCGUCGUCGGGUCAAAAGAGAAAAGUAGAGCAGAGAACUGUAGGAGUUCCUCAGAGGAACAUGAGACCAGGUGAUUCUUUUCGCAGUUUCCAGCAGAGUUCUGGCGGUGCAGGAGACACUACUCAAGAGAGCCAGUAUGUAAUACGUGCGGGAAACGCCACCUGGGUCGUUGUUUGAUGGGAACGAGAGUCUGUUAUAAGUGCAGCAAGGGACACAUGGCUGAUAGGUGUCCCUUGAGAUCUACUGGGGCUGGAUCGAGCAGUCAGGGAGAGAGACCUCCACAGCGGGGUACAAUCUUUGCCACUAAUAGAUCAGAGGCAGAGAAGGCCGGCACAGUAGUGACAGGUACAUUACCAGUAUUAGGGCAUUUUGCCUUGACCUUGUUUGACUCGGGAUCUUCUCAUUCAUUUAUUUCAUCGCUUUUUGUGACGCAUGCAUGCUUAGAGGUGGAACCCUUAGACUAUGUUUUGUCAGUGUCUACACCGUCUGGAGAAAUUAUGUUGUCUAAGGAAAAGAUUAAAGCAUGUGAAAUUGAGAUAGCUGGUCGUGUGCUGGACGUAACCUUUGUUGUAUUAGAUAUGCGUGACUUUGAUGUAAUUUUAGGUAUGGAUUGGCUAGCUACUAAUCAUGCUAGUAUUGAUUGUUCUCGUAAGGAAGUUGUGUUUAGUCCCCCUACUGCAUCUAGCUUUAAAUUCAAGGGAGUAGGAACAGUAGUACUGCCUAAAGUAAUCUCAGCUAUGAAAGCUAGUAAACUACUCAACCAGGGUACUUGGAGUAUUUUGGCAAGUGUGGUGGAUACUAGGGAAGGUGAGACUUCUUUAACUUCAGAACCUGUGGUAAGAGACUACCCAGAUGUAUUUCCAAAAGAUCUUCCAGGACUACCGCCACAUAGAGAGAUUGAUUUGCCAUUGAGUUGGAGCCAAACACUACUCCUAUUUCUAGAGCCCCUUAUAGGAUGGCUCCUGCUGAGUUGAAAGAACUGAAGUACAGUUACAGGAAUUGCUUGACAAAGGCUUUAUUCGACCUAGUGUGUCACCUUGGGUGCACCAGUAUUGUUGUGAAGAAGAAGGAUGGGUCGAUGCGUCUUUGCAUUGACUAUAGAGAGUUGAAUAAAGUAACAGUCAAGAACAGAUAUCCUUUACCCAGAAUCGAGAUUUGUUCGAUCAGUUACAGGAGCCACGGUGUUCUCUAAGAUUGACUUACGGUCAGGCACCAGUUGAGGAUUAGAGACGUGAUAUUCCUAAGACUGCUUUUCGUUCGAGGUAUGGACAUUAUGAAUUCAUAGUAAUGUCUUUUGGUUUGACUAAUGCACCUGCUGUAUUUAUGGAUUUGAUGAACAGGUGUUUAAGGAUUUCUUGGACACUUUUGUGAUAGUCUUCAUUAUGAUAUUUGGUUUAUUCCAAGACUGAAGCCGAACAUGAGAACACUUACAUAAGGUGUUAGAGACUCUUCGAGUCAAUAACUGUAUGCUAAGUUCUCAGAGUGCGAAUUUUGGUUGAAGCAGGUGGCUUUUCUUGGUCAUGUGGUUUCCAGUGAGGGAGUUUCUGUAGACCCUGCAAAGAUAGAAGCGGUUACCAGUUGGCCUCGACCCUCCACAGUUGUGAGGUUCGUAGUUUUCUGGGUUUAGCAGGUAUUACCGGAGGUUUGUGGAGGAUUUUCACGUUUGGCUACUCCUUUGACUCAGUUGACAAGGAAGGGAACUCCGUUUGUUUGAGUCCAGCUUGUGAGGAUAGUUUUCAGAACCUUAAGCAAAGGUUAGUUACUGCACCGUCCUUACUGUACCAGAUGGAUCUGAAGUUUUGUGAUUUACAGUGAUGCUUCCAAGAAAGGACUGGGUUGUGUUUUGAUGCAGAAAGGUAAGGUGGUUGCUUAUGCCUCGUCAGUUGAAGAGUCACGAGCAGAACUACCCACACAUGAUUUGGAGUUGGCAGCAGUGGUUUUUGCAUUGAAGAUAUGGAGACAUUACUUGUAUGGUGAAAAGAUACAAAUUCUUUACUGACCAUAAGAGCCUAAAGUACUUCUUCACUCAGAAGGAGUUGAAUAUGAGACAGCGAAGGUGGCUCGAGUUUGUAAAGAUUAUGACUGUGAGAUAUUAUACCAUCCUGUAAGGCGAAUGUGGUGGCAUGCUCUUAGUAGAAAAGUAUCACAUUCGCAGCACUCAUUACUAGUCAGGUACCAUUGCAUCGAGACUUGAGAGAGCUGAGAUUGCAGUGUCUGUGGGGAGACACCUCACAGCUAGCUCAAUUAACGGUGCAACCGACUCUGAGGCACAAGAUUGUUGAUGCUCAGAGUAAUGAUCCUUAUUUGAUGAGAGACGUCGCCUUGUUGAAACAGGGCAGACUGAUGAGUUCUUCAUAUCCUGAUGGUGGGUUGAUGUUUGAAGACGUUUAUGUGUGCCAGCGAAACAGUACAGUUAAUAUUGACUUACUAGAUGAAGCCCAUAAUUCCCCAUUUUCCAUGCAUCCUGGUAGCACGAAAAUGUAUCAGGAUUUAAAACGAUUUUAUGGUGCGAAUAUGAAAGGGAAGUGGCGAAUUUGUUAGUAAGUGUCUAGUAUGUCAGCAAGUUAAGGCACCUAGACAGCAGUUAUUACAACCUUAAGUGUGCCAGAGUGGAAGUGGAGAAUGUCGAUGGAUUUUAUUUCAGGGCUGCCUAAGACCCUGAAGGUUUCACAGUGAUUCUGGUUGUCAUAGACAGGCUUACAAAUCGGCACAUUUUGUACCAGGAAAAUCCACUAUACUGCUAGUAAGUGGGCAGAGUUGUAUUUAACUGAGAUUGUGAGACUGCAUGGAGUGCCUGUAUCGAUUGUUUCUGAUAGGGAUGCACGGUUUACUUCCAAAUUUGAAGGGACUUCAGACUGCUAUGGGUACGAGAUUGGAUUUCAGUACAGCCUUUCAUCCACAGACUGAUGUCAAACUGAACGUUUGAACCAAAUUUUAGAGAAUAUGCUACGAGCUUGUGUUUAGAGUUCCAGGUAGUUGGGACUCUCAUCUACAUUUGAUGGAGUUUGCUUAUAACAACAGUUUCCAGGCUAUCCAUGAGGCACCAUUUGAGGCUUUGUAUGGCCAAAUGUUGUAGAACCCCUGUUUGUUGGGGUGAGGUUGGUGAACAUAGGUUGAUGGGACCUGAAUUACGUCUACUAAUGAGGCUAUUCAAACGAUUAGGACGCGUAUGCAAACAGCGCAGAGUAGACAGAAAGUUAUGCAGAUGUACGACGAAAAGACCUAAGUUCGAUGUGGGAGAAAAGGUAUUCUUGAAGGUAGCACCUAUGAAGGGUUUAUGCGUUUGAGAAGAAAGGAAAGUUAAGUCCUCGUUUUGUUGGACCAUUUGAGGUCUUAGAGAGGGUUGGUGUUGUGGCGUAUCGCUUGGCGUUACCACCAUCUCUCUCUGCAGUUCAUAAUGUUUUCCAUGUUUCGAUGUUGAGGAAGUAUGUGGCCGAUACAUCUCAUGUAGUGGACUAUGAACCUUGGGAUUGACGAGCAUUUGAGCUAUGUUGAACAACCUGUGGAGAUUUGGCUAGAGAGGUAAAGAUGCUUCGUAAUAGAAGCAUUCCAUUAGUAAAGGUUUUGUGGCGAAUCAUCGAAUUGAAGAGGCACAUGGGAGCGAGAGGAAGAAAUGAGGACUCGUUAUCCAGAGUUAUUUCAGGAUUAGAACUUUCGAGGACGAAAGUUUCUUAAGAGGGAAGAAAAGUAAGCCCAAAAAAAAGGUAAAUAUAUAUAUAUAUAUAUAUAUAUAAUAUAUAUUUAUUUUUACUUUAGUAAAAAUUUCUUUAUUAUUUUUCUUUCUUCUUUUCCUUUUCUUUUCUUUUCUCCCUUCUUCUUCCCCGUGCGAUCGUGACUCCCAUCCAUCUUCUCCUUCUUUCCGCCGAUCUCUUCCUUCCAUUUUCUCCUUCCGCCGCAGCCCAGCAACCGCCGUAGCCCAGCAACCGCCACCCGAGACUUCUCUUCUUCCGUUUCUCUUUCUUUUUCACCAUACCCAGCCGCGAAGCAAGACCGUGCCGCUGCCAGUCCAGAUUUGCGUUGCAGUCGUGCGCGCGAAUUGCCGUCUCCAUCUCCGUUCGCGAAGCAAAACCGCCGCCGCUCGCCGAACCCAACCGCCACCCUCUCUUUUCUUCUUCAGAUCUAAACCGUCGCGCCCAUCCGCCUGUAACCGUCGUGCCUCUCCGCUCACAACCGUCGUGCCUCCCUCGCAAAGCAAAUCGUCGUCCAGAUCUGCCUCGCCGUGAACCAUUGGGCUCAUAUUUGGGUAAGAACAAGUUAUGGUUUUUGUUGGUUUCUUGGUUUUUGUUGGAUGCUGCCAUUGGAUUUAAUUGUUGGCGAAAUGCUUAAUUCUUGAAGGUACAUCUUGAUUCAGUGAGCGAAUCCUUGAUUUUCCAAAAGGUUGAAGUGGACUUGAUUUUCCACUUCUUGGGUAAGUUGUGGAAUUUACAUAUGGGGUAAUUUGAAUGGUUGAAACUAUUUAGAAAGAUGUUGAUUUUAUGAUUGAUUAUGUUUAGGAUUUGAUUCAUUGGAUUUAGUAGAUUGAAGAACUUGCAUAAAAGUGAGGUAAGGGAUUUUCUACUGGACUUACCUAAAGUUUUUGAGUUGUGUUGGACUGUAUGGAUGAUGAUUAAGAUGUACAUGUUUGAUUGCAGACUAAAUGUUUAGUGUAUGUUGUAUUUGACUGGAAACAUAUAUAUAUACAUUGAUGUGUGAAUUGAUGUGGAUUGCCGAAAGUAUACAUGUGAAUGACUGAAAUUAUGCUUCUGUGUACAUGAUGAUAUUAAUAGAUUGUGCUGUAUAAAGAUUGGAUGUGAACUAGUGAAUUUGUUUCAGUUGGAUGUGGAUUAUACUGAACUGUGGUUUGUGCUGGUGAACUGAGGGGUGUAUUGACUUGACUGUAUAGUGGAUUGACUGAUGUAUUAGCAUAUUAUUGACAGACAUAUGACUGUAGUAAAAUAAGUUGACUGUUAGGAUGUUGAAAGAAAGGACUUUGUGAUUUGAAGUAACUGAAAGAUGGGUUGAAUGGAAUGAGGGGAUAAAUUGUUAGGUUGUAUUGGGAUGUUUACCUUGUAGGUGUCCCACGGGAUCACCAAUUUAUUUUGCACCUUCGGGAGUAUUUGACUGAUAUGUGUUUCUGCAGAACACUUGACUGAUAUGUACGUCCCUCGGGGCGUUAGACUGAUAUGUACGUCCCUCGGGGCGUUAGACUGAUAUGUACGUCCCUCGGGGCGUCAGACUGAUAUGUACGUCCUUCGGGGCGUUAGACUGAGAUGUGUAUCCUACGGGAUCACAAGACUGCGACUGUACAGGGUGUCCCAAUAGAACUUUAACAAUUUAUUUUCCCCUGACGAGACCAGUAGAGGUCUCUUACUGAGUAUUUAAAAUACUCACCCUUCUUAUGUUUAAUUUUCAGGAAAAGGAAAUAAAGGUGGCAAACCGGCGAGGGGCAGGAAGGAAGCGUGAUUGCCAUAGGAAAUGUGUUAUUUUGCUUCCGCUUAUGAUUUCUUUUAAGGUUUAAGAUGUACUAAAAACUUAGUUUACAAACUUUUAUUUGUAAAUAGUGUUAUUUUUAAGUUUUCUUGAGUAUUUGAAAAUCAGGCCUGACAUAAUUUGUUUUUAAAUUGACUUACGUUUCAUUUUGUAUCAACCAAAGUCUUUUGUCAAAAAUUAACGACCUCGACUUACCCAGAAAAGUUGGGUCGUUACAUAUAUAUCAUUGACUCCAAUGAUUCAAGAUUAAUUGACAAAAUUCUUAUAGACUGAGUUAAUCAACAUUCGUUAACUAACGGGUCAUUCAUGUGUGUACUGGAACGAUUCAGAAUCACCUCGUUUGUACUAACUACAAAGCGGGCGGCAUCCACAAUUUCUCUGAAAAAAUCUGGGUUACUACAACGUCACCACGAUGUACAAUUUUCCUGAUAAGAUGGUACUUACGUUCGAUAUGUUUUCCCCGUUUACGGCUUUUAGGUUCUCUUGAAUUUGCAACUGCACCACUGUUGUGACAGUAUAAAGUGAUUGAUAGAUGCAUAUUUGGAACGACUUUCAGAUCUGUCAAGAAUUUUCUUAGCCAUAAUGCUUCUGUUGUUGCUUCAAAAGUUGCUAUGUAUUCUCCCUCCAUUGUGGAAUCAACUAUACAAGUUUGUUUUAUGCUUCUCCAAACUACUACUCUUCUAUUUAGAGUGAAUACUAAUCCUGAUGUAGACUUUCUAGCAUCUUGAUCAGUUUGAAAAUCAUAAUGAGUGUAUCCAGUAAGGAUCAAAUCUUUUGUACCAUACACAAGAAUGUAGUGUUUUGUUCUUCAAAGAUAUUUUAGAACAUUCUUAACGGUUGUCUAGUGAUCACGUCCAAGAUUGGACUGAUACCUACUGACCAUCCCUACUAAGUAGCAAAUGUCAGAUCUAGUACACAACAUUGCAUAUAUCAAACUUCCAACAGCGGAAGCAUAGGAAAAUUUUCUCAUAUCCUCAAUUUCUUGAGGUGUCUUAGGACAUUGUUCCUUUGACAAAUGAAUUUCGUAGAUGUAUAAUAGCAUACCCUUUUUGGAAUUCUACAUUUUAUAUCUAGACAACAUUUUGUCUAUAUAAGAUGCUUGAGACAUGGCUAGUGUUUUGUUCUUGCAGUUCUGUACAAUUUGGAUCUUAAGAACGUAUUGUGCAUUUCCCAGAACUUUCAUUUGAAAUUGCAUAGCUAGCCAUUUCUUGAUAUUAGUAUGAAAUCCUAUGUCCUUUUCAAAUAAGUAGAAUAUCAUCUACAUACAAGACUAAGAGUACUACAAUGGAAUUGACGACCUUUUUUGUAAGCAUAAGGUUCGUCAACCUUUUGUAUCAAAGCCAUAAGAUUUGAUCAUAGUAUCAAAUCUUAUAUUCCAGGAUCUAGAUGUUUGUUUUAAUCCAUAAAUGGAUUUUUGAAUCUUACAAACCUUUUGUUCUUGAUCUUGAUCUAUAAACCCCUAUAAUUGAGUAAUAUAGAUACUCUCUUCAAGAUUGUCAUUAAAAAAAAGUUGUCUUGACAUCCAUCUGCAAAAUUUCAUAAUCAUAAAACGUGGCGAUGCAUAAGACUAUUCUAAUUGACUUUAGCAUGGCAACGAUAGAGAAAGUUUCUUCAUAGUCUAUGUUAGAAAGAGACAUGCGCAGUGGAAAAAUGGAAUACAAAAUUCCCCUAAUUGCACCUAUUUAACUUGCAACCCUAAAUUAAAAGAAUUAUGAAAUAUUAUACCUUUGUAUCUAUUCGAAUAUGAAUGUCUAUACCUCUCACAAAAUUCCAAAAGUUUUUGAAACCAAAAUGUAACACCUUAAACUUAGGAUUUGGAAUUCGUAUCUCCAGCAUUCUCUGCAUCCCCUGCCACCUGGCAGCAUCAUCCUUACUAUUCUUAAAAACUUAUUAGAAUGAAAUUCCUCUUCCCAAAACAACACGAAAUCUUUCAGCAUGCUUUGCCUCACUCACAUGCAUCCUAGGAAAAUUUCCAAGAGGUCACCCAACAUAGAAUUUCUUCAAGCUAAGCACGCUUAACUUUGAAGUCCCUAUAAUCGAGCCACCGAAAAAAAAAGGUUCACAUUGUUGGUAUAGGUAUUAAGUUUUAAUUCUUUUCAGUCUUUCUUAACAUGACUUUCAUGUCCUCAAGGUGCACCUUGUCGGUAUACUUGUCGAUUUCUCUCUCUUCUCUCAAUUCGGACAAUUCGACUUAUUCCAUCACAGUGUUCUAAGUUUAUUCCAUAUGAACUAGCAGGGAAACCUAAUGGACUUAUAUAUCAUGGGCUCCAACGAUUCAAGAUUAACCAUGAUUAAUAAGUUAAUCCUUCACAUGUUAUUCGUAACCUCGAAUGGAUCAAAUUACUGUUUUAUCCUUGAGACUACAUCUUAUUUCUUAAGUCUCAUUGAUCCACUAUUGAACAAUUGGUUUAAGGUUCAACCUAUAAACUUAAUCCCUCUCGGGCUAAUGUGAGGGUGGGGCCCCUUGUUCAAGAUAUGGAUUUAGUGCUUAAGAGAACAACCUAUCUACUAACCCUAAAACAGGUAGAAGUGAAUUUUUUCUUGCAUCCUAUGUUCCCAGCCAUUCAUCUGAUCUUACCCUUGAAAUGAGAGGCUUAUUGGGAGAACGUUGAUGAGAUACCCUCACUUAUGCAAAUGUAAGGAUAAUCUCAUGUGAACAGGAGUCCAUAGUUAGCUUAGGAUUAAGAUUAAGCUACCUAAGUCAUCAAUAAACGAAAUAGUUAGUUCUAAACAGUAAACGGUGUUUAACGUAAAAGUGACUAUUUCAUGGAUCAGUCUUAUGUAAGUACUUUACAUAGGAUGCCCCCACUUUCAUGUCUCUACAUGAACAAUUUAGGAUCACCUCGUUUGUACUAAUUACAAAGCGGGUCACAUCUGUAGUUUCUCUAAAUAAGGCACUAUAGACUAUUGAGGCUAUAUACUCGAACUUGAUCCACAUUUAUGUCUCGACAUAAAGUUCAAAUGUAUUAAAAAAUAGCAUCAAGACUUAGUUUAUUGGAUUUAAGAUUAUAAUUUUUAAUUUUUCAAUAAUGAUUUUAUUGAACUGAAUAUGAUAACAAACUACGAGUUUUAGGACAUAAAAUCCCAACAUAUGUAUUUUUGCCUCUAAUAAUAAUGUUGAAAGAUGUUUAUUGAUGUUGUCUCUUUGAUUUGGAGUCGCCAUGUAGGAGUUUCUCUGAUUGUGAGUUUCGGAUAGUUUUUCGAUCACCAGUGCGUGGGAGACUAUUCGUCCUCAUAGUAGUAGGGUUGGCUGGUCGGGUUUACUAUGGGGUGGGGGAAAUAUUCCUAAGCACUCCUUUUGUGCUUGGUUGGCCAUCAGGGAUAGGUUGGGUACUAGAGGUAGGUUAAGUCUGUGGGAUAGGUCGAUUCCUUUAUCGUGUUUGCUUUGUGGAGGGAACUAUGAGUCUCGUGAUCAUUUGUUUUUUUCUUGUCAUUUUGGGUGGGAGAUUUGGUCGAGGAUCCUUUUGCUUAUGUCAUCUUCUCAUAGAACCGGUUAUUGGGGGGUUGAGUUAUCUUGGAUUUAUAAUCAGGGUAUUGGGAAGAGUGUGAGGAGAAAACUGUGGCGCCUUCUCUAGUGCUACAAUUUAUUUCAUUUGGCAAGAGCGAAAUCAUCGUCUUCAUGGAGGUGCUAUUCGGGAGCCUCUGGUUGUAUUCCAGCUCAUUCAGUCGUGUAUUAAAGCGCGUGCUGCUUCUUGGUCGGAUGGUGUUCAUGGUCUUAUUUAAUGUUCUUUUCGUUUGCUUGUCCCCGGGCUGUGGGGUUUCUCUUCUCUUUAUUAACUUUGUUGUCUUUCUCUCUUCUUCUUGUCCUUUUAAUGUUUGGAACACUAGUUGGUUUCUUUUGGUUUUAGUUAUUGUUCCUGAGAUGUGGGGUUGUUUUGGGUACUUAUGGGUUGUUUUGUCUAACUACUUGUUCUGUGAGUGUUGUUCGCUCUUUUGUCUUGACCUCAGGCUGUGGGUCCACAUUGUUGUUGUAUAAUAUUAUCAUUACCUUUUCAAAAAAAAAACAUCAAACUCAAUGCUAAGUUUGACUGCUCCCUUCGAAGUGACAACAAGCCUCGUUUUCGCCCUACUGUGGAUCGAGGAGGAUUCCUCCUCUUUUCAAAGCCCUCAAUCAAACUUGACGUUAUGUUUAAAACACUAAAAAUAAAUGGUCUAGUUUUGGUUAGGCCAAAAGCGAUGUUUUCCACCAAAAGCUCUAAUAGCUAGGGAACUCAACAUGUUCUACUUGACCUAACCGACUUGACUCUGCAUUUGUUAUGAGCUUUUUUUAAUGCAUAUUGCAUAUGUUUUUUUUAUAAUUGUUGAUUGUCUCACUUUUGUAUGGUAUGCAUUUACGAGCCUCUUUUCUUUCUUUGUUAUGAACUGCGGUAACUAGGCAUUGCUAGAACCGAUGGGGUAACAUUUCUAUGGUUCUACACAUAGUUUCUAAGUGUGAUUGCUCACCUCUAAUUUUCAAAACACUUAAUUUCUAAGCACAUACAAUGUUCACCUAGAAAAAAUUGAAAAUUGUUGUAGUUAAGAUCAAAACUAAUUAGUUAUGAAAUAAGACAUAAGAGAUUUGAUUUUAACAACCUUCCUGUUGUACUUGGGAUCCACUCUGGCUUUAUGCUGGAAAAUUGGUUUGGAGCUGAUCGUAAGCUUUCGGUUGCUCUUCUAUAACCUUUAGAUACUCUUCAAAGCUAUAAGCUUUGCUUCCUGACGAAGAAUCUUCUAAUAUUACAAUACAUAAGAAAAUUCUAUUUCAUAAACCCUGUAUCAUAAUUGAGGCUGAUAGAAUGAUUAUUCUAUAACCCUACCGAUAGUUUCAUUCUUAACAUUCAUAGACACGAUGCAUGGCAGCUAUCCAAUUCUAUUUCAUGUUCUCGAGAAUGGCUCGGUUUAACAAUAAUGUUAAUUUUGUUUUCUAUUUUAAAAUAAUAACGCUGCUUACUAAUCUUUUUUUUUUUUCAUUUGGCAUUCUACUUUUUCUACUUAGCUUUCUUUCCCUAGUGAUAACAAAUAACACGGGUGAUAAAAAACUUAAUCACUCACUAUACAUUAUACUAAUUCCCAAGUUAAAUUUAAACAUUUUAAAUUACAACCAAUAUAAAUAAAUCUCAUUACCCUUUACGAGCUAGGAAAGGGACCUAAUGGAUCUACAAAUCAAAAGCUACAACGAUCUAAGAUUAAUUGGCUAAACUCAUUAACCACAUUAAUCAAUAUUCGUUAGCUGUGUGUACACUCCAUUAAAGACUCACAACUGAACUCUUCUCACUAAAAAUAUAUGUCUGUGUCCACGGAUAUAGACCAAUAAUAGUAAGUUAGUCCUUCACGAGUGUUUGUAACACCAGUUGGAUCAAUUUACCGCUUUCCCCUAUUUACCUCUAAUCCUUAAAAACCAGUGCUCCUCUAAUGAACAACUUGUUUAUGGUCCUACUAAUAAACAAAAACCCCUCUCAUGUCAUAGAGAGGGUACGAACCCUUUGUCCAAGUUUUGGAGCCACCAUUUAAGCUAACAUUCAUCUACUUACCCUAAAGUAGGAAAUGAGUGAAUUCUAUUUUGUUUAAUUAUAAUCCCAACUCCCCACUCAGUCUUGUCCCCAAAAUCACUACUACAAAAAUAGGCUCUCUUGACGGUUGUAGUUUUCCUUUCUUGACGUUUUUAAAUAAAAAAACGUCAAGAAUUUUUAUGAAAGCCCAAUUUUCAACUUUCUUGACGUUUAUUAAACGUCAAGUAAGAUGUAUUUUUUCUUGACGUUUAAAAAACGUCAAGAAUGUUUAUGAAUCACAUCGACGUUUUUUAAACGUCAAAAUAUAUAGUUUUCCUCGACGUUUUAAAACGUCAAGAAAUUUAUAAAAAUUCUUAACGUUUUUAAAAUGUUGAGAUAAUUCUAAAAAGUUCUUGACAUUUUUAAAAACAUCAAGAAAUUUAUAAAAAAUUCUUGACGUUUUUAAAACGUCAAGAUAAUUCUAAAAAAUCAUUUGAUGUUUUUAAAAAACUUCAAAAAUUUUAAUUUGUUUUUGAGUCUUUAAAAACAUCAAGAAAUUUCUAAAAAAUUAUUGUGUGAAUAUUCUUUUACAAAACGCAACGUUUCAAUUAGAUCACUUCCCCUUUUCUUAAUUAAACCUAAUUCGCCGCGACUUUGUCCCUUCUCCACCCGAAAUCAAAAGCGUCGUUCACCUAACCUUCCCUUCGUCCAUUUGCGUUCAUCGUCCGUCAUCGUUCGUCUGCUUUGCGUUCCCUUCACCUUCGUUGAUUUGCGUCAGUCUGUUCACUGUUCGAAAUGUGUAAACACAUUCUCUGUUUGAAAACGAGUAAACACGUUCACCGUCCUUCUGUCGCAUUCCACUUUCGCUAAACCUCUAUUCGUUUCCAAAUCCUUCAUGGUUACUCAUUCAUUUUCUUCCCUUUCUAAAGGUAAUAAUUUUCCUUUUUUCCUUUGUGAUUAAAAUUUGUAAUUUGUUAUUUAAAAUUGGAAUGCAAAAUUAAAGAAGAGGAAAUAUGCCUUAGAGAAUGGAAGAAAGGUUUUGCAUUUUAGGCUUGAAAAGGGGGGAUACAAGUUAUUAUAAUUGUAAUAUAUAUAUAUUUUGAACAAGGCUACCAAGCGUGCAAAUAAUUCAUUGGUUAGUUUAGGGAUUGGAAAAAGAAGGAUUGUGGAGUUUGUGAUAAUAUUUUGGUACACUGGAGCUGGAAACAAAGAAUAUUAAAAAACACAUACUGUUAUACACAGUAUUAUAAUAAUACGAAUCACUAGCUAUUCUUCUUCGUUUUCUUUUUCUUCUCCUUGAAUUUUUGUUAUGGGUAUUGUAUUCCAUUUUGUGUUUUAGAUUGUGAAGUAUGGGGUAGCUAAACUCUUAAUCCUAUGGAUAGAUGUAGACAAAGUUUAUGAAUUAUUCUUUGUAAUGCAUCUGAUUAUUUGCUCUUCAUCUUUUCAUGUUUUUAUGUGAAUGACGUUCAUAAUAUCUUAAUCACAGAUUAAUUGUUGAUUGGCCAUGAACCUUAAUCUUUGCAUGACUAGAGUGGUUAUGAACUUGGAAAGAGAUAAUUAAGGAUCCUUGAGGAGGUUGUUGAAAGAAGUGGACCUAAAAACUUUUGUUUGUUAAUAAAAAGAAAAAUGAACAGAGAUUCAUCUUCGUCAUGGGUCUUGAUGUUUAAUUUAAUUUAAAUUGUGUAUGAAUUUUUAAUUACGAGAAUUUUAAUAUGUUGCAAGAGCACUAUAGCCAAGGUAUAGAGUGAGGGAGAUAAGGUUUAUAUGUCUUAGAGAAUGGAAAGAUGGAAUUUGUGCUAAAAUCAUUAGUGUUCCAAAUACAAUUAUGAAUUGGGUAUAGUUGCAUUCCCCCUUCUGGAUUGCAUAGCACAUAAAUAUACUCUCAUGGAUUGCAUAGCACAUAAAUAUACUGUCAAAAACAAUAACAUAAAACACAAACUUGAUUUAGUUUCAUUCACACUUGUACACCAACAUGUUUCAAGUAAUGAUCAUAUAUUUAUCAUUUUCAAAUUUGGUAAUAUAAAAUGGAAGAAGUGAGACCUUGAGGUUUUGACCACCAAUACUAUCUAACUGAUGAGUUUAUGAUUUUUGUUUCUAUUGUGUUCUUUCCUUAAGCUUUAACUUGUUUUAGGGGCAAGAUGGUGAAGGUCUAGUCCACAACCUUUCCCAAGAAUUUAAUGAUGUUUGGGUUGACCCAAUUAUUGUUAUUGGACAACAUUUUAUGGUAAUUGGUUGUUAUGGUUUUUAAGUGUGUUUUGAUAUCUUGUGUUAAAAAAUAAUUGCAAAAAGUCGGAAAGUUUGUUAAAGAUUAGGUGUUUUUAAGUUUGUCAUUCCACUUUAAUUCUCACCAGUACUUGCUGAAUGGAAGCCUCUUGUCUAAGACAAUUCGAGUGGAAUAACUCUUGUGACUACCACAACAUUUGGGAACUCACCAAAUGUAAGACAAUUCCUUCAUCCUAGCAUUUGAUCUCUCUCUAUAAUUUGGUUUGCUAUCAUAGGUUUCAUUAAAAUAAAUGCUGAUAAUUCAACUCCAAUGUUCUUAUUUUCUUAACUCUCAUUCAGUCAGUUAGAAUCAAAACUCAUUUAUUUAUCUUGUCUCCAUAAUUUGGAUUCAAAGAUUCAUCACAAUAAUCUUCUCAACAACAUUCUUGAAAAGGUAUUGAAUUUUCAACUGUGUGACCUUUAUACACAAAUUUCUUCAAAGAAAUUUACAUUCUUAGAGUUUAGAGCUUUGAAUUCUAGUACAACUUAUAAAGCUUUUGAUACUUGUUAGAAUUUUUUGCUUGGUGUGGAUAAAACCUUAUUUACAUUCUUUCUUUCCUGCAUGUUCUCUUUGAUAUUUGUUAGACUUUUUUGCUUGGUUGUCCUUAGUGUUUUCCUCUUUAGCUGAAUUUUUCUAUCUUGAAAAAAUAGAGCUUUAAAAUUCAACUUUAACUUUAUUUGAUACUAUCUUAGUCCAUACUUAUUUUGGUAUUUCUUUCCUUUCUCACAAACACAUCUAAGAGGUUGCCUUCACAAUAUGGCCAAAUUAACAAUAUGGCAACCUUUUUCAUUGCAAAACAUAUUAGAGGUUGGUUACUUAGUUAGCCUUAUUGGGUAAAUAAUUGACAUUUAGGUACUUUUUAGUUUGUAUAUUUAUAGAUGCCAAAUCGAUAUGUGAAUUUUAAUUGUUGCUUAUUUGAAACAUUGCAACCAUUUGAUAAAAUGUUGCUAUGUGAAUCCAUCUUAACUUGAUAUAUUAUUUUAUUUUGGUUUAGGUUGUGGAAUCCAAGUUUGUAUUUGAAGUCAAAUUCAUCCAAGAUCAUUGAGUUUCAAAGCUUCUUUAAUUAAGAUUUUGUUUCUUGAACUAGAAUUGUAGUCUUGUGAUUUUUGGAAUAGCAUAGUUGGAUUGGUUUUGUAAUUUUGGGAUUAUUAUUAGGUUUGACUGAAGUAGUGUUUUGUAUAUGACAAUAUCGAACAAACAUGUAAAGUUUUCGAAAUGUUCAUACAUAUAUGAUUAAAUGUUAAUAUAUGUUAAAGUUUUGGAAUUGUACUCGUGCAUAUUUAUGAGAUUGUUGGGCCACACUACAGAAUUAUAGAGACAAUACAGGAACAAAAAUAUAAAUAAAUUAUAAUUUAGAAAAAAAAUGAAACAAGCUUGACGUUUUUUAAAUGUCAUAAACAAAUACAUUCUUGACGGUUUUUCAAUGUCAUUAACAAGUAAAUUCUUGACGUUUUUUAAACGUCAUAAACAAUUGUGUUCUUGACCGUUUUUAAAUGUCAUAAAUUACAUUCUUGAUAGUUUUUAAAUGUCAUGAAUACUCAUUCACUUGACGAUUUUUAACUGUCAUGAAUAUUUGUAUACUUGACGUUUAUAAACUGUUAAGAAUCGCUAUUCUUGACGUUUUAUUAACCGUCAAGAACUUUGACUUUCUUGACGCUGGCUUCAACGACGGUUUUAAAACCGUCAAGAAUAGUGAUUCUUGACAGUUUAAAAACGUCAAGAGAGUCUUUUUUGUAGUAGUGAAUGAUAAGCUUAUUGAGUCGGCGAUCUAGCCACUCUCACUCGUACAAAUCAAAGGACAAUCUCUCGGAACAAGAGUUCAUAAUACACUCAAGAUUAAGACUAAGUUAUCUAGGUCAUCCUAGUGAAAUAGAAACCUAACUAGUUAAUGUAGUAACACCAAGUGGUUACUAUUUCACGGUCUGGUCUAUUGCAAUCUCAUUGCAUAGGAUACCUUCACUCGCAUGUCAACUACAUGAACACAUUGGAUCAUUGUAUUUGUAUCAAAUACAAGUGAGUCGUAUUCAUAAUGUUACCAGGAUAAAGGUACCCAGUCUUAUCCCUAUACUAUAGACCCUUUAAGCUGAUCUCGAACAUUGAUCCUGUAUGUCUCUACAUACUAUUCAAUACUUAUUAAACAGUUUAGGAUGUUAGUUUAUUGGAUUUGAGUUAUUAAGACAAAACUAAUAAUAUAAUCAAUAACAAUUAUUACAAUAAUAACACUUUAUUAACAAUGGUCAAUGGAUUAUAUUUACAAUCUACGAGUUUUAGGACAUAAAUUCCAACAAACUCCCACUUGGACUAAAACUCUAGUCUCUUUGGGAUGUUCAUAAUAAAGUAAUCCUCUAACAUUGAAAAUGGUAAAAUGUACAAGUGUAUUACAUAAAAUGUGUAUAUACAAAUACAAUAAACUAGGGCAUCCUCAUACCCAUUACACAUCUGCCACUUUUCCUAGAUUACCUAAUGUACAUAACUCGCAGAUCUAGACUUUCUAGAAGACCCUCGAACACUUUAGCCAUGAGAGUCUUUGUAAAUGGAUUAGUAAUAUGCCCCACUAUUAUCACAAUAUAAAGUGAUGGGGCAUGUUCAUGUUUGGAACAACUUCCAAAUUAUGCAAGAACUUCCUCAGCAAAACUGCUUCUUUUGCUGCUUCACAAGUAGCAAUAUACUCAACUUUCAUAAUAGAGUGUGUAAUGACGCGUGGCUCAGGCUGCUUGAUCAUGCCAGGACAUGCUUCUUGCAUGUCCCAAGCCUAAAUAACCUCUUUCGCUCAAAACACACGCUCAUCUCACCUUGUCAUCCUGGCAAUCAACCCACCCUUGGCCUUGCCUAGAAAUAUGAUUUUUCUACCAGAAACUUAACUCGACUUUGAAGCUUAAAUCAAUAAGAUUCCUUCUACAAACUUACUUAGAAUGUCUUCACUAGCUUACCACAAAGUGUCACUAACAAAUUCCAAGUAUUGAGUUAUGUAGCUCAAAAUACUCUACAUUGUUCAAGUUUUUUUUUUUUUUUUUUUAAAAUGACCUUUGAGUCUUUCUUCACUUCAAUGCCUUUCUUCCUGGUAGCCUUUCUCCUGAUACUACACUCAAUUUAGGAGAUUUUCGAAGUAGAGUUACCCAAUUAACACAAGUUGAUUGUUAACAUAAUUCGUCCAAAGUUGUACAUAUAGUGAUCCUUGCAUGCUCUUUGGUUGACACUUUUUUCUCACNNNNNNNNNNNNNNNNNNNNNNNNNNNNNNNNNNNNNNNNNNNNNNNNNNNNNNNNNNNNNNNNNNNNNNNNNNNNNNNNNNNNNNNNNNNNNNNNNNNNNNNNNNNNNNNNNNNNNNNNNNNNNNNNNNNNNNNNNNNNNNNNNNNNNNNNNNNNNNNNNNNNNNNNNNNNNNNNNNNNNNNNNNNNNNNNNNNNNNNNNNNNNNNNNNNNNNNNNNNNNNNNNNNNNNNNNNNNNNNNNNNNNNNNNNNNNNNNNNNNNNNNNNNNNNNNNNNNNNNNNNNNNNNNNNNNNNNNNNNNNNNNNNNNNNNNNNNNNNNNNNNNNNNNNNNNNNNNNNNNNNNNNNNNNNNNNNNNNNNNNNNNNNNNNNNNNNNNNNNNNNNNNNNNNNNNNNNNNNNNNNNNNNNNNNNNNNNNNNNNNNNNNNNNNNNNNNNNNNNNNNNNNNNNNNNNNNNNNNNNNNNNNNNNNNNNNNNNNNNNNNNNNNNNNNNNNNNNNNNNUCUUUCCUUUUGAAUCUAUAGGUUGUUCAAUGGUCUAAUAUUAACUAUGUUUAGAUUUAUGGUAAUUUUCAUUCUUUUACAGCCUUAAUAACCAAGGAAAUGUGUGCUUUGAUAAUCUUUUCUUUCUCUUCAGCAGGUUGGUAAUGUAGAAAGGAUACAUGUAUACUAUGCCCACGGACUAGAUAGCCCAACCUUUGUUCGCCGGUGUUAUUGGCUCCUAGAUAAGUAUGUUAUGGUUGAAAGAAAAUUGUUAAAUUGCUUGCUACCAGUUGUUUCAGUGGGGUCUAUCCCAUCAUGCCACAAGCAAAGAAAAAUGAAAUUAGACAGUGGCAGUAUAUCGUGUUCUACUUAUAUAAUUUAUGACUUGCUUCUGCUUUUUGUUCAGGACCUUUGAACACAUUGUCCUUGUUCAUUACCGUGAAACACAAGAGGUUAGGUUCAGCACAAUGCAUCUGCAGUUACUGAAAUAUUAUCUUGAGACAAACUUUUAUCAUUUGGACUACUACAUCUAUUUAAGAUUUGCUGAUUUUUCCUCCAUGGUUGCAAUAUUAGAACUUCAUCCAAAAUAAUGUUGUCAUGUGUGUCUUUAUGGUGAUUCAUGUGUUGAGAGUUCUCUUUCUUCUGCUAUCCAUAAAUUUAUGGAAUGGAAAGGCAAUGAUCAUGACACUAUUUUUUGUCAGAUAAACACUGGUUUCAUAUGCUUCAACUCUGUGGUGCUUCACAGCACACGGAUAAAACUUCCAAACAAUCUGCACCCAAUAUUACCAUAAUGCAUUUGGACACUUCAUUAACAACUUCUUACAAUUAGCCUUUCUAUAUUGAAAAUAAUUCGUUAUCUUAACUUCCUGUUGCUGCUAGUUUCAGAAUUUUCCAUCCACAUCGUUGAACUCAAAUUCUGGUUCUGUCUCUAACCCAUCAACUCCGUGGCUUUUAUCGGAGGAACUUGAUUCCAAGGCUACUCAUGUUUAUUCUCUUGGUGAAAAUGAAUUGUCAGGUGAUACUGGUCGAACCUGUCAAAAAUAAAUGAGUCAUAGUUUGUUUGAUCAUUCAUUUUCUAAUCUUUCUUCUUUAUAUUUAAUUAGUUGUUUAAUUUUCUUAAAAAAGAAUUCUGGUUUAUUUAUAGUAUAUUUGGUAGUAUGCAUGCCUCAGCUCCUUUAAUGCAUGUCUCUUACAGUAUAUUUGGUAGUCUUUUAUAAUGUUACACCAUUUUUUUUUAAUUCCUAAAACCUUUUAACUUUUCAAAUUUUCAUUCAUUCUUUUAGAAAAUUAUUUUCAUUAUUUUUUUAUGGUUACAAAACCAUCCAUUAACUACAUUAAUUAGACAAUUCACUCCAAUAAUAAAUAAAUAACUUUUUUGGAUCUAAGGUCUUUUCUCAUUCUACAAAUUUAAUUUACUAUAUAAAGGUUAUUAUGCUAAUUGAAAAAUAUAUUUCUCUCAAGUAUGCAAUAACAGAAAAUUAGGUUAUAAAUAAUAUAAAAAAAUUAGGUAUUAUAAUUUUUUUUUAAAAAAUUAUAUUUUUAUUUUUUAAUAAACCUUGCAUUUGGGGAUUCACAUGUUGUUACUUGUCGAACCAAAAAAGAUAAAUUCACGUGAAAACUCUUUAAAAACACAAUUCGUGGAAGGAAAAAAUUGAACUGUGCGUUGAGUUAUUUUGUUGUUGAAGAAGAUCAGUAAAAAACCCACAGCAUUAAAACUUCUUUUUGUUUCUUUAAGUAUAUUUUAGAUUGCAGCGUAUUUUCUAUUUGAGUUUAGUUAGGGUUUCUCUUGUUUAUUCCAAGAUAUGCAUGGAUAGUUCAUGUUCGACUAUUUGGAAAGAGGGAUUUUAUCUAGCACGGGUAUUAUAUUCUGGUUUUGGAAGUGUCGAGAUAAAUUAAGGACUUUUUUAAUCUUCUUCAAACAAACCUAUACGAAGGCGAAGAAUAAUUUGUGCUUGUAUUUUAGUCGGAAUAAGAAGAAACAUGAAGAGAAUGCCCACGAGGAAAUGACCAUGAGAAAAAGUUGUGUAUUCCUCCAUCCAUAAUUGAGCUCUCUAAUGUGUAUUCCUCCGUCCAUAACUGGCUUACUUUGGACUGUUUGGAUAGAAAAGAAGAAUCCUUCGAAGCCCUAGACUUGUCUCUACGCAUUCGAAAAUGGCAAGUUCUCUCUGAGGAUCUCUAACUUUGCCGUGUUCACCGUUCGUCCGUCGCAGUUCACCACGUCUGCGUUCACCGCGUUCACCACGUCCGAGUUUAUCUAAUAUAUUUUUCCAAAUCUUAAAGAAGAACUUUUGAUUUCAUUGGAGUUUAUCAUACGCUUUUUGAUUUAAAACAAAUCAAUGUUUUCCUUCAAUCAUACGCUUUUUGAUUUAAAACAAAUAAUUCGAAGCUUUCAUCCCACUUGUGAACAAUGACCGAAAAAAACCUUACUUCAUCCCACAUCGUCGCUGUCUUUAGCUCUCUCGCAAAUGCUCUCUGGCGACGUUCCCCCCUCUCUCGCAAGUACUCUUCACGACAUUUCCUCUCUCUCAAAAUUAAGCUCUCCGCCCACCAUUUGAAGGAACUCACCAAAUUUGCAAGUAAUUGAAGAAUUCGUGGUCCAUGAGAUAGAUUAAGUCCAUUUAUGAGUUAGUUUGAUUAUAUUAUGUCACAUAUACAUGUAUUACAAUUAAGGGACACUUGCAAAAAUGGCAAAAUAAGUUAUAAUAAUUAAGUUCAUAGAACACAUACCUUAUUAUUUGAGAAACUGACAAAAACAAAGACCAACUCACACAUCAAGAGGUAAAAUGUCACAAAUGCCCUCGUUAUUGAUGUACAUUUGAUACACCUUAUACACGUCUGAUACACCUAAUACCUCUUGAUACAUUAAGUCCAUUUAUGAGUUAGUUUGAUUAGAUUAUGUCACAUAUACAUGUAUUACAAUUAAGGGACACUUGCGAAAAUGGCAAAAUAAGUUAUAAUAAUUAAGUCCAUAGAACACAUACUUUAUUAUUUGAGAAAAUGACAAAAACAAAGACCAACUCACACAUCAAGAGGUAAAAUAUCACAAAUGUCCUCGUUAUUGAUGUAUAUUUGAUACACCUUAUACACGUCUGAUACACCUAAUACCCCUUGAUACACUUGAUACUUCUUACUGAUACACUUGAUACAUUUGAUAGAUACAAUUCAUGCACUCGGUACUCAUUGAUACACUCGAUACUUUUUGAUACAAACUUGAAACAUCUUCAUACACAUAAUACUUCUCGUUCCACAUAAUACUUCUCGUUACACUUGAUUCUUCUUGAUACACUUGAUACCCCUGAGACCUUGAUACACUUGAUUAGUUUGAUACACUUAAAGACUUUACUUAUAAGUUUGAUACACGUGAUACACCACUAAUAAACUUGUUAUACUUCAUUGGUACACUUAACAAAUUUGAUAUGUUUGAUGUACAUGCACUACAAGAAAUUUACCCUUUGUCGAUGACAAAUAAUCAACUUUUCUUUUGCCAACGAAAUUAAGCUGUCAACACACACCGUCACGUAGGUCUAUUGGAAGAUCCUCUAUCGAUGGCAAAAAAUAAACUGUCAGCAAAAAUAGGAACUAUUUUGAGAUAAGGUUUGUGCGUACACGUGUGUGCGUUUGUACAUGUGUGUGUGCUUAUGUGCGUGUGGAUAGGUGUGUGUGUGCAUGCGUGCACUUGUGCAUGUGUGUGUGCGUGGGUUCGUGCGUCUGUGGGUGUCUGUGUGUAGGUGUGCGUGUGCGCGCGUGCGUGUAAGUGUGCAUGUGUACGUGUGUGCGCAGUGCUUCUAUGCUUGUGUCCGAACAAGUUAAUAUUUUUUAAUGUUGAGUUUCUUCCAAUUUUAAAAUAAUAAUUUAAUUAUCUUGAUAUUUAAGGCAUUAAUGUUAUUUUGAGAUAAAGAUAGUGAACAGGUUGAUAUUUUUUAAUUUUGAAAUUCAAUUAAGGUUAUUUUAAUACAAAGUCUAUCAUUGAGACUCUCAAAUUCCGAAAAAUAAUAAUUUUGUUAUUUUGAAAUUCAAUUUUGUUAUUUUGAAAUUCAAAUUCAAUUAGGUUAUUUUGAAAUUAGUAUGAUUGAAUAAAGUUAUUAAUAUGUUGAAUUAAUUAGUUGAGUCUCGAGAUAUUAAGAAAAAUAUUAUGAUAUGAGUUGAUGUAUCUAUUUCAAGUAAAAGAUAAUUAAAAGCUGAGAAAUGCAUAACAUAAAUUAAUUACAAUGUAGAGACGAAAUAAUUACAGUUGAAGAAUGUUGAUAUUUUGGUAUUUUAUAAAAUACCAUGCACGUGCAAAAAAUGCUAGUUGCUAAAAUUCAACGGAAAAAGUAGUUUUGUCAUUUUUCAAAAUGACCCCUAAAAACGUUGUUAUGUCUCUUAUGACAAAGAGUGUAGAUCUACUGAUCCAUAUUCGAUUUGUUUUUUGUUGGUAAAAUUGGAUAAGACCGCAUUAUAUUGAAAUAAUUACACGAAUGACACUUUUAAGCCAAUAUUGAUAGAAAUUAUAUUUUAAUCAAUGUUAUUAAGUCAAAUGAACAUGGUUUAAAACUCUUUCUAAACAUAAUUAAUGUAUUUGUUUUUUAACUUUAAUUAAUUUACACAUCUUUGUGCGUGUGUGCAUAUGUGCGUGUGCGUGUGCGUGUGUGGAUGAGUGUGUGUGCGUGCGUGUGCGUGCGUUGUGCACGUGUGCGCGUGUGCUUGUGUGCGAACAAGUUAAUAUUUUUUAAUUUUGAAAUUCAAUUAAAGUUAUUUUUUAUACAAAAUCUAUCGUUGAGAUUCUCAAAUUUCGAAAAAUAAUAAUUUUGUUAUUUUGAAAUUGAAAUUUAAUUAGGUUAUUUUGAAAUUAGUAAGAUUGAAUAAAAUUAAAAUCUUGAAUCAAUUAAUUGAGUCCUGAGAUAUUAAGAAAAAAUGAUGUAUCUUUUUCAGGUAAAAAAUAAUUAAAAGUUGAUAAAUACAUAACAUAAAUUAAUUAUAACGUAGAAACGAAAUAAUUAUAGUUGGAGAAGGUGAAUAUUUUAGUAUUUUAUAAAAUACCAUGCACGCACAAAAAAUGUUGUUUGCUAAAAUUGAAAAGAAAAAGUAGUUUUGCCAUUUUCCAAAUUGACCCUAAAAACGUUGGAUUUUUGUGUAUUCCCUUGGGUUUUCUUGUUCAAUAUUUAGUCAAAUUGCAGUAUACCUAAAAUUUGUGUUUGUUACGUCACAAGAUUUCAUUCACUAUUUGUGUCUGUAUUAUUUUAUAUUUUAUAAGGAGACUCCGUUUGAGUGUUGAGCUAGUAAUGGGAGGGACUACCGUUGACCCCAAAAUUACAAGGUUUCAUGUUGCUUACUGGAUCAUUAAUGAUUCGUCUCUAUCUUUGGCUCAGCGAGUGGUGGAGUUGGAACCCCCUGAAAGUGUAGAGUUAGACUCUCUACCGUUGUCAAGAGCUGUUAAGUAUGCAAAAAUGGCCUUGAGAAAUCCUAUAAACUCUCUGAACAAGAGACAUUCUAGUGUAAGAAGAAAUGCUCAAGUCCCUUGAAGAAAUUGAGGACACAACUCCAAUUCCUAGCAUGCUUUCUCCCUAAGACUAUGUUGGUCCUAGUCGGGGAGUGGCAUUUACAUCCCAGAAAGACACACAUGUAUCACCUCGUGUUGGCACUUCCAUUGCAAUGCACAACUCUGACAUAUAUAGUGCCGACAUUUCCUUCCUUAAGCUUGAAAAAAGGUGAUUUGAUGUCCAUAAAAAAUUAACUGAGCAGUUAGAUAUUUUCUAAUACGUAUCUCACGUAAUUUGAUGCUCAUUGAUACUGCAUUACUGUGUCAGGAACGUGUUGAUGUAAAAUCUUUCAGUUUUGAUGGAUCUUAUUACAAGCUUUCAACUCUUCUUAGCACGACUUCUGACAGAACAAAGGUUUGAUAUAUCUUUACACGAUCACAUAUCACAUAUGAACGAUCGCAUAUCCCAUCUAAAAUAUCGAUCACCCUUGGUAAAACAACCGUUUAGAUAUUCUACACGAUUGUUUGCUUAAGGAUACACGAUCAUUUUGUAACUAUUUUUUUUUAUUAUCCUUUUUUCUUUCUAUACUAGAAUCAGAAUCAAUUGUUUGAUGAUAUUAACAACAUGUAUGAUGAUCUUCGUGAUGAUUCUAGUCAUCACAAUCUGGACAAGAAUGAUGACCAUCAAAAUAACAAACAUGUGAUCAUCCAUGAGAAUCCAUCUGUUCAAGAGUCACAUCUUCAAGAAUCUACUGUAGAAACUCAACAGUUAGUGUUUGUAAACUUACUGGUAUAGAAGUAGAUACGAUGGAUAAUGUAUUUGUAAACUGAGAAAGGUGUUAUGUAUAUAUAUAUAUCUUGACUGUCUGGUGUGUUGUUAUAGUAUCAACUGAUUUUGUGAUAGAUUGAAUAGAUUGAACGUAAGUGUGUUAAGUUGGAUUGAUGAUAUGAUGGAGUAGUUUGACUAUACUAGGAAUGGAUUGAUUAAAUGUUUAUAAUGGACUAAGGGAAAAUUGUUAGCUUUGUCGAUUGGGUAGUGUGCCUUGCAGGUGUCCUACAGGAUCACCACCUGUUGUGCAUUCUUCGAGAGCACUAGAAUGACAUGUGCAUUCUUCGAGAGCAAUAGACUGACAUGUGCAUUCUUCGAGAGCACUAGACUGACAUGUGCUUUCUGCAGAGCACUAGACUAAUAUUUGUGUCCUUUAGGGCAUUGGACUGAUUAUGUGUAUUCCUACAUGAUCACAAGACUUUUAAAGUGCAGGGCACCUCCAAUAGGAAGUUAACAAUUUUAUUUUUCUUCUAACAGGAUCAGUAGUGGGUCCCUUACUGGGUAUGUUUAUACUCACCCUUUUAUGUUUAAUCUUUUUCCGCGAAACUGCCAUAGGGAAAUGUCCUUCAAAUUGCUUCUACUUUAUAUUUUUUUUAUUUUGGUUUUCUUUAGUAAUUGAGACUGUUUUGGGUUUCAUGAUUGAACGACUUUUAUGUUCUUGAACUUUCUUUAUUAUCGAUACUUUUACACUUUCAAAAUUUUAUUUGAAAUAGAGCCCGAAUAAAAACUCUUUAAUGUUGUUAAAAAAUAUAUUUUUUUAAAUUAUAAAGUCUUAUGGUUAAAGGACGAAUCUAGUCUUAAAGUAAUAACUUCAGCUUAAUUCGAAAAAUUAGGUCGUUACAAUCUAUUUUGCAGAAAAGAAAAUCAUCGAUUUUAUUUUGGUUAAGAAAAGCUGUUUUUCUUCUACAUAUUUAUAACUCUCUUUCUUUCAUUGAGUAGGAGACGGGGUAGGAGAAAAUCAUAGGAUUCUAUUAACUUAAAAAAUAUUAAAUUAAUAGAAGUUUCAAAUCAACUAACUAAUUAACCAUUAAUCAAUUAGUUAAUAAUUAAUUAAAUCAUAUUUAAUUAAUAUUUCAUUUAAAUCUUAUUGAAUGAAUAUCUCUCCAAUACCUCAUAGUUUUAUAUUAAUUUAAUUAAAUCAAAUUUAAUUAAAUAAUAUUAAACUAAACUAUUAAUUAAUUCUUCAAUUAAUUAAUAACUAAAUUAAAUAUUUUAUAUUUAACUUAAGUUAAAUUUGAAUCAUAUUCAAAUAUAACUUUAUCUCAUAAUUAAUAGUUUUAAUAUGAAACAAAUCCACAUUAAAUUAAUAUUUGAACUCAUUCAAAUAUUUUAUCUCUCAUAAAUUAAUUUUGAACUUUAUCUAAAAUUAAAUUUAUAUAAUAAAGUUUCAUUAACAUAUAAACUUUAUAUUAUAAUGUAUCAUUAUAUAUUAUACUAAUUAUACUAAUUUCCAAAGUAAAUUUGAAUAUUUCAAAUUAGAACCAAUAUAAAUAAAUCACAUUAUCAUUUUGUAUCAUCCAUUACUUUCUAUUCAGUCAUACUAAUUGGAUCAACCUAAUACAUAAAACAAAUAUAGAAAAAUUAAAAAAAAAAAGCAUGCACAAAUAGAGACAAAUAGACAUUGAUAGCUAUCUCUAUCUAUCUCUUCUAUCGGAUGGACAAAAAUAGCAGUCUAUUUAUAUCUACCUGAGAUACAAACAUUAAAAAAAAAAAAAAAAAACCUUACCAAUAAAAUUCUUGACUUUUCAUGUUAUUCUAAAUGCAACACGUUCUCAGCCCAAGAAGUCAAACAACUCUUCAUUGUAAAAGUAGCUUUACUUCUUUCAUCAAACCACUUUUGCAAUACAUCUCUAAUUGAACUAAGCAUGGUAGCUACAGGUAGUUCUCUAAGAAGAAGAAGACCUUCUAAAAAAAAUCAACAGUUACAUGAGCAACUAAUGGAUGUAUAUUAGUUGCAUCUUUAGCAAAAGAUAAAUACCAAGCCACAUCAUUGUCUUUCUUUACUGGCACCACAGUUGGACCUUGCUUUUACCAAAAUCAAGUAAAACAGAUAAUUCUACUUAUCCAUCCAAUUGAAUCUGUUCACAUAUUAAAUCAACUAGAGAAUUAAAGCUGACUCGGACACCUACCAAAAUUUCAGCAACUAAGUAAUUCUCAUAAAUAUUACAUCCAUUCCAUUGACCUCCGUAAAAAACAACAAUAGGAAAAGACAUUAUAAUCUGUAAAAAAAAUAAAUAAAAUAAAAUUAAGUAUUUAAUUGUGAUAGAAAGAAAUAGAUAGACAUAGAUAUACAUUUAUUACUGAAUAAAAGAAUAAAAUGUACAAAAUGAUAAUACUAAACACAAUGCAAGAAUAAGUAAACGAUCGUGCAAUGAAAUAAUAUACAUUAAACGAUCCUAUUAACCGUGAUAAACGACCAUUUAACAACGGUAAAUGAUAAUAUUGAUUAAAAUAAAUUAUCGUGUUGACAUGGGUACACGAUCAUAUGAUAUUGGUGAUCGUAUUGAAUAGUGUAAACAAUCGUCUUGUUAUCGGUACACGAUCGUGUUAAUAUUUGUAAGUGAUUCUAUUGAUAGUGGUAACUGAUCCUGUAAUUCCAUGUAAAUUAUCGUCAAAAACUUUAAACUAUCGACCUUUAUAAUGAAGUACAUAAUUCUUACAUUAAUACUUAAAAUUUGUUGUAACGACCCAACUUUUCUAACUAAGUUGAAGUCAUUAAUUUUGACAAAGAGACCUUGAUUGACACAAAAUAUAGUAAAAUUCACUUGAAAUCAUACGAUCAAAGAAAACAAACUUAAGUUUGGGCCCUAUUUCAAAUAACCAAAACUUUAAAAGUACUAUUCACAAAACAACAGUUUGUAAACUCAGUUCCAUCACAAAAUUUUUAAACAACCUCAUGUACAAAGGAAAAACAAGAAACAUAAAGCGGAAGCAUUUGAAGGACCUUCCCUUAUGGCAAUCACGUCUCCUUCUUGUCCCUCGUCGGUCUACCUCAUUUGUUACCUUUGCCUGAAAUAGUUAAACAUGAAAGGAUGAGUAUAAACAUACCCAAUAAGAGACCCGCUAUUGGUCCCGUUAGGGGAAAAAGAAACUGUUAACUUCCUAUUGGGGUACCCUGCACAGUCACAGUCUUGUGAUCCCAUAGGAUACACAUAAUCAGUCUAACGCCUCAAAGGACGCAUAAAUCAGUCUAGUGUUUCGCAGAAACACAUAUUAGUCUAAUGCUCCCGAAGGAUGCACAUAUCAGUCUAGUGCUAUCGAAGGAUGAACAUAUCAGGUGGUGAUCCCGUAGGACACCUGCAAGGUAACUACCCAAUAGAAAUCUAACAAUUUUCCCCUCAAUCCAUUCUAAACAUCUUAACACUAAUUCAUAGUACAAUCCAGCUACUUCAACAUAUAAUCCUUUCACUUAACACCCUAAUAGUCAACCUAUCUCACUUUAGCCCAAUGUCCGCCAGUAACAUAUCAAUACAUCAGUCAAUCAAACUAUAUAGUCAUAACACCCCUCAAUUCAUCAGUACGCAACCAUACUUUAGUAUAACCUACACCCAAUCUAAACGACAAUCACAAGUUCACAUCCACAUUCCAUACAAACACAAUCUACAAUUGUCGUCCUGUCUACAUCCAUACAUAUAUAUAUGUAUUCCCAGACAAUCACAAUAUGCAUUCAACAUCAAGUCUACAUCAAUCCAUGUAUAUUUUUUUUUUCAGUCAUUCACAGCAUACAUUCAACACCAAGUCUACAUCCAUACAUAUAUAUAUCGUUUCAACAUCUUUACUCAAUCGGAGGUAACUAUACAGACAGCACAAUUCAAAACUAUAGGCAAGUCCAGUAGUAGAGAAUUCCUUACCUUAUAACCUUACUUAAGCUUCUUUUUCAAACUAAAGUGCAACGAACCGACCUAAACAUAAUUGAAGAGAAAUCAAUCACUUCCACAAACAAUUUAAUCCAUUCAAUUCACUCUAUAUGUAAAUUCCAUAACUUACCCAAAUUGUGGAGAAUCAAAUUCUAACGGAGACGGAUCGGUGCAACAAAUAACCAAACAAUUCAGAUCUAAACAUACAUGGCGUGACGGAACCGGAGUGACUCGGGCUAACGGUGAUGCGACGAUAGGACAAAAUUUGCUUGACGUUCGGUGUAGGUGGAAGACGGUGGUGAAGUUGAUUGGAGAAGGAAAAGAGAAGGAAGAAAAGAGAUGGUGGUGUGGCCGUAGGUUGAAGAGGAAGAGAAAGGAAGAAGAUGAAUAGGAAAAGAGAAAAAAUAAGAUUAAAUAUUAUAAAUAUAUAUAUGAAAUAAAAAAAUAAAAGUAGAAUAACGAUGAAAUUUUGAAAAAUGAAAAUUUGGAUAAAGUAAAAUUUGAAAAUAAAGAUUUGAUACAAAUCCAAUAUUUGGAGAAAAAAAAGUGUGUUAAGAUAAUGUAGGAGAAAAUCAAUAUUUAUGCUAAAAUUUUGCAUAUUUCAAAAUUAGUUACAGUUUAACUAAAAAGCAGGCGAGGGGAUUUUAGGGUUAAUGAAAAUUCAAAACACGUGAAAUGCUCAUGUUUGCUAUUCUUCUAAUAAAAUUUUGCUAUUUUCUCAAAUGAGUGUAAUCCAACAAAAUGAAGUUGUGUGUGUGUGAACAAAAAUGAGGUAAAUAGCUUUGAUGAUGAUGGCAAAUGGGUAAAGAAAAUCUUAUCUUAUUCUUCACUUUUCAUUUAAUUGACAAAAAGUAACCAACCAUAUGAAGGGAAAAACAAAAUGCUCUCUCAGUUACUUUACUCAUUUCUUUGUUCUUUGUGUGGGAGAUAUUUGAAAUGGAGAUGAAGAUCAAAAUGAAAGAGAGAUUAUGCAUACACUGUGAGAAGCACACAGAAAAAUUGAAAAUAAAUUGAAAAGAAGAGAGAGAUAAGUCUGAGGGAGAAAUAUUCAUUUCCUUUUCAAAGUGAAUUGCAAAGAAAUUUUCUCAAUUUGAAAAGAAAGGAGAAAUAUACAAAGUCAGCCACCGCUUCUUCUCCCUUCAGUUAGCAGUUUUCGUCUCCCUCUCUUCUAUUAUUAAAAUAAAUAAAUAAAAUAUCACAACCCGACUUAACACAAACUAUUUACUCCAACUUUUUCAACUACAAAUUUAAUUUCUCAACUUUUAAACUAUUUUAAACUUACAAAUCUACUUUAUUCAUUUCUUCAGAUUUAUAUCUAUUAAAUAAAAAAAAAUCAAAAUUUAUAGACACUUAAAACAUAAAAUUGAAAGACCUAUUAAACAAUUGAAAGGUUUAAGAGGUAACUAGACAAACUUUAAAAGUUCUAAGGGAAAGAAUCUUUUGUUUAACUAUUACAGUAAUUAAUUUUGAAAAUAUGUUAUUUUAGUAAGUUCAAGAUCAAAGACAAGCUAAACAAUAAAAUGUUGCGACAAGAAAACAAUCUAAUCAUAAUUAGAAACAUGGAUGUAUGUAUUUGUACACCAAAUCACAAAAAAUAACUCCAGAUUUCGAUAUAGAGACAAUUAAAAACUUGAACAAAUUUGAUAAUUAAAGAAACACGGAGAUGGCCAUAUGACCCCUUGUGCAUAGACUUUUUACAUUACAUGCUCAAUUCCUAGGAUCAAAACAAACAUAAAUAUUAAAGACUUAAGAAGCACAUACACUCAAGUUUGGCUAGUGUAUCAAUAAACAAUAUGUAUGGAACACUCGGAGAACACGUGUUGAACACUAGUUAGUACAGUAGAUGUGUUAGACAACAAGUAUUCCAAUGUAAUAAAGGUCAAGAUUGGUCACACACACAUAUUAAACUCUUGGCUUUGAAUAAGUUUUGAGUGAAGGACAAGCUUAUUUUUAAGCAUAUAAAUACAUAAACUUAUUGACUUUGAAUUUCUAUAUAAAUAUGAUACAUACUUUUUAAAUUAUAUAUAUUAAAACUGUGUUCUAGCGCUAUCCUAUAUUUUUUAGAAAAAAAUGGCACGUCACCAUGUCUAUGAUUUAUUGACCCAUGUCUAGAAUUCAUAUACGUGCUUGUUUGUUGAGAACUUCACAUCUUCAUUAGAUGGGAGGAUAGCCAUAUUAUAGUGGUUGUAUAUGUAAUAUAGAGAACCAAACCUAGUACUCGAGAUUUGUAUAAUAACAGAGAACUUACAUUUCCACCGGCUGACUUGAGUAUCAAGGAUAGAGUUUUAGGUGGUGGUUGAGCGUGAGCUGAUAUGCAAACAUUAUACCCUUCAAAUAAAGCUCCAGGACAUGCUUUUGCCCUGAGAACUGUAGCUUUUAGGCUGGCUCGAUACUUCGAUAUGUAGUCAUCAUCAUUUAGUAUGUAAGGCAACUCGUCUACAGAUCAAUAAGGAAUUAAUCAAUCACAAAAAUUAGGUAGGAUGAAAAACAUAAGUGGAAGAAAAUACAUUACGCUUUGAUACUAGCAAGCCAUUCGAACUUACCAACAAAUCUACCUUCCCGGUAGCUUUCCUUUAACCAACUGGAGGAGAAAAUCCAAGCUCUGAGUAAUUUGCAAUUAACUUGCAAUUUUAGUAACAAGAUAUAGUAAAAAUUAUGAGCAAGAGCACACUGACACGCUUGAAGCCACAUGGUAAUGCAUAUGCUCGAUAAUCAUUGAGAACAUUAACAGGAGAAAAUAAAGUUAAGAACAGUAGCGUGAAGAACAAAAAACAUUCUACAACAUAAAAUCUUCAAAAACACAUUGCUUAAAAUCAAGUUUACUAAUAUAAAAGGUAAGAUAUUACGUUCCACUCUCCACACUACUGAAGUUCAACAUUUCACAUGAAAGAAAUGAAAUACUACUCUCAAAUAUAACUGAAAAAAGCAUAAAUGGGUAAAGAAAAAGCAUAGAGAAAUGCAAAAGAAUCCUUGGCUUUGAUAUAUUGAAAGGUAAAGAAUAUCAACCAUAGAUGCCCGGGAGAAGAACUCCUACAAAUACACACUUAACGCAGAUUAUCAUUCGCUAACAUGAGACCUUCUAGAGGAAUUCUAUUAGGAUACUUCCUAACAAGAACAAGAUCUUAAUUUAUUAUAAUGAAGUAUAAGAAAAUACAAGAUAAAACCAAGUAUAAGGCACUUGGAACCUCCCUCUUGAGUACUCUCACCCAAGCCCUAGAUCACUCCCCAGAAUUCUCCCCUCACUUACCCUCCCUCAAUUUAUAAUAAGAUGUAACCACACUUACAUAAUAACUACUAGUAACUUUCUAAAUAUCUAAUUACCCUUAUACCCCUAACCUUAUACUAAUCUAGGUAUCUAACAUUACCCGAUCCUUCAAAACACCUUGUCCUCAAGGUGUGCUUACAAACAUGAUCAAGGCCCCUUUCUCUUUUUUUCUCUUUUUAAUUGCAAACAAUCCCCAGCAUUCUGCUCUUCAAUGUUGAAAAAGAAAUCCUCCCCUUCGGCUUUGAAAAACUCUCGAUUCCAAUAAGGUCCAUUGACUUCAGCCCACAAAGCAGCCCAAUGUACUUGAAUUUUCCUUUUCCAAAACACAUUGUCUUAGUUAACCCUUUGCAUAUCACCAACAAGUGUUUAAUUUUCAAACUCUUCAUCUCUAUUGGGCUAGGCCAUAAUCAAAGUGUUGCGUCAAGACCAAAAUCAUACUGCCGCCGGUUUCAUUCCUAGGACCCACCUACAUACACGUUUUUCUUCCCUCCUAUUUUUGGAACUCUCCACCCAUUUCAUCUACAAAAUGAUGUGCCCCCAAUGUUUUAUUUAGAAUAAGUUGAAGCUUAUUUAGAGUAAGUUGAAGCCCACUUGAAAUAGUAAAACCCAAGAUUGUUACUUUUGUCUUAAUCCUCUUUCCUACCAAUUUCUACCACGUCAUUGGCACCAUCAUGUGUGCAACAACUUCUUCCUCGUCACGUGAUUCACCCCUAUUCCAGACCACCUUCUCGAGCCUCUGUAGACCGGCAACUGUCGGCUUCUUCUUUCUCCAUUGCAACCAGCCAUUUUGUGUUUCUUUGAGCAACAAAUUUUUCUUCACUCGAGUCUUCAUUUCGAGCCUCACAGGUAAUCCUCGUCGACCUUCCUCUAUAGUUUCUUCUUGGUCACUCUUUGCCAUCCUCUUCACCUUCGUUGUAUAACCGUUGCAAUCAUGUUUUCCUCGAUUCUUCUAUGGAUUUAGCAACUUCUUGGAAUCCAUCGAUUUAUGGACCUGAAGAUUCCAAUCCGUUCUAAAUAAACACAAUCCAGAUCAGUGCCACUGAACACAGGCAUUUCAACCUUCUUGAAUUUGCUAUGAUCGUUCGAGUUUUCAUCCAUUUCAAACUUGUUUGUUUUACCUUCUACCUUGAUUUCCUUCAAUGUCUUACCUCCACCUUCGAUGAUACUCUCAAUCGUUUGUCCUUUGCUCGAUGAUCCUUCCAUUCUUCCGGAGAUUGUCGAAUUAUCCUUCUGCUAUUCAUUUGAUGCAUUUAGCAACCGUUCUUGUUUUUCCAACUAGAUGACUAGUCUUUCGAUGCUUUUUGGCAAGCAUAACAAGUUUUCUUCAAUUGCCAGCAACUUGUGUAACUGAACUUGUAUCCCUGAGAUUUCCUUAUCAGAGGUCUCCAACUUCUCUUCGAUCCGUUUUUGUGCUGCUCUAUCGUUCUCCCAAGUAAAAUCGCUUUGAUACCAAUUUGUUAAGAUACUGUAAAUAUACGGCAAGUGCAUCUUACUUUAUCGAAUUACCUCAACGAAUUACAGUAUAGAGAAUAAAAAAUCACUCACAUCUACUUCCUAAAGGCACACUCCAGUGAGGAUCACAACAAAGAACAAGAAAAACUAAGAACAAACUGCAACCAUGAAAAUGACCAAAACAAACAAUAAAAAGAACUUGACUUGGACCCUCUACUUCUCCCGAGCAUGAAAGACGGCAGCCUCUACUUCUUUGGAAUAUUUUGUCCCCUUUCUCCCUCCUCUUUCCUCCCUUUUAUUUUGCUUUACUAACAAACUAAUGGGAAAGAUCUCCUCCAAUAUUCUCUCCUCCUAUAAUCUCUCCUAUAUUCUCGUGUGGGUCAAUAUUACCCUUUUUAAUUCUUCUACUGUAUUUAAAUAAUAUUGGAGACAUAUGCUUCCUAACAAGAACAAGAUCUGAAUUUAUUAUAAUGUAACUAUAAGAAAAUACAAGAUAAAACCAAGUAUAAAGCAUUGGAACCCUCCCUCUUGAGUACUCUCACCCAAGCCUUAUAUCACUCCCCAGAAUUCUCCCCACUUACCCUCCCUCCAUUUAUAAUAACAUGUAACCAGCCUAGUUACCACACUUAAAUAAUAACUACUAGUAACCACACUUACACAAUAACUCUAAUUACCCUUAUACCCCAACCCUAUACUAAUCUAGGUAUCUAACAAAUUCCAUAACAUAAUGUAUUAGGGGAAGAAGGAAAUCGAGGAUAAAAACACUAGCUAGCCAACAAAUAUCUUUCAUUAGUGAGCUUGAGCCAUUUUACACGUAAAAUGGGAAAAGUAAGCCUGAAACCCAAAUUAGCCUAAUGGUUGUCUUAACAACCACUACCCACCAUCAUGAUAGAAACAACUGAAAAGGAAGAGCAUGAUACAAUCCAACUCAAAUAUAAGAAUUGAUUUUGAUGUUUAACUAAAAGUAAACAGGCAGUAGAAUAAGAAACUAUGCCCUUUUAGAUCUAGAAGGUUCACAACAAUUUCCAGCCUAAACACAACUACGAGCCAAUGGAAGAAUAACGGCAAAGGCCUUGUGUGCAUGGAAUCGCUAACUUUGGUGCAAAUGAGAUGAUUAUCGGUAUUCAAAGGCCAAAAGGACACAUAGAAGAGUGUUCGUCUAAGGUUGGAAGACUAACCCUGAAAAGAGAGCAAUACAAAAAUUUAGAGUUUUCCGCACUUUUCCUGUAAUGACAUGAGUGCUUGUACUCCCAUAAGCAGUGAGAGAACCACCAAGCUCCUCAAUCAUCUAAAUCAGAAAACAAAUGCACAUUAGAGCAGUCACAAUUUGGAAUAAAUAGAACUUUUUAUUGUUAGAAUCUUAGAAUAUUUACGAAAAGUUUAUGGGAAUAUUUUUCUUAAUUCCUAAAUAUUUUCCUUUUUUAUUCCUCUGUAUAUUCUAUUUAUUCUCCCUUGUACCUAUUGUAUUUUUCAUCAGAAAAUAAUAAGAAGAAAAAUAUAGUGGUUUUUCUCCUGGUACACAGGUUUCCACGUAAAGUUGUGUGUUUGUUUGUCUCCCUUUCAAUAUGGUAUCCGAGCAGGUGGUCCAAGAAGGUCUUGUCUUCAAGCCUCGCAUUGUCGUUUCCUCCCCAAUUAAAAUCCAUUUCCAGUUGUUGGGCCUUUCAAAUAUUUCAAGCCCACAAGUGAGGAGAGUGUUGGUGAUAUAUAAUUGAAUUUUCUUUCUUUUUUUAAAAAAGGAUACGAGUCUCACUAUUAUUAAUAUAAAGAAAGAGACAAAGCUCAAUGUACAUGAGGAUUAUACAAAGAGCAAAAGGGGAGAGGGAAGAUCAAUAGGCGCAUCCGGGCAUCUCAAACUAGGUUGACACCCCCUUAGUGCCCUCAAAACAUCCAAAAAGCGACAACACAAGAUCAAAACAAAAAGCCACAAAAACAAAGACAAACAAAAUGAUAAAAAGAAUCUUUCCAAAGCAAAAUCAUAAUCAAAGGCAGCAUGCUGAGAACAAAGAAGAAUAAGCCUUGAUUGGUUGAGCAAAAACUAUUUGAAGAAGAAGGCUGAUCCGAAAGUCCUGAUCAUCAAAGACUUCAAAGUGGGGAUGCUGUAAAGGCUGGCCAAUAUAACACAAUAUCCUACGUCGAAGAUCUUCUUUUGCAUUACAUUUUCUAAAAUUUCCAAUCCACUCUGUUAAAGGCCUUUUCAAGGUCUAAUCUAAUGAUCCAUCUUUUCUUUUUUCAGAUACUAUAUACCUCCACAGUUUCUUUUGCUAUUAAAAUAGGAUCCAAGAUUUGGCACUCUUCCAGAAAGCCACAUUGUAAUGGAGAAGUAUGUUAGGAUUCUAACAAUAAAACACAAAAUAUCCUAACCAAAUGGCUAAACAGAGGCAAGCACCCUGUAAUUCUUUAUUUAUGUAAAAGCCAAAACACAGUCAACAGUAGUAGAUAUGAAAAAUAAAGGAAGAACAACAUAGAAAACUUACCCAGCUCCUUUAUACGGGGCUGGAUACCCUCAGGCUACAGCAGCCUUUACUCUCCUUGAAAUAACCAAAAAACACCUAGCCUCCCCUACCCCAACAUUACAUAUUUAUACCUCUCUCUCUCAUCCCUCCUGGUGGGCCCCACCUGCAGGAUCCUCUCCCAUUAUUCUCUCAUCAUUGGUUGCUAAGGAAUUUCCCAUUCUAACCUUCCUUUCAUAGGUAUAGAUAAUAGGAGGUCUUACAAAGAAAUACCUGGCCUGACUUUCUUUAAUCUUUCUGCGAGAACCUUUCCAAACAACUUAUAAAUUAAUGUUGAAACAACUUAUAAGCCACACUGUAAUGACCUUCCUUCUCUUGACCGAACUUCAAUAAUCGACAACUUAUAUUUAUCCACAUAAUCAGCAAAACUCUUAAUCUGCCACUAGCUUCAAACAAAGACCCAACCAAUUCCUUUUGAACUCCAUAGUGCCUUUAUAAUACAACUGGCAAUCUCUUCUCUUUUGGUCUCCGGAAUCAAUGCUCUAUCUGGAUUAGCUUUCUUCAAAAGAUUUUUAAUAGCCAAUUGUUUCGAAUGGCCCAUGAAUCCUCUAGUGUUCCAUGAUAUAAUCUCCAUCUUUGCUACCUCUGCCUUAUAUCAAUUCAGUUUCACAUGCUGCCAAGAAAGGAACCAACUCUUGAGAGGGAAGGAUACUUGCUGAUCUACACAAAAUUUCUUUUUAUGGGGAGGAAAACAAUUUAAUAAAAAUUGAAUCGAGAGAGGCACUGUCCUCUUGUUUCUCUGUCUCUGAUUGAAUUAUUUCUUCCUCAACUGGUUCAAAUUCUGCACUACUUACACUGGUGACUGAUUCAACUUCCAUGAAUUCAUCUUCUAGGUUCUUAACUUUUUUGAGACAAGAAGUAUCUUGCACAAAAUUAAAGAAUGAACCAAAAAGUUUGGAGGAGGAUUGAGAAAAUUUAUUACUUAAGGAGGAAGGCAGUACUGACCUUUUGCCAACUGAAUUUGGAAUUUGUAUCUUCACACAACUUUCUCUAAUAAAUCGGAAUUAGCCAAGCUCAUCCAAAUGUUGCGAAAAGAAGUUCUCCCUUUGGUAUAGGUCUUGAGGUGCUUAGAAAAAUUUCUGGCAUGAAUUGGAAUAGCUUUCAUUGCAGAGGAUAUUUUAGUCUUGGGAGAGGCUGGUAAUUUUGGUUGAGAACUGAAAACAGGAGAUGGCUCGCAAGUGAAGUUCCUUGAUGGAGGAUAGGACUCUGAUUCUUCCUCCAAUUCGUCAGAAUACCAAAAGCCAUUGGAACUCUGAUUAAUAAAAUUCUUGGGCCUACCAUCUGUGUGUCAGCUUUUAAAAUAUCUGCAGAUACAUUAAGUUUGAAAAAAUCUGGUUGGAGAGGGCUAGGUGAGCUAUUUUUUUAGAUAAUAAAAUGUUGGGUGCCUGUCUUUUCUUCUUUCGAGGUCUGUUUUUCUCUCUUUGCCUUCUGAAAAUUAUUUUUUCCGGCCGAACAAGGUUUUCUUCUUCCUCACCCAACUUCCUAAGUGCUUCGAAAGGAUUUCUUGAGAUGGAUGGGGCAUUAUGUUUGAGAAAAUUCAGGUAUCUGGGAGACCAUCACUUUGGAGCCCUUCAUCUAAAAUCACUGAAUUUAUUCUACAUAAAUCAAUAGGAUUGGAAAAAUCACUUUGAAAUAGAUCAAAUUGGAUUAUUACAGGAGCUUCUUAGGGUUCAAAAUCCCCAAAAUUAAGGGAAAAAUUUCCUCAAUUCUCACUCUUUAAUUCUAUAGUUGCUGGUAAGAAUCCGCAAAGAUUUUUCCGAACUUUAAUUCUUGCUUCAGAGAACUUGAUCAGAUUGAGUGUUUCUAAGAUUAUACUUUCUAGUCCACCAAAGUAGCUUAAGCUUAAGGCUAUAAUUGAAUUUUCUUUCAACCACCACCAUUUUAAACAUUUUGGUGAAUCGGUGGUUUAAUAUUUAUAUUAAUAUUUUAUAAAAAAAGUAUACAACUAAUGCCAUAUAAAAUAAAUAAAGAAAUACUAUAAAAUCUACAUCCAUAAAAUAUGCAUGUGAACACAUAUCAGAAGAUGGAUAUUCGUAAGUUAGAAAGACCGAUCACAAAAUGUCAUAAUUAAACAACAACAUUAAUAUUAUGGGUAGUUUCAAGCUUCAUUUGUCUAUUUUAGGUAGGGAUAUUGAAUAACUCUUAAAAAUAAUAUAAAGAUUGAAUCCCUAAACUUCAUGUGCUUGCUAGUAUACAACCUAAAAGUUCAACAGUUAAAGAAACUGAUUAAUCAUUUUUGGCAGGAUGUCAGAUUCGCCUUUUGAAAUCCUACAUGAGUAGAGCCAGCCAAAUAAGCCAAGCAAGAUAUGCCUCUUAAGGAAUAUGGAGAAGUUCAAUGACUAGGUAUAGGGUUUCUCUUGUUUAUUCCAAGAUAUGCAUGGAUAGUUCAUGUUCGAUUAUUUGGAAAGAGGGAUUUAUGUAGCACGAGUAUUAUAUUCUGGUUUUGGAAGUGUCGAGAUAAAUUAAGGACUUUUUUAAUCUUCUUCAAACAAACCUAUAUGAAGGCGAAGAAUAAUUUGUGCUUGUAUUUUAGUCGGAAUAAGAAGAAACAUGAAGAUAAUGCCCACGAGGAAAAUAACCAUGAGAAAAAGUUGUGUAUUCCUCCAUCCAUAACUGAGCUCUCUAAUGUGUAUUCCUCCCUCCAUAACUGGCUUACUUUGGACUGUUUGGAUAGAAAGAAACAAUAGAAUUUUUAAGGAUAAAUCAAGGUUUAUUGUUUACUUGUGGGAAGACAUAUGUAACUUGAUCGGAGUUUGGUCUAGGCGUCAUUCAUCUUGUAACCAAUAUGAUGUUACUACCAACUCUUAACUUUAAGCUUUGUUAGAUUAGGUUGUUUCGGGCUUCCCUCUAGACUUCAACCUUGUAACUUUAACUCUAUGUUAAUAGAUAAUGACUCUUAUCCUAGGUUUAUCUUAGUUUGAAGGAUUCGUUUCUUCUUCUUAAAAAAAAGUUGUAUUUCGACUAUUAUUUGGGAGGAAAAUGUGCUUAACUAACUAAAAAUCUAAUGACACUUCCAAAACCAGUCAUUUCAAAAAAUGUUUCCUCAAUAAUAUAUUUAUAAUGCUCUUCCUUUAUAGAGUAAAACAGUAAAGCAACAAAACCAUUUUAAUUCAUUAUAUAUAUAUUGUUGGAAUUUUUUGUUCUAAAACUCGUAGUUUGUAAAUCAUAUUCUGUUCAAUAAAGUUGUUAUUGAGAAAUUAAAUAUUAUAAUCUUAAAUCCAAUAAAUCAAGUUCCAAGGCUAUUUUUAAAUAAACUUGAACUUUAUGUAUAAACAUAAACGUGGAUCAAGUUCGAGUAUAUAGCCUAAAUAGUCUAUAGUAUAUGAAAUAAAGGUUGGGCGCCUUAUUUAGAGAAACUAUGGAUGCGGCCCACUUUGUAGUGCAAACGAGGUGAUCCUAAUCGUUCAUGUAGAGACAUGAAAGUGGGGGCAUCCUAUGUAAAAUGUUUACAUAAGACUGAACCAUGAAUUAGUCAUUUUUACGUUAUAACACCAUUUACUGUUUAAAACUGACUAUCUCAAUUAUUGAUGACCUAGGUAACUUAGUCUUAAUCCUGAGUUAACUAUGAACUCCUGUUCACACGAGAUUAUCCUUAGAUCUGCAUAGGUGAGGGCAGCUCAUCAGCGUUGGCCCAAUAAGCCUCCCAUUUCAGGGGUAAGAUCGGGUGGAUAGCUGGGAACAUAGGGUACAAGAUGGAAUUCACUCCUACCCGCUUUAGGGUUAGUAGAUAGGUUGCUCUCUUAAGCACUGAAUCCAAGUCUUGAACAAGGGGCCCCACCCUCUCAUUGGCCCGAGAGGGAUUAAGUUUAUAGGUUGAACCUUAAACCAAUUGUUCAAUAGUGGAUUAGUGGGACUUAAGGAGCAAGAUGUAAUUUUGGGGGUAAAACGGUAUUUUGACACAGCCAAGGUUACGAGCAACCUGUGAAGGAUUAACUUACUGAUUAUGGUUUUAUCAAAUGGACACAAAUAUAUCUAUAGUGAGGGGAGUGCAACUAUGGGACUUUAGUGGAAUGACCCGUUAGUUAACGAAUGUUGAUUAACUCGGUUUAAAAGAGUUUGGCUAGUUAAUCUUGAAUCGUUGGAGCCCAUGAUCUAUAGGUCCAUUCGGUUCCUCUACUAGCUCAUAUGGAUUAAACUAAGAACAGUGUGAUGAAAUAAGUCGAAUUGUUCGAAUUGGGAGAAGAAAGGGAAACCAACAAAUAUAGUGAUAUAGUCGUCGGUCUUCUAAUUAGAAAUAGAGCUUUAUGUUUUACAUACUAUAAGUAUGAAUGCGGAUUCAUACUAAGAAGCUCGGAAUUGGUCAAAAAUAGUAAAAAGUCAAAAUGUUGAUUUUUGACUUUGAAAAGUCAAACUUUGACCGGCCUUAUAUUCAAAUGUGAUUUGAAUUUUGGAAAAAUGAAUGCGGAUUCAUGCUCGGGAGGUUGGAAUUAGUCAAGACGGACAAAAUGGUAAAAAGUCAAAAUAUUGACUUUUGACUAAGAAAAGUCAAAGUUUGACUUUUGACUAGAAAUAUCUAAUGACCAUUUUAGCCUUGGACUAAGUUAGUGGGAAAAUCCAACAUUUUGUUGGAUAAUCCCACUAACUCUUAGUGGGAUAUGUGGCUAUAUGAGAUAUAGACACCUAGCCCACUAAGUUCCACUAAUUGUUAGUGGAACAUUAGGUGUUGAGAUUUGGCAAAUGAAUUGCAUGCAUUUUUGCAUGUAAUUAGGCUAUAAAUAGAGGUGUUUUCAAAUGUUGAAGAACUUUUGCCUCUUUUAUCAUUUUCAUCAUCUCAACAAAAGAAAAAAAAAACUUCCAAUCUCAUUUUAUCUCCAUUAUUUUCUACACCAAAAUUGGGUCCCACAACCCGGUUCUUUGUCUAGAGGAUAGCAGUUGAGUACUAGUGGUGGUCUUGGGUUGAAUUGGUAAGAAGACAUCAAACCUUUUGAAAGCUUCAAAGGUAAUACUUCUUAAAACCCUAAUUUGAUUAGUUUAUGGUUACAUGUUAAUUGUGGCAAUUAGGGUAGAAAUUCGAUUCUUUUUCCGCUGUGCAUGACUUAGUUCUAUCAUAUAUAUGUAUAUAUAUAUAUAUAUAUAUAUAUAUAUAUAUAUAUAUAUAUAUAUAUAUAUAUAUAUGUAUGUAUGAUUAGUUUUGAAAACGUCAGUGUUAUAUAAAUAUAUAUAUAUAUAUAUAUAUAUAUAUAUAUAUAUAAAAGAAAAUAUUGGGUUGAAUCCUUCGAAGCCCUAGACUUGUCUCUACCGCAUUCGAAAAUGCCAAGUUCUCUCUGAGGAUCUCUAACUUCUGCCGUGUUCACCGUCCGUCCGUCCGCGUUCACCACGUCCGAGUUUAUCUAAUAUAUUUUUCCAAAUCUUAAAGAAGAACUUCUGAUUUCAUUGGAGUUUAUCAUUAGAGGCAUUACUAUAUUGGCUGCCUCUCAGUGGGCUAUAGGUUUUCCAAUGGUCAUUUGAGACUGGUUGAUAAUAGCAAAAGUUAGAGCUUGAGAAGAAGGAGCGAAGAAAGUAGUGAAGACAAAAGAAGAAAGAAAGCUGAGUGAAAAACGAAAAUUGACAAGGUAGAGAUGUGACAUGAAAAUGAUGAUGAGAAGUGAAGGAGGCACGACACAAUACUGGUACACAAUAACAAAGCCUUGAUAAUUAAAAAAAGGAUGGUGCCAAGAAAAUUUAAAUACAAAAAAAAUGAAGGUUCUUGCAAGUGUAUUGAGUGAAUGGGAGAAAGAAAGGAUAAAAAAGGUAGAAAGAGAGAAAGAGAAGUCAAGGGUAGAGAUACAUAGCUUUGUAUAUAGAAACUUUAUGUUUAUACUCCAUUAUACGUUGUGGAGAAUAUAACAUCCUGAUAUGUUUGAUUCAAUUUGAAUGAUGCAAUUAUUUAUUUUUCUGCAAUAAUUCUACUUCUAGAACCUAAAUUUUGAAAGCCUACUAAUUUUUCAGAAUUAAUUCGAGACCCCACUUUUGCUCCCCUUCCUACCUACGGUUACUUUUUGCUUAAACUUUAAAAGUUGUUUGAAAUUUUUUGCUGAAACUUGUAAAAUUUGUUUGAAGUUCGUAUAUCUCUCACAUAUUGCAAGGUUUCUUAAUUAUUUUAUUGAAUUUCCUACAUAAAUGCAUUCAAACAUGAGUUGACAUAAAUGCAUUUUGCUAUCAAGAGAGUAUACCAUACAUGCAUGUGUAGGACUUUUAUCCCUUAUAUUUUAUAAUUUGUCUUACUACUGUUAUUGACUGAUAUACCAAUAUACAUGUGUAAAGUAUUGAUCAUAUAAUUAAUAUUAAAUUUAUUACAUUCACUCAUCAAUUUAAGUUUUUUAGUCAAUGUAUGUUCAUGAUGUACCAUGGUCAUAUCAUAAUAGAAUAGAUCCAAGAUUAUAUAUGUUCAAACCAACUGGUGAUUUAAUUAUCAAAGAUAUUAUGAUUUUGUCCAGUUUUUUUUUUCAGUCACUACUAGAAAAAUGGAUUUUAAUCAAGACAUUGUGUCGUUGAAAAUAAAAGAAAAAAGAGGUGGGAUGAGGUACAUUGUGUUUUUGAAAAUAAAAAUAUGGAUUAUUUCUUAAAACAAUCAUAUUGACACAAUUUAAUUUAUUUCAACACAAUUUUUGCGUCAUUAAUUAACGACAAUUUUUUUGUCAUUAAAAAACUUUUCAAAUGAAAAAACCUCAAAUUUCAAAAAAAUUCGAAGUGGGCUACCGAGUCGUUAUGAAGAACCCUCGCCCUCCAAUUUUUUGCCACUUGCCGUCGUCGAUUCCACACUCCAACCACUGUUGUCGUUGCUCCCACAACAAGCCUUCGCCGUCAAACCCACCAAUCUAGCCACUUUCGUCGAAUAAAUUUAUUUAGAAAUAUAAGUUUUAAUGACACUUGAAAUCAAGAAAAAGGGAUAUGAGGGAAUAAAAUGUGUCGUUAAAAAUAAAAAUACAAAAUUUUUUGUGACACAAAUUGAGUUUUCUUGACAAAAUUUUGGCAUUGUAAAUAAUUGCAUAAAUUAUGUGUCAUUAAAAAUUACCCUAAUAAAAAAUCAAUGUUUUCCUUCAAUCAUACGUUUUUUGAUUUAAAACAAAUAAUUCGAAGCUUUCAUCCCACUUGUGAACAAUGACCGAAAAAAACCUUACUUCAUCCCACAUCGUCGCUGUCUUUUGCUCUCUCGCAAAUGCUCUCUGGCGACGUUCCCCCCUCUCUCGCAAAUACUCUUCACGACUUUUCCUCUCUCUCAAAAUUAAGCUCUCCGCUCACCAUUUGAAGGAACUCACCAAAUUUGCAAGUAAUUGAAGAAUUCGUGGUCCAUGAGAUAGAUUAAGUCCAUUUAUGAGUUAGUUUGAUUAUAUUAUGUCACAUAUACAUGUAUUACAAUUAAGGGACACUUGCAAAAAUGGCAAAAUAAGUUAUAAUAAUUAAGUCCAUAGAACACAUACCUUAUUAUUUGAGAAAGUGACAAAAACAAAGACCAACUCACACAUCAAGAGGUAAAAUGUCACAAAUGCCCUCGUUAUUGAUGUACAUUUGAUACACCUUAUACACGUCUGAUACACCUAAUACCUCUUGAUACAUUAAGUCCAUUUAUGAGUUAGUUUGAUUAGAUUAUGUCACAUAUACAUGUAUUACAAUUAAGGGACACUUGCGAAAAUGGCAAAAUAAGUUAUAAUAAUUAAGUCCAUAGAACACAUACUUUAUUAUUUGAGAAAAUGACAAAAACAAAGACCAACUCACACAUCAAGAGGUAAAAUGUCACAAAUGCCCUCGUUAUUGAUGUAUAUUUGAUACACCUUAUACACGUCUGAUACACCUAAUACCCCUUGAUACACUUGAUACUUCUUACUGAUACACUUGAUACAUUUGAUAGAUACAAUUCAUGCACUCGGUACUCAUUGAUACACUCGAUACUUUUUGAUACACACUUGAAACAUCUUCAUACACAUAAUACUUCUCGUUCCACAUAAUACUUCUCGUUACACUUGAUUCUUCUUGAUACACUUGAUACCCCUGAGACGUUGAUACACUUAAAGACUUCACUUAUAAGUUUGAUACACGUGAUACACCACUAAUAAACUUGUUAUACUUCAUUGGUACACUUAACAAAUUUGAUAUGUUUGAUGUACAUGCACUACAAGAAAUUUACCCUUUGUCGAUGACAAAUAUCGUCAGUAAAUCUUCAAAAACUAAUCAACUUUUCUUUUGCCAACAAAAUUAAGCUGUCAACACACACCGUCACGUAGGUCUAUUGGAAGAUCCUCUAUCGAUGGCAAAAAAUAAACUGUCAGCAAAAAUAGGAACUAUUUUGAGAUAAGGUUUGUGCGUACACGUGUGUGCGUUUGUGCAUGUGUGUGUGCUUGUGUGCGUGUGGAUAGGUGUGUGUGUGCAUGCGUGCGCGUGUGCAUGUGUGUGUGCGUGGGUUCGUGCGUCUGUGGGUGUCUGUGUGUAGGUGUGCGUGUGCGCGCGUGUGUGUAAGUGUGCAUGUGUACGUGUGUGCGCAGUGCUUCUAUGCUUGUGUCCGAACAAGUUAAUAUUUUUUAAUGUUGAGUUUCUUCCAAUUUUAAAAUAAUAAUUUAAUUAUCUUGAUAUUUAAGGCAUUAAUGUUAUUUUGAGAUAAAGAUAGUGAACAGGUUGAUAUUUUUUAAUUUUGAAAUUCAAUUAAGGUUAUUUUAAUACAAAAUCUAUCGUUGAGACUCUCAAAUUCCGAAAAAUAAUAAUUUUGUUAUUUUGAAAUUCAAUUUUGUUAUUUUGAAAUUCAAAUUCAAUUAGGUUAUUUUGAAAUUAGUAUGAUUGAAUAAAGUUAUUAAUAUGUUGAAUUAAUUAGUUGAGUCUCGAGAUAUUAAGAAAAAUAUUAUGAUAUGAGUUGAUGUAUCUAUUUCAAGUAAAAGAUAAUUAAAAGCUGAGAAAUGCAUAACAUAAAUUAAUUACAAUGUAGAGACGAAAUAAUUACAGUUGAAGAAUGUUGAUAUUUUGGUAUUUUAUAAAAUACCAUGCACGUGCAAAAAAUGCUAGUUGCUAAAAUUCAAAGGAAAAAGUAGUUUUGUCAUUUUUCAAAAUGACCCCUAAAAACGUUGUUAUGUCUCUUAUGACAAAGAGUGUAGAUCUACUGAUCCAUAUUCGAUUUGUUUUUUGUUGGUAAAAUUGGAUAAGACCGCAUUAUAUUGAAAUAAUUACACGAAUGACACUUUUAAGCCAAUAUUGAUAGAAAUUAUAAUUUAAUCAAUGUUAUUAAGUCAAAUGAACAUGGUUUAAAACUCUUUCUAAACAUAAUUAAUGUAUUUGUUUUUUAACUUUAAUUAAUUUACACAUCUUUGUGCGUGUGUGCAUAUGUGCGUGUGCGUGUGCGUGUGUGGAUGGGUGUGUGUGCGUGCGUGUGCGUGCGUUGUGCACGUGUGCUUGUGUGCUUGUGUGCGAACAAGUUAAUAUUUUUUAAUUUUGAAAUUCAAUUAAAGUUAUUUUUGAUACAAAAUCUAUCGUUGAGAUUCUCAAAUUUCGAAAAAUAAUAAUUUUGUUAUUUUGAAAUUGAAAUUUAAUUAGGUUAUUUUGAAAUUAGUAAGAUUGAAUAAAAUUAAAAUCUUGAAUCAAUUAGUUGAGUCCCGAGAUAUUAAGAAAAAAGGAUGUAUCUUUUUCAGGUAAAAAAUAAUUAAAAGCUAAUAAAUGCAUAACAUAAAUUAAUUACAACGUAGAAACGAAAUAAUUACUGUUUGAGAAGGUGAAUAUUUUGGUAUUUUAUAAAAUAUCAUGGACACGUGUAAAAAAUUCUAUUUGCUAAAAUUUAAAAGAAAAAGUAGUUUUGCCAUUUUUCAAAAUGACCCAUAAAAACGUUGCUAUAUCUCUUAUGACAAAGAGUGUCAUCUACUGGUACAUAUUCGACUUGUUUUUUGUUCGUAAAAUUGGAUAAGACUGCAUUAUAUUGAAAUAAUUACACUAAUGACACUUUUAAACCAAUAUUGAUAGAAAUUAUAAUUUAAUUAACGUUAUUAAGUCAAAUGAACAUGGUUUAAAAGUCUUUCUAAACAUAAUUAUUGUAGUUAUUUUUUAAUUUUAAUUCAUUUAUACAUCUUUGUGCAUAUGUGCGUGUGUGCGUGCGUGUGCGUGAGUGCGUACGUGUGUGCGUAUGCGCGUGUCCACGUGUGCGUGGGUGUGUGUGUCUACGUGUGCGUGGGUGUGAGUGUCCACGUGUGCGCUUUUGUGCGUGUGCGUGUGCGUGUGUGUGCGUAUACGCGCGCGUGCGUGUGUACGUGAGUGGGCGUGUGCGCUUUUUGUGCUUUUCUUCCAAUUUUAAAAUAAUAAUUUAAUUAUCUUGAUAUUCAAGUCAUUAAAAUUAUUUUGAGAUAAGGUUAUUUUAAUAUAAAAUCUAUCGUUGAGAUUCUCAAAUUCUAAAAAAUAAUAAUUUUGUAAUUUUGAAAUUCAAUUUGGUUAUUUUGAAAUUCAAAUUCAAUUAGAUUAUUUUGAAAUUAAUAAGAUUGAAUAAUGUUAUUAAAAUGUUGAAUUAAUUAAUUGAGUCCUGAGAUUUUAAGAGAAAAGUUAUGAUAUGAGUUGAUGUAUCUAUUUCAAGUAAAAAUUAAUUAAAAGUUGAUAAAUACAUAACAUAAAUUAAUUAUAACGUAAAAACAAAAUAAUUAUAGUUGGAGAAGGUGAAUAUUUUGGUAUUUUAUAAAAUACCAUGCACGCGCAAAAAAUGUUGUUUGCUAAAAUUGAAAAGAAAAAGUAGUUUUGCCAUUUUCCAAAUUGACCCCUAAAAACGUUGGAUUUUUGUGUAUUCCCUUGGGUUUUCUUGUUCAAUAUUUAGUCAAAUUGCAGUAUACCUAAAAUUUGUGUUUGUUACGUCACAAGAUUUCAUUCACUAUUUGUGUCUGUAUUAUUUUAUAUUUUAUACAGGAGACUCCGUUUGAGUGUUGAGCUAGUAAUGGGAGGGACUACCGUUGACCCCAAAAUUACAAGGUUUCAUGUUGCUUACUGGAUCAUUAAUGAUUCGUCUCUAUCUUUGGCUCAGCGAGUGGUGGAGUUGGAACCCCCUGAAAGUGUAGAGUUAGACUCUCUACCGUUGUCAAGAGCUGUUAAGUAUGCAAAAAUGGCCUUGAGAAAUCCUAUAAACUCUCUGAACAGGAGACAUUCUAGUGUAAGAAGAAAUGCUCAAGUCCCUUGAAGAAAUUGAGGACACAACUCCAAUUCCUAGCAUGCUUUCUCCCUAAGACUAUGUUGGUCCUAGUCGGGGAGUGGCAUUUACAUCCCAGAAAGACACACAUGUAUCACCUCGUGUUGGCACUUCCAUUGCAAUGCACAACUCUGACAUAUAUAGUGCCGACAUUUCCUUCCUUAAGCUUGAAAAAAGGUGAUUUGAUGUCCAUAAAAAAUUAACUGAGCAGUUAGAUAUUUUCUAAUACGUAUCUCACGUAAUUUGAUGCUCAUUGAUACUGCAUUACUGUGUCAGGAACGUGUUGAUGUAAAAUCUUUCAGUUUUGAUGGAUCUUAUUACAAGCUUUCAACUCUUCUUAGCACGACUUCUGACAGAACAAAGGUUUGAUAUAUCUUUACACGAUCACAUAUCACAUAUGAACGAUCGCAUAUCCCAUCUAAAAUAUCGAUCACCCUUGGUAAAACAACCGUUUAGAUAUUCUACACGAUUGUUUGCUUAAGGAUACACGAUCAUUUUGUAACUAUUUUUUUUUAUUAUCCUUUUUUCUUUCUAUACUAGAAUCAGAAUCAAUUGUUUGAUGAUAUUAACAACAUGUAUGAUGAUCUUCGUGAUGAUUCUAGUCAUCACAAUCUGGACAAGAAUGAUGACCAUCAAAAUAACAAACAUGUGAUCAUCCAUGAGAAUCCAUCUGUUCAAGAGUCACAUCUUCAAGAAUCUACUGUAGAAACUCAACAGUUAGUGUUUGUAAACUUACUGGUAUAGAAGUAGAUACGAUGGAUAAUGUAUUUGUAAACUGAGAAAGGUGUUAUGUAUAUAUAUAUAUCUUGACUGUCUGGUGUGUUGUUAUAGUAUCAACUGAUUUUGUGAUAGAUUGAAUAGAUUGAACGUAAGUGUGUUAAGUUGGAUUGAUGAUAUGAUGGAGUAGUUUGACUAUACUAGGAAUGGAUUGAUUAAAUGUUUAUAAUGGACUAAGGGAAAAUUGUUAGCUUUGUCGAUUGGGUAGUGUGCCUUGCAGGUGUCCUACAGGAUCACCACCUGUUGUGCAUUCUUCGAGAGCACUAGAAUGACAUGUGCAUUCUUCGAGAGCAAUAGACUGACAUGUGCAUUCUUCGAGAGCACUAGACUGACAUGUGCUUUCUGCAGAGCACUAGACUAAUAUUUGUGUCCUUUAGGGCAUUGGACUGAUUAUGUGUAUUCCUACAUGAUCACAAGACUUUUAAAGUGCAGGGCACCUCCAAUAGGAAGUUAACAAUUUUAUUUUUCUUCUAACAGGAUCAGUAGUGGGUCCCUUACUGGGUAUGUUUAUACUCACCCUUUUAUGUUUAAUCUUUUUCCGCGAAACUGCCAUAGGGAAAUGUCCUUCAAAUUGCUUCUACUUUAUAUUUUUUUUUAUUUUGGUUUUCUUUAGUAAUUGAGACUGUUUUGGGUUUCAUGAUUGAACGACUUUUAUGUUCUUGAACUUUCUUUAUUAUCGAUACUUUUACACUUUCAAAAUUUUAUUUGAAAUAGAGCCCGAAUAAAAACUCUUUAAUGUUGUUAAAAAAUAUAUUUUUUUAAAUUAUAAAGUCUUAUGGUUAAAGGACGAAUCUAGUCUUAAAGUAAUAACUUCAGCUUAAUUCGAAAAAUUAGGUCGUUACAAUCUAUUUUGCAGAAAAGAAAAUCAUCGAUUUUAUUUUGGUUAAGAAAAGCUGUUUUUCUUCUACAUAUUUAUAACUCUCUUUCUUUCAUUGAGUAGGAGACGGGGUAGGAGAAAAUCAUAGGAUUCUAUUAACUUAAAAAAUAUUAAAUUAAUAGAAGUUUCAAAUCAACUAACUAAUUAACCAUUAAUCAAUUAGUUAAUAAUUAAUUAAAUCAUAUUUAAUUAAUAUUUCAUUUAAAUCUUAUUGAAUGAAUAUCUCUCCAAUACCUCAUAGUUUUAUAUUAAUUUAAUUAAAUCAAAUUUAAUUAAAUAAUAUUAAACUAAACUAUUAAUUAAUUCUUCAAUUAAUUAAUAACUAAAUUAAAUAUUUUAUAUUUAACUUAAGUUAAAUUUGAAUCAUAUUCAAAUAUAACUUUAUCUCAUAAUUAAUAGUUUUAAUAUGAAACAAAUCCACAUUAAAUUAAUAUUUGAACUCAUUCAAAUAUUUUAUCUCUCAUAAAUUAAUUUUGAACUUUAUCUAAAAUUAAAUUUAUAUAAUAAAGUUUCAUUAACAUAUAAACUUUAUAUUAUAAUGUAUCAUUAUAUAUUAUACUAAUUAUACUAAUUUCCAAAGUAAAUUUGAAUAUUUCAAAUUAGAACCAAUAUAAAUAAAUCACAUUAUCAUUUUGUAUCAUCCAUUACUUUCUAUUCAGUCAUACUAAUUGGAUCAACCUAAUACAUAAAACAAAUAUAGAAAAAUUAAAAAAAAAAAAGCAUGCACAAAUAGAGACAAAUAGACAUUGAUAGCUAUCUAUCUCUAUCUAUCUGAAACAAGCACACAUAAAUUGUUAUAUUUCUCUAUCGGAUGGACAAAAAUAGCAGUCUAUUUAUAUCUACCUGAGAUACAAACAUUAAAAAAAAAAAAAAAAAACCUUACCAAUAAAAUUCUUGACUUUUCAUGUUAUUCUAAAUGCAACACGUUCUCAGCCCAAGAAGUCAAACAACUCUUCAUUGUAAAAGUAGCUUUACUUCUUUCAUCAAACCACUUUUGCAAUACAUCUCUAAUUGAACUAAGCAUGGUAGCUACAGGUAGUUCUCUAAGAAGAAGAAGACCUUCUAAAAAAAAUCAACAGUUACAUGAGCAACUAAUGGAUGUAUAUUAGUUGCAUCUUUAGCAAAAGAUAAAUACCAAGCCACAUCAUUGUCUUUCUUUACUGGCACCACAGUUGGACCUUGCUUUUACCAAAAUCAAGUAAAACAGAUAAUUCUACUUAUCCAUCCAAUUGAAUCUGUUCACAUAUUAAAUCAACUAGAGAAUUAAAGCUGACUCGGACACCUACCAAAAUUUCAGCAACUAAGUAAUUCUCAUAAAUAUUACAUCCAUUCCAUUGACCUCCGUAAAAAACAACAAUAGGAAAAGACAUUAUAAUCUGUAAAAAAAAUAAAUAAAAUAAAAUUAAGUAUUUAAUUGUGAUAGAAAGAAAUAGAUAGACAUAGAUAUACAUUUAUUACUGAAUAAAAGAAUAAAAUGUACAAAAUGAUAAUACUAAACACAAUGCAAGAAUAAGUAAACGAUCGUGCAAUGAAAUAAUAUACAUUAAACGAUCCUAUUAACCGUGAUAAACGACCAUUUAACAACGGUAAAUGAUAAUAUUGAUUAAAAUAAAUUAUCGUGUUGACAUGGGUACACGAUCAUAUGAUAUUGGUGAUCGUAUUGAAUAGUGUAAACAAUCGUCUUGUUAUCGGUACACGAUCGUGUUAAUAUUUGUAAGUGAUUCUAUUGAUAGUGGUAACUGAUCCUGUAAUUCCAUGUAAAUUAUCGUCAAAAACUUUAAACUAUCGACCUUUAUAAUGAAGUACAUAAUUCUUACAUUAAUACUUAAAAUUUGUUGUAACGACCCAACUUUUCUAACUAAGUUGAAGUCAUUAAUUUUGACAAAGAGACCUUGAUUGACACAAAAUAUAGUAAAAUUCACUUGAAAUCAUACGAUCAAAGAAAACAAACUUAAGUUUGGGCCCUAUUUCAAAUAACCAAAACUUUAAAAGUACUAUUCACAAAACAACAGUUUGUAAACUCAGUUCCAUCACAAAAUUUUUAAACAACCUCAUGUACAAAGGAAAAACAAGAAACAUAAAGCGGAAGCAUUUGAAGGACCUUCCCUUAUGGCAAUCACGUCUCCUUCUUGUCCCUCGUCGGUCUACCUCAUUUGUUACCUUUGCCUGAAAUAGUUAAACAUGAAAGGAUGAGUAUAAACAUACCCAAUAAGAGACCCGCUAUUGGUCCCGUUAGGGGAAAAAGAAACUGUUAACUUCCUAUUGGGGUACCCUGCACAGUCACAGUCUUGUGAUCCCAUAGGAUACACAUAAUCAGUCUAACGCCUCAAAGGACGCAUAAAUCAGUCUAGUGUUUCGCAGAAACACAUAUUAGUCUAAUGCUCCCGAAGGAUGCACAUAUCAGUCUAGUGCUAUCGAAGGAUGAACAUAUCAGGUGGUGAUCCCGUAGGACACCUGCAAGGUAACUACCCAAUAGAAAUCUAACAAUUUUCCCCUCAAUCCAUUCUAAACAUCUUAACACUAAUUCAUAGUACAAUCCAGCUACUUCAACAUAUAAUCCUUUCACUUAACACCCUAAUAGUCAACCUAUCUCACUUUAGCCCAAUGUCCGCCAGUAACAUAUCAAUACAUCAGUCAAUCAAACUAUAUAGUCAUAACACCCCUCAAUUCAUCAGUACGCAACCAUACUUUAGUAUAACCUACACCCAAUCUAAACGACAAUCACAAGUUCACAUCCACAUUCCAUACAAACACAAUCUACAAUUGUCGUCCUGUCUACAUCCAUACAUAUAUAUAUGUAUUCCCAGACAAUCACAAUAUGCAUUCAACAUCAAGUCUACAUCAAUCCAUGUAUAUUUUUUUUUUCAGUCAUUCACAGCAUACAUUCAACACCAAGUCUACAUCCAUACAUAUAUAUAUCGUUUCAACAUCUUUACUCAAUCGGAGGUAACUAUACAGACAGCACAAUUCAAAACUAUAGGCAAGUCCAGUAGUAGAGAAUUCCUUACCUUAUAACCUUACUUAAGCUUCUUUUUCAAACUAAAGUGCAACGAACCGACCUAAACAUAAUUGAAGAGAAAUCAAUCACUUCCACAAACAAUUUAAUCCAUUCAAUUCACUCUAUAUGUAAAUUCCAUAACUUACCCAAAUUGUGGAGAAUCAAAUUCUAACGGAGACGGAUCGGUGCAACAAAUAACCAAACAAUUCAGAUCUAAACAUACAUGGCGUGACGGAACCGGAGUGACUCGGGCUAACGGUGAUGCGACGAUAGGACAAAAUUUGCUUGACGUUCGGUGUAGGUGGAAGACGGUGGUGAAGUUGAUUGGAGAAGGAAAAGAGAAGGAAGAAAAGAGAUGGUGGUGUGGCCGUAGGUUGAAGAGGAAGAGAAAGGAAGAAGAUGAAUAGGAAAAGAGAAAAAAUAAGAUUAAAUAUUAUAAAUAUAUAUAUGAAAUAAAAAAAUAAAAGUAGAAUAACGAUGAAAUUUUGAAAAAUGAAAAUUUGGAUAAAGUAAAAUUUGAAAAUAAAGAUUUGAUACAAAUCCAAUAUUUGGAGAAAAAAAAGUGUGUUAAGAUAAUGUAGGAGAAAAUCAAUAUUUAUGCUAAAAUUUUGCAUAUUUCAAAAUUAGUUACAGUUUAACUAAAAAGCAGGCGAGGGGAUUUUAGGGUUAAUGAAAAUUCAAAACACGUGAAAUGCUCAUGUUUGCUAUUCUUCUAAUAAAAUUUUGCUAUUUUCUCAAAUGAGUGUAAUCCAACAAAAUGAAGUUGUGUGUGUGUGAACAAAAAUGAGGUAAAUAGCUUUGAUGAUGAUGGCAAAUGGGUAAAGAAAAUCUUAUCUUAUUCUUCACUUUUCAUUUAAUUGACAAAAAGUAACCAACCAUAUGAAGGGAAAAACAAAAUGCUCUCUCAGUUACUUUACUCAUUUCUUUGUUCUUUGUGUGGGAGAUAUUUGAAAUGGAGAUGAAGAUCAAAAUGAAAGAGAGAUUAUGCAUACACUGUGAGAAGCACACAGAAAAAUUGAAAAUAAAUUGAAAAGAAGAGAGAGAUAAGUCUGAGGGAGAAAUAUUCAUUUCCUUUUCAAAGUGAAUUGCAAAGAAAUUUUCUCAAUUUGAAAAGAAAGGAGAAAUAUACAAAGUCAGCCACCGCUUCUUCUCCCUUCAGUUAGCAGUUUUCGUCUCCCUCUCUUCUAUUAUUAAAAUAAAUAAAUAAAAUAUCACAACCCGACUUAACACAAACUAUUUACUCCAACUUUUUCAACUACAAAUUUAAUUUCUCAACUUUUAAACUAUUUUAAACUUACAAAUCUACUUUAUUCAUUUCUUCAGAUUUAUAUCUAUUAAAUAAAAAAAAAUCAAAAUUUAUAGACACUUAAAACAUAAAAUUGAAAGACCUAUUAAACAAUUGAAAGGUUUAAGAGGUAACUAGACAAACUUUAAAAGUUCUAAGGGAAAGAAUCUUUUGUUUAACUAUUACAGUAAUUAAUUUUGAAAAUAUGUUAUUUUAGUAAGUUCAAGAUCAAAGACAAGCUAAACAAUAAAAUGUUGCGACAAGAAAACAAUCUAAUCAUAAUUAGAAACAUGGAUGUAUGUAUUUGUACACCAAAUCACAAAAAAUAACUCCAGAUUUCGAUAUAGAGACAAUUAAAAACUUGAACAAAUUUGAUAAUUAAAGAAACACGGAGAUGGCCAUAUGACCCCUUGUGCAUAGACUUUUUACAUUACAUGCUCAAUUCCUAGGAUCAAAACAAACAUAAAUAUUAAAGACUUAAGAAGCACAUACACUCAAGUUUGGCUAGUGUAUCAAUAAACAAUAUGUAUGGAACACUCGGAGAACACGUGUUGAACACUAGUUAGUACAGUAGAUGUGUUAGACAACAAGUAUUCCAAUGUAAUAAAGGUCAAGAUUGGUCACACACACAUAUUAAACUCUUGGCUUUGAAUAAGUUUUGAGUGAAGGACAAGCUUAUUUUUAAGCAUAUAAAUACAUAAACUUAUUGACUUUGAAUUUCUAUAUAAAUAUGAUACAUACUUUUUAAAUUAUAUAUAUUAAAACUGUGUUCUAGCGCUAUCCUAUAUUUUUUAGAAAAAAAUGGCACGUCACCAUGUCUAUGAUUUAUUGACCCAUGUCUAGAAUUCAUAUACGUGCUUGUUUGUUGAGAACUUCACAUCUUCAUUAGAUGGGAGGAUAGCCAUAUUAUAGUGGUUGUAUAUGUAAUAUAGAGAACCAAACCUAGUACUCGAGAUUUGUACAAUAACAGAGAACUUACAUUUCCACCGGCUGACUUGAGUAUCAAGGAUAGAGUUUUAGGUGGUGGUUGAGCGUGAGCUGAUAUGCAAACAUUAUACCCUUCAAAUAAAGCUCCAGGACAUGCUUUUGCCCUGAGAACUGUAGCUUUUAGGCUGGCUCGAUACUUCGAUAUGUAGUCAUCAUCAUUUAGUAUGUAAGGCAACUCGUCUACAGAUCAAUAAGGAAUUAAUCAAUCACAAAAAUUAGGUAGGAUGAAAAACAUAAGUGGAAGAAAAUACAUUACGCUUUGAUACUAGCAAGCCAUUCGAACUUACCAACAAAUCUACCUUCCCGGUAGCUUUCCUUUAACCAACUGGAGGAGAAAAUCCAAGCUCUGAGUAAUUUGCAAUUAACUUGCAAUUUUAGUAACAAGAUAUAGUAAAAAUUAUGAGCAAGAGCACACUGACACGCUUGAAGCCACAUGGUAAUGCAUAUGCUCGAUAAUCAUUGAGAACAUUAACAGGAGAAAAUAAAGUUAAGAACAGUAGCGUGAAGAACAAAAAACAUUCUACAACAUAAAAUCUUCAAAAACACAUUGCUUAAAAUCAAGUUUACUAAUAUAAAAGGUAAGAUAUUACGUUCCACUCUCCACACUACUGAAGUUCAACAUUUCACAUGAAAGAAAUGAAAUACUACUCUCAAAUAUAACUGAAAAAAGCAUAAAUGGGUAAAGAAAAAGCAUAGAGAAAUGCAAAAGAAUCCUUGGCUUUGAUAUAUUGAAAGGUAAAGAAUAUCAACCAUAGAUGCCCGGGAGAAGAACUCCUACAAAUACACACUUAACGCAGAUUAUCAUUCGCUAACAUGAGACCUUCUAGAGGAAUUCUAUUAGGAUACUUCCUAACAAGAACAAGAUCUUAAUUUAUUAUAAUGAAGUAUAAGAAAAUACAAGAUAAAACCAAGUAUAAGGCACUUGGAACCUCCCUCUUGAGUACUCUCACCCAAGCCCUAAAUCACUCCCCAGAAUUCUCCCCUCACUUACCCUCCCUCAAUUUAUAAUAAGAUGUAACCACACUUACAUAAUAACUACUAGUAACUUUCUAAAUAUCUAAUUACCCUUAUACCCCUAACCUUAUACUAAUCUAGGUAUCUAACAUUACCCGAUCCUUCAAAACACCUUGUCCUCAAGGUGUGCUUACAAACAUGAUCAAGGCCCCUUUCUCUUUUUUUCUCUUUUUAAUUGCAAACAAUCCCCAGCAUUCUGCUCUUCAAUGUUGAAAAAGAAAUCCUCCCCUUCGGCUUUGAAAAACUCUCGAUUCCAAUAAGGUCCAUUGACUUCAGCCCACAAAGCAGCCCAAUGUACUUGAAUUUUCCUUUUCCAAAACACAUUGUCUUAGUUAACCCUUUGCAUAUCACCAACAAGUGUUUAAUUUUCAAACUCUUCAUCUCUAUUGGGCUAGGCCAUAAUCAAAGUGUUGCGUCAAGACCAAAAUCAUACUGCCGCCGGUUUCAUUCCUAGGACCCACCUACAUACACGUUUUUCUUCCCUCCUAUUUUUGGAACUCUCCACCCAUUUCAUCUACAAAAUGAUGUGCCCCCAAUGUUUUAUUUAGAAUAAGUUGAAGCUUAUUUAGAGUAAGUUGAAGCCCACUUGAAAUAGUAAAACCCAAGAUUGUUACUUUUGUCUUAAUCCUCUUUCCUACCAAUUUCUACCACGUCAUUGGCACCAUCAUGUGUGCAACAACUUCUUCCUCGUCACGUGAUUCACCCCUAUUCCAGACCACCUUCUCGAGCCUCUGUAGACCGGCAACUGUCGGCUUCUUCUUUCUCCAUUGCAACCAGCCAUUUUGUGUUUCUUUGAGCAACAAAUUUUUCUUCACUCGAGUCUUCAUUUCGAGCCUCACAGGUAAUCCUCGUCGACCUUCCUCUAUAGUUUCUUCUUGGUCACUCUUUGCCAUCCUCUUCACCUUCGUUGUAUAACCGUUGCAAUCAUGUUUUCCUCGAUUCUUCUAUGGAUUUAGCAACUUCUUGGAAUCCAUCGAUUUAUGGACCUGAAGAUUCCAAUCCGUUCUAAAUAAACACAAUCCAGAUCAGUGCCACUGAACACAGGCAUUUCAACCUUCUUGAAUUUGCUAUGAUCGUUCGAGUUUUCAUCCAUUUCAAACUUGUUUGUUUUACCUUCUACCUUGAUUUCCUUCAAUGUCUUACCUCCACCUUCGAUGAUACUCUCAAUCGUUUGUCCUUUGCUCGAUGAUCCUUCCAUUCUUUCGGAGAUUGUCGAAUUAUCCUUCUGCUAUUCAUUUGAUGCAUUUAGCAACCUUCUUGUUUUUCCAACUAGAUGACUAGUCUUUCGAUGCUUUUUGGCAAGCAUAACAAGUUUUCUUCAAUUGCCAGCAACUUGUGUAACUGAACUUGUAUCCCUGAUAUUUCCUUAUCAGAGGUCUCCAACUUCUCUUCGAUCCGUUUUUGUGCUGCUCUAUCGUUCUCCCAAGUAAAAUCGCUUUGAUACCAAUUUGUUAAGAUACUGUAAAUAUACGGCAAGUGCAUCUUACUUUAUUGAAUUACCUCAACGAAUUACAGUAUAGAGAAUAAAAAAUCACUCACAUCUACUUCCUAAAGGCACACUCCAGUGAGGAUCACAACAAAGAACAAGAAAAACUAAGAACAAACUGCAACCAUGAAAAUGACCAAAACAAACAAUAAAAAGAACUUGACUUGGACCCUCUACUUCUCCCGAGCAUGAAAGACGGCAGCCUCUACUUCUUUGGAAUAUUUUGUCCCCUUUCUCCCUCCUCUUUCCUCCCUUUUAUUUUGCUUUACUAACAAACUAAUGGGAAAGAUCUCCUCCAAUAUUCUCUCCUCCUAUAAUCUCUCCUAUAUUCUCGUGUGGGUCAAUAUUACCCUUUUUAAUUCUUCUACUGUAUUUAAAUAAUAUUGGAGACAUAUGCUUCCUAACAAGAACAAGAUCUGAAUUUAUUAUAAUGUAACUAUAAGAAAAUACAAGAUAAAACCAAGUAUAAAGCAUUGGAACCCUCCCUCUUGAGUACUCUCACCCAAGCCUUAUAUCACUCCCCAGAAUUCUCCCCACUUACCCUCCCUCCAUUUAUAAUAACAUGUAACCAGCCUAGUUACCACACUUACAUAAUAACUACUAGUAACCACACUUACACAAUAACUCUAAUUACCCUUAUACCCCAACCCUAUACUAAUCUAGGUAUCUAACAAAUUCCAUAACAUAAUGUAUUAGGGGAAGAAGGAAAUCGAGGAUAAAAACACUAGCUAGCCAACAAAUAUCUUUCAUUAGUGAGCUUGAGCCAUUUUACACGUAAAAUGGGAAAAGUAAGCCUGCAACCCAAAUUAGCUUAAUGGUUGUCUUAACAACCACUACCCACCAUCAGGAUAGAAAAAACUGAAAAGGAAGAGCAUGAUACAAUCCAACUCAAAUAUAAGAAUUGAUUUUGAUGUUUAACUAAAAGUAAACAGGCAGUAGAAUAAGAAACUAUGCCCUUUUAGAUCUAGAAGGUUCACAACAAUUUCCAGCCUAAACACAACUACGAGCCAAUGGAAGAAUAACGGGGCUGGAUACCCUCAGGCUACAAUAGCCUUUACUCUCCUUGAAAUAACCAAAAAACACCUAGCCUCCCCUACCCCAACAUUACAUAUUUAUACCUCUCUCUCUCAUCCCUCCUGGUGGGCCCCACCUGCAGGAUCCUCUCCCAUUAUUCUCUCAUCAUUGGUUGCUAAGGAAUUUCCCUUUCUACCCUUCCUUUCAUAGGUAUAGAUAAUAGGAGGUCUUACAAAGAAAUACCUGGCCUGACUUUCUUUAAUCUUUCUGCGAGAACCUUUCCAAACAACUUAUAAAUUAAUGUUGAAACAACUUAUAAGCCACACUGUAAUGACCUUCCUUCUCUUGACCGAACUUCAAUAAUUGACAACUUAUAUUUAUCCACAUAAUCAGCAAAACUCUUAAUCUGCCACUAGCUUCAAACAAAGACCCAACCAAUUCCUUUUGAACUCCAUAGUGCCUUUAUAAUAUAAAUGGCAAUCUCUUCUCUUUUGGUCUCCGGAAUCAAUGCUCUAUCUAGAUUAGCUUUCUUCAAAAGAUAUUUAAUAGCCAAUUGUUUCGAAUGGCCCAUGAAUCCUCUAGUGUUCCAUGAUAUAAUCUCCAUCUUUGCUACCUCUGCCUUAUAUCAAUUCAGUUUCACAUGCUGCCAAGAAAGGAACCAACUCUUGAGGGGGAAGGAUACUUGCUGAUCUGCACAAAAUUUCUUUUUAUGGGGAGGAAAACAAUUUAAUAAAAUCUGAACCGAAAGAGUCACUGUCCUCUUGUUUCUCUUUCUCUGAUUGAAUUAUUUCUUCCUCAACUGGUUCAAAUUCUGCACUACUUACACUGGUGACUGAUCAACUUCCAUGAAUUCAUCUUCUAGGUUCUUAACUUUUUUGAGACAAGAAGUAUCUUGCACAAAAUUAAAGAAUGAACCAGAAAGUUUGGAGGAGGAUUGAGAAAAUUUAUUACUUAAGGAGGAAGGCAGUACUGACCUUUUGCCAACUGAAUUUGGAAUUUGUAUCUUCACACAACUUUCCUCUAAUAAAUCAGAAUUAGCCAAGCUCAUCCAAAUGUUGCGAAAAGAAGUUCUCCCUUUGGUAUAGGUCUUGAGGUGCUUAGAAAAAUUUCUGGCAUGAAUUGGAAUAGCUUUCAUUGCAGAGGAUAUUUUAGUCUUGGGAGAGGCUGGUAAUUUUGGUUGAGAACUGAAAACAGGAGAUGGCCCGCAAGUGAAGUUCCUUGAUGGAGGAGAGGACUCUGAUUCUUCCUCCAAUUCGUCAGAAUACCAAAAGCCAUUGGAAUUCUGAUUAAUAAAAUUCUUGGGGCCUACCAUCUGUGUGUCAGCUUUUAAAAUAUCUGCAGAUACAUUAAGUUUGAAAAAAUCUGGUUUGGGAGAGCUAGGUGAGCUAUUUUUUUAGAUAAUAAAAUGCUGGGUGCCUGCCUUUUCUUCUUUCGAGGUAUGUUUUUCUCUCUUUGCCUUCUGAAAAUUAUUUUUUCCGGUCGAACAAGGUUUUCUUCUUCCUCACCCAACUUCCUAAGUGCUUCGAAAGGAUUUCUUGAGAUGGAUGGGGCAUUCUGUUUGAGAAAAUUCAGGUAUCUGGGAGACCAUCACUUUGGAGCCCUUCAUCUAAAAUCACUGAAUUUAUUCUACAUAAAUCAAUAGGAUUGGAAAAAUCACUUUGAAAUAGAUCAAAUUGGAUUAUUACAGGAGCUUCUAAGGGUUCAAAAUCCCCAAAAUUAAGGGAAAAAUUUCCUCAGUUCUCACUCUUUAAUUCUAUAGUUGCUGGUAAGAAUCCGCAAAGAUUUUUCCGAACUUUAAUUCUUGCUUCAGAGAACUUGAUCAGAUUGAGUGUUUCUAAGAUUAUACUUUCUAGUCCACCAAAGUAGCUUAAGCUUAAGGCUAUAAUUGAAUUUUCUUUCAACCACCAGCUUAAACAUUUUGGUGAAUCGGUGGUUUAAUAUUUAUAUUAAUAUUUUAUAAAAAAAGUAUACAACUAAUGCCAUAUAAAAUAAAUAAAGAAAUACUAUAAAAUCUACAUCCAUAAAAUAUGCAUGUGAACACAUAUCAGAAGAUGGAUAUUCGUAAGUUAGAAAGACCGAUCACAAAAUGUCAUAAUUAAACAACAACAUUAAUAUUAUGGGUAGUUUCAAGCUUCAUUUGUCUAUUUUAGGUAGGGAUAUUGAAUAACUCUUAAAAAUAAUAUAAAGAUUGAAUCCCUAAACUUCAUGUGCUUGCUAGUAUACAACCUAAAAGUUCAACAGUUAAAGAAACUGAUUAAUCAUUUUUGGCAGGAUGUCAGAUUCGCCUUUUGAAAUCCUACAUGAGUAGAGCCAGCCAAAUAAGCCAAGCAAGAUAUGCCUCUUAAGGAAUAUGGAGAAGUUCAAUGACUAGGUAUGUAUAUGAUAAGCCUUAACCUCAAUUUUAUUUAUCAAUAAUGGAGGGAAGGAAUCAGAAGCUUCUCUAGCUCUCCCAAUUAUUCUAAGAAACCUGAUACAAGCUAUGCCAAAACAUACCCUCCCCAAACAAUCAUAAUAGCAUUUAUAUGAAAGCAUAAAAGACUCAUGGCCCCCUUAACUAGCAACAUUCAGACCAACAAAUACAGCUUCCCAUCCUCCUCUCCUGAAUCCUUUCUUGUGCCUACGGGUGUACACCUUCACUACCAUGGGCCUAUCAGUAUUUAGAGAUCGUAGAGGCUGUAUGAGCCAAGGAGCUGGAAGAGUAGGAUUAGGGAAGUGUGGAGUUUUCCGCUCUUUGUUUGGCCAAAAGUGUUUGUCCGAAAUCCUACAGCUUCAACUAACUUUGGAAAGUCAGUCGAACACAUUGAAAUUCCCUGAAUGUGCGAAAUCCAUGGAUUUUAUUACACAUCCCAAAGGUGAACGACUUUGAGGCAUCUUGGUUAUAAUCAAUUGGUUCUCGAAGUACGCCACCUUCAUCCCCACUACAAAACUAUGUUCUGUCGAGCUGAUAGCACACUUGUUCUUUAAGAACGUCUUGAAGUUAUGAGGAGUUCCAUCAAGCAUUGUGAGUGACAGGGAUGGUAGAUUCAUUGGUACUCUCUGGACCGAACUAUUCGCCUUCUUGGGGACACGCCUAAAUAUAUCCUUAAGCUGCCAUCCUCAGACGAAUGGCCAAACUGAAGGAUUCAAUUGUAUGCUUAUGGAAUAUCUACGAUAUUUUGUUGAUUCUGGACAAAAGAAUUGGGCCUAGUUGAUGGAUGUGGCUCAAUUUUGUUUUAAUGCACAAACUAGUCUAUCCACAAGAACGAGUCCUUUCGAAAUCUUGAGUGGAAGACAACCUAUACUGCCUCAUAUUGUUGAUCAUCCUUAUGCAGGAAAAAAUCCUCAAGCUCAUAACUUUACGAAAACGUGGGAGAAGACUACGAACAUCGCUCGAGCAUACUAAGAGAAAGUCUCGAAGCGUAUGAUAAGAAGCAUCAUCCUCUCAAGUUUUGAGCGGAAGACCAACUCUUCAUAGAGUUUAAAGCAAAGCAAAUUUGAUUUAGAGGACAUCAACAUCAACAUCUCACCAGAAAAUACGAAGGGCCUGUUGAAGUUUUGAAGAAAUUUGGAAAUGCAUUAUAUAGGGUAUCGUUGCCUGCAUGGAUAAAAAAUCAUCUAGUAGCUCAUGUGAGCAACUUGAAACCUUACCAUCAAGAUCCAGAUGACCAGUAGUGCAACAAUGGUGUAUGGUCAUCUAGUGACCUAAAGCAGAAAGACGAUAAAGAAAUGGAAGAAAUCGUUCCUAAGAGAGUGAGGAAGGGUAUACCCAUGAAGAGGAUACAUGAAUUCCUACUGAAGUGAAAGAACCUCCAUGCGGAAGAAACACGUUAGGAAUGUGCUGAAGGGUAUACCCAGUCGACAGGGACGCCAAUUGUUUAAGAGCGGGAGAAUGUAACAAGCAUGCUUGUCCAGGGCGCUGUUUGCUUAUGGCCGCAUGCCCAAACACCCAAAAUUUACAUUGUUUUUAUGUUUGUAUUUAGUUUUACUUUUUGCUUUCCUUUUUAUGUCAUAAACCUUGGGUGUGACUUGGCUUUUUCUUAUGCAAGCCUACCAGAACUAAAAAAGUCUAAAAUGUACUAUAGAUGGGACAUAGUAGUUGAAUCCCUGCCCAAGCCUUGUUGCACUCUUCGCAAUCAAAGUUUUUCUUUGCAAUUGACAAUCUUCAAUGCUUGCUUUAACGAUAUUUUCAUUGAAUUUCUUUCUCCUCACGUUUUAUAAAACAUUUUCUCAAGAACGUGAAGAGAGGCUACAUCGUAUCAUGUGUUUGUCCGUGGUUUUUGGAUUUUGAUCAGCUAACUUGUUGUCUACGUAAAACAAGUGCAACAUAAUCGCUCCUCUCGUGUUUGAAAGCUCGCGAUUGUGACACAAGAAAUGCACUAGCCAAGAAUGCACACGAGGAGGGCUACACGAAAUGCCAAGCACGCAACCAAGUGAGGUUCACAAUGUGCUUGUGUGUGAGGUUAGCACGCGGGCAUGCCCAACGCGCGUGAAAAGCCUCUUGUGAGAUUCACACACACUAGCCAGCGCCCAACCAAGGCCCUGCCGCCCACCCAUUCGUGUCAGGCAGUGUCAUAUUGCGUGUUGAGCUAUUUUUGGUAAUUUUUUGAGUUUUUUAAGUAUACUUUUGAUAUUUUCUUGGCAAAAGAUAAUUAAUUGUACUAUUUUACCAUUAUUUCAGGACAUGAGAAGAUCAUACAAAUUUAUAAACCAAGGAUUUGAGCUUGUAUCUUUGAGUGGAAAAUGUUUUAUUUAAAGUGAUUUCAAGCAUGUUCUUAAGUCAUGAUUUAUGACGGAUUUAUGCUAAAAUGUUUAAGUUAUGUUAUGAAAAGUCUUUCAAGCGUGUUAUUGUUUAAAGGUAUUUAUUCAAGCAUAUUUUUUACUCUUCAAAAUGCAUAAUAUUCAAAAUGUUUUCCCACUUUCUAGGUAGAGAUCGUGUCCUCUAAGCCUAACUUGAACCUGUCUACUAAAGGAUUUCAUUUUGUUAUCGUAUGUGUCCUGUUAUUUUGUACUAAUGGUAAAUUAGUCUUUUGUGCUAUCAGACUUAUGCUUUUGGAAAGGUUUUAUAAGGUUUUGUUCUAGAUAAAUAAGAUUACGUUUUUUCUAUGUAAAACUUGUCUAAGGUUGUUAAAUGAAAAAGGUUUAGCCCAAUUGGUUUUAGUAAAACUUAUGUGUUAUGUUUCCGCUGUUGUUUAGAGUUUAAAGGUUCAGGCUAAGGGUCAGAUAGUGUCGUUCUUGACGUGGGUGCUAUCGAUUGGCUUCACGCCAUAUCUCGAGCCACGCAAGUAGGUGCUCGUGGUGGGGUGUGAUAGCCUAAGUUGGCUUAUUAACGGUUAAAAUGUAAACAUGUCCAUAACAAAAUAGUUGGGCAAGGCCCAUGUGGACCGACUGGUAAAGGUUGAAGAGCAAAUGCUCUACCUAAUGAAAGUUCCUAACUCAAUUCGCUUCUUGGAAACCCGCCUUGAAGAAAUUUUUUAGAAAGCUGAUGCUAUUAAUUAAACCACCACCCAAAAUCUUAAGCUAGUGAUUAAAAGUAAAUUUAAUUAUAUAUCACUAACAAUCCCCCACUUAUGGGUUCGAAAUAUCUAAAAGGUCCAACAAGUGAAAAUCAAUUUUAAUUGGGAAGGAAACACCAAUACAGGGACUUGAACAUAAGACCUUUUGGACCACCUGCUCUAAUACCAUAUUAAACCCCAAAUUCACCCAAAAGCUUAAGCUAGUGGUUGAAGGUAAAUUUAAUUAUAUAUUACCAAAGUAUGAGGUUUCAUCACAAUACCAAUUGGCAAUGAGAGGAGUAGCUCAUCUAUUUUAUAAGGAGUCUAAGUUUCCUUGGUUUUUCAAUUGUGGGAACAUGCCCCUUCAAGAUGGUGCCUCUUUGGUUUCACCUAUCUUGAACCAAAUAUCCGUUUAGGCUUAAUGAGCUCUAAUACCAUAUUGAAAGCAAUAUAUACGAAACCAAAGCUUACGUGAAAACGUAAGAAUCGAAAGAAAAGCAUUGUGUUUGUAGUUUUAUUAUUUUUAUGAUAAUUACAGACGUACAAUUGGUGGUUUAAUAUAUAUCACUAACACUAUUGCUGCAAUGAUCGAUCAUCUCGAUGGAUUACCCAUUUAAGAGUUGUUGACAAGAGUUGACACUCUAGAAUCAAAAGUUGUAAGAACUAGAUGUUGUAAUAAAUGUCCUAAAACUCGUUGUAAUCAUAAUCUAUUCAUUAAAGUCGUUAUUGAUACUAUAAUCUUAAAGCCAAUAAACUAAGGACCCGAAGUUAUUAUUAAGUAAACUUGAACUUUAUGUAGAGACAUAAAAGUUGAUCAAGUUUAAGUAUAGAGCCUAAAUAGUAUAGAUUGUACGAAUACAGUUAGGCACCUUAUUCCAGGACACAAUGAAUGCAGUCUGCUUUGUAUUUAGUAUAAACGAUGUGAUCCUAAAUCCUAGAGACAUGAAAGUGUGGACAUCCUAUGUAAAGAGUUUACAAAAGACUAGAACCAUGAAAUAGUCACUUUUAAGUUAUAACACCGUUAACUUUGAAAAACUUACUAUUUCAUUGAUAGAUAUCAAAUAUAACUUAAUCUUAAUACUGAGCUAACUAUAAGCUUCUGUUCUCACCAGCAUGCUUGUUUAAGGCGUUGUUUAUCUAUGGCCACAUGCCCAAAUACCCCCAAAUCACCUUUUCUUUAUGUCUUGUAUUUAGUUUAGUCUAUUGCUUUCCUUUUUAUGUCAUAGACCUAGGGUGUGAGGUGUCACACAUUUUCAUUUGCAAACCUGUCAAAGCUCAAAAAGUCUAAACUGUACUAUAGAAGAGACCCAAUAGUUGAAUCCCCAACCAUGUCUUAUCGUAUUCUUUAUAAUCAAAUUUUUAUUUGCAAUUGAAAGUCUUCAACGCUUUCUUUAAUGAUGUUUUUAAUGAUAUUCUCUCUCACAUUUUAUAAAAUAAUUUUUUCAAGAACGGGAAGGGAGGUUAUAUCAUAUCGUGAGUUUGUUCGUGAUUUUCGGAUUUUACAUGACUGACUUAUUGACUGAGCAAAACAAGUGUUCUACAAUUGUCCGUUCCAUGUUUGAAAGAUUGCGAUUGUGGCACGCAGAGUGUCACAAGUGUGCUUGUCCAAGGCAUUAUUUGCCUAUGGUCGUAUGCUCGUAUAUCCUCAAACCACUUUAUCUUUAUGCUUUGUACUUAGUUUAGUCAACUGCUUUCCUUUUGUUGUCACCGACCUAAGGUGCGUCGUUUCGCAAUUUUCAUAUGCAAUGUUGUCAAUGCUAAAAAAGUUUAAGAUGUAUUGUAGGGGAGGCAUGGUAGUUGAAUCCCCAACUAAGCCCUAUUGUGAUUUUUGCAAAUCUAAGCUUUCUUUGCAAUUGACAAUAUUCAAUUUUUUCUUUAAGGAUGUUAUCAAUGUUUUUCUUUAUCUCUCACGUUUUAUACAACCAAUUUCUCUCAAAAGAUGAAGCGAGGCUACAUCGUACCAUGAGUUUAUCCGCAACUUUCAAAUUUCACAAGGUUGCCUUGUUCAUCAAUUUAGAACAAGUGUUGCACAAUCGCCCGUCCCGUAUUUGAAAAGUUGCAUUUUGUGACAAGUGGUAUUAAAGCUUUCUUAGCUCCUUGGCUAAGCGAGAUGCAAUUAUGUCGACAAUGAAACAACUAUCAAAGUUGCAAUCUGAGCGACUGACUGAGAUUGAAGAGGAAUUCUUGGAUAUGAAAGAAUUGCCAAAGGAAGUAAGAUUUCUCCAGACCUAACUUGAGAUGUUUAAAGAAAAAGUCAGAGAAAUAGACGCAUUGAAUGCCUAAAUAGACAAACUACCCAUAAAUGAAUUGGCGUUGAGGGUUGAUUCGUUAGAACAUAAAACCACCAAAGUAGGUAGUUUUGAACGUGGAAGUAGCUCUUCAAGUUCUAUCGCACAAAUGGAAGAGCGUGUCAAAGAGUUUGACUUUUGACAAGCUCCAACAUAAUCAGUUAUAUUUCAAGAAAGAGAAAAGUGUUUUUGCUAAAUAGCGUAUCAAUUUUCUGGUCACAUCAUCGAAUGUAGAAAGAUUUGAAUGGAUGAACAUAAGUUGUGAGCUAUUAAGGAGUGGAGAGCCCCACUUCCGUGAAAGAGUUACGUUUCAUCCUUCAAUAUAUUCUAAAAUAGGGUUCACCUACUAUCCUCUAGACUCAGUACCGAGAGAAAGAAAUAGAUGGAAAAAGAAAUGGGCUUGGUAAUUUUUUUUCUAUGUAAAUAAGAAAAAGAAAUCCAAUUUGGUAUAAGAGCCCAAAUUCAUUAGCCAGUCCAUCAAAUGAGGUCAACGACCCUAUUUAUAAGGAUUUUCCAUGCAAAAUUGCAUGUCCAUGGAAUACUAAAGCCCAACAACUCAAAGCUCUAUUUCUAAUAUGAAAUUCGAUGGCUAUAACACAUAUACUUGUCAGUUUCUCUCUCUUCUCCCAAUUCGAACAAUUCGACUUAUUCCAUCACACUAUUUUAAGUUUAUUCCAUAUGAGCUAGCAAGGGAACCUAAUGGACCUAUAUAUCAUGGACUCCAAUGAUUCAAGAUUAAUUGACUAAAUUCUUAUAGACUGAGUUAAUCAACAUUCGUUAACUAACGGGUCAUUCAUGUAUGUACUGGAACGAUUCAGAAUCACCUCGUUUGUACUAACUACAAAGCGGGCGGCAUCCACAGUUUCUCUGAAAAAAUCUGGGUUACUACAACGUCACCACGAUGUACAAUUUUCCUGAUAAGAUGGUACUUACGUUCGAUAUGUAUUCCCCGUUUACGGCUUUUAGGUUCUCUUGAAUUUGCAACUGCACCACUGUUGUGACAGUAUAAAGUGAUUGAUAGAUGCAUAUUUGGAACGACUUUCAGAUCUGUCAAGAAUUUUCUUAGCCAUAAUGCUUCUGUUGUUGCUUCAAAAGUUGCUACGUAUUCUACCUCCAUUGUGGAAUCAACUAUACAAGUUUGUUUUAUGCUUCUCCAAACUACUACUCUUCUAUUUAGAGUGAAUACUAAUCCUGAUGUAGACUUUCUAGCAUCUUUAUCAGUUUGAAAAUCAUAAUGAGUGUAUCCAGUAAGGAUCAAAUCUUUUGUACCAUACACGAAAAUGUAGUGUUUUGUUCUUCAAAUAUAUUUUAGAACAUUCUUAACGGUUGUCCAGUGAUCACAUCCAAGAUUGGACUGAUACCUACUGACCAUCCCUACUAAGUAACAAAUGUCAGAUCUAGUACACAACAUUGCAUACAGCGGAAGCAUAGGAAAAUUUUCUCAUAUCCUCAAUUUCUUGAGGUGUCUUAGGACAUUGUUCCUUUGACAAAUGAAUUCCGUAGAUGUAUAAUAGCAUACCCUUUUUGGAAUUCUACAUUUUAUAUCUAGACAACAUUUUGUCUAUAUAAGAUGCUUGAGACAUGGCUAGUGUUUUGUUCUUGCAGUUCUGUACAAUUUGAAUCUUAAGAACGUAUUGUGCAUUUCCCAGAACUUUCAUUUGAAAUUGCAUAGCUAGCCAUUUCUUGAUAUUAGUAUGAAAUCCUAUGUCCUUUUCCAAUAAGUUAGAAUAUCAUCUACAUACAAGACUAAGAAUACUACAAUGGAAUUGACGACCUUUUUUAUAAACAUAAGGUUCGUCAACCUUUUGUAUCAAAGCCAUAAGAUUUGAUCAUAGUAUCAAAUCUUAUAUUCCAGGAUCUAGAUGUUUGUUUUAAUCCAUAAAUGGAUUUUUGAAUCUUACAAACCUUUUGUUCUUGAUCUUGAUCUAUAAACCCCUCUAAUUGAGUAAUAUAGAUACUCUCUUCAAGAUUGUCAUUCAAAAAAAGUUGUCUUUGAUAGAACUAAGUCAUGCACAGCGGAAAAAGAAUCGAAUUUCUACCCUAAUUGCCACAAUUAACAUGUAACCAUAAACUAAUCAAAUUAGGGUUUUAAGAAAUAUUACCUUUGAAGCUUUCAAAAGGUUUGAUAUCUUCUUACCAAUUCUAACCGAGACCACCACUAGUACUCGACUGCUAUCCUCUAGACAAAGAAUCGGGUUGUGGGACCCAAUUUUGGUGUAGAAAGUAAUGGAGAUAAAAUGAGAUUGGAAGCUUUCUUUUUUCUUUUGUUGAGAUGAUGAAAAUGAUAAAAGAGGCAAAAGUUCUUCAACAUUUGAAAACACCACUAUUUAUAGCCUAAUUACAUGCAAAAAUGCAUGCAAUUCAUUUGCCAAAUCUCAACACCUAAUGUUCCACUAACAAUUAGUGGAACUUAGUGGGCUAGGUGUCUAUAUCUCAUAUAGCCACAUAUCCCACUAAGAGUUAGUGGGAUUAUCCAACAAAAUGUGUGGGAUAUGUGGGAUAUGUUUUACAAGAGCCUUUUGUAACCAGUUUUACAAGAUAUCGACCUAUUUCUAUGAAAAAUGGAAGAUAUGUUUAACCUAAGUGAGCAUGCAUUUAAUCUUUGUUAUUGAUUUUAAAAGUCUAAUUUAUUUUAUAACACUUAUAAAAACUUUUAAACUUAAUCAAUCAUUUUAUCAAUAGAUAACCUUAUAAAAACAAUCAAUUAAUAUGGAUUUUAUUUAUUUAACUUUAAUUAAAUCAUAUUUAAUUAAAUUAAAUCAAACAAUAAUUAAUUAAUUUGAUUAAAUCAAAUUUAAUCAAGAAUAACUUAAUUAAUUAAAUAAUUAAUUAAUCAUAUUAAUUAAUUACCAUAUUAAUCAAUUAACAUGCAUACAAUACAAUAUAACCUUUAUAUCAUACAUUUUAAUGCAUGAACAUGUUAACCUAUGGUGGGAUUUUAAAUCUAUAUGACAUUCAAAAUGCACAUACAAAUUUAAUGUAAUUUAAUCAUACAUCACAUGCAUAAAUUAAAAAAAACACCUAAAAUGGACUGAUUUUUGCUCCUAAAUUAAGCUAAGUACUAAAUUAUUACAUAAUUACUUUGGUGUAGUACAUAACCACUCCCAAAAACUUCGAACCGGCUGAAAAACCAACCGAAACCGCUUAAACCGGCCCAAAAACCAAAUUUAUUGGCUUGAACCGGCCCAGGCGCACACGGUCGGGUGAAGGCAGGCGCGCGCGGCGCGCAGGCGCAUACGGGCGCGCGGGCACAGGCGGGCGCACGGGCGCAGGCGGGCGCGCGGGCGCAGGCGGGCGCGCGGGCGCAGGAGGGUUUUCGGGUCUGUACCUUAUUUUCUUCUUUUUUUUCAAUUCUCUCACCCGGUUGAACCAGUUACAGCCUAACUUCAACUCUAAUGAAUUUUUUUAUUUUUUUUAAAAAUUACAAACACUUUGCAACAAUAAAAAUAAGCCAUUAAUUAGGCUAAUUACAAUAAUUAGAACAAAAACACUUAAUCUAGAGCCAAAAUCAUAAUAUAUCCAUUUUAGUUCAAACCAAAAUUUAUCUAAUAAAUAUGAACCCACCACAUGCAAUUAGGUAAAAAUGAAGCAUGCUCUGAUACCACAUGAUAGAACUAAGUCAUGCACAGCGGAAAAAGAAUCGAAUUUCUACCCUAAUUGCCACAAUUAACAUGUAACCAUAAACUAAUCAAAUUAGGGUUUUAAGAAAUAUUACCUUUGAAGCUUUCAAAAGGUUUGAUAUCUUCUUACCAAUUCUAACCGAGACCACCACUAGUACUUGACUGCUAUCCUCUAGACAAAGAACCGGGUUGUGGGACCCAAUUUUGGUGUAGAAAGUAAUGGAGAUAAAAUGAGAUUGGAAGCUUUCUUUUUUCUUUUGUUGAGAUGAUGAAAAUGAUAAAAGAGGCAAAAGUUCUUCAACAUUUGAAAACACCACUAUUUAUAACCUAAUUACAUGAAAAAAUGCAUGCAAUUCAUUUGCCAAAUCUCAACACCUAAUGUUCCACUAACAAUUGUGGGACUUAGUGGCUAGGUGUCUAUAUCUCAUAUAGCCACAUAUCCCACUAAGAGUUAGUGGGAUUAUCCAACAAAAUGUUGGAUUUUCCCACUAACUUAGUCCAAGGGUAAAAUGGUCAUUAGAUAUUUCUAGUCAAAACUCAAACUUUGACUUUUCUUGGUCAAAAGUCAAUAUUUUGACUUUUUACCAUUUUGUCCGUCUUGACUAAUUCCAACCUCCCGAGCAUGAAUCCGCAUUCAUUUUACCAAAAUUCAAAUCACAUUUGAAUAUAAGGCCGGUCAAAGUUUGACUUUUUAAAGUCAAAAGUCAACAUUUUGACUUUUUACUAUUUUUGACCAAUUCCGAGCUUCUUAGUAUGAAUCCGCAUUCAUACUUAUAGUAUGUAAAACAUAAAGCUCUAUUUCUAAUUAGAAGACCGACGACUAUAUCACUAUAUAUCUCGGUUUCCCUUUCUUCUCCCAAUUCGAACAAUUCGACUUAUUUCAUCACACUGUUCUAAGUUUAAUCCAUAUGAGCUAGCAGAGGAACCUAAUGGACCUAUAGAUCAUGGGCUCCAACGAUUCAAGAUUAACUAGCUAAACUCUUUUAAACCGAGUUAAUCAACAUUCGUUAACUAACGGGUCAUUCCACUAAAGUCCCGUAGUUGCACUCCCUCACUAUAGAUAUAUUUGUGUCCAUUUGAUAAAACCAUAAUCAGUAAGUUAAUCCUUCACAGGUUGCUCGUAACCUUGGCUGGGUCAAAAUACCGUUUUACCCCCAAGAUUACAUCUUGCUCCUUAAGUCCCACUAAUCCACUAUUGAACAAUUGGUUUAAGGUUCAACCUAUAAACUUAAUCCCUCUCGGGCCAAUGAGAGGGUGGGGCCCCUUGUUCAAGACUUGGAUUCAAUGCUUAAGAGAGCAACCUAUCUACUAACUCUAAAGCGGGUAGGAGUGAAUUCCAUCUUGUACCCUAUGUUCCCAGCUAUCCACCCGAUCUUACCCCUGAAAUGGGAGGCUUAUUGGGCCAACACUGAUGAGCUGCCCUCACCUAUGCAGAUCUAAGGAUAAUAUCGUGUGAACAGGAGUUCAUAGUUAACUCAGGAUUAAGACUAAGUUACCUAGGUCAUCAAUAAUUGAGAUAGUCAGUUUUAAACAGUAAACGGUGUUAUAACGUAAACAUGACUAAUUCAUGGUUCAGUCUUAUGUAAACAUUUUACAUAGGAUGCCCUCACUUUCAUGUCUCUACAUGAACGAUUAGGAUCACCUCGUUUGUACUACAAAGUGGGCCGCAUCCAUAGUUUCUCUAAAUAAGGCGCCCAACCUUUAUUUCAUAUAUUAUAGACUAUUUAGGCUAUAUACUCGAACUUGAUCCACGUUUAUGUUUACACAUAAAGUUCAAGUUUAUUCAAAAAAUAGCCUUGGAACUUGAUUUAUUGAAUUUAAGAUUAUAAUAUUUAAUUUCUCAAUAACAACUUUAUUGAACAGAAUAUGAUUUACAAACUACGAGUUUUAGGACAAAAAAUUCCAACAGUCUUGACAUCCAUCUGCCAAAUUUCAUAAUCAUAAAACGUGGCGAUGCAUAAGACUAUUCUAAUUGACUUUAGCAUGGCAAAGAUAGAGAAACUUUCUUCAUAGUCUAUGUUAGAAAGAGACAUGCGCAGUGGAAAAAUGGAAUACAAAAUUACCCUAAUUGCACCUAUUUAACUUGCAACCCUAAAUUAAAAGAAUUAGGGUUUAGGAAAUAUUAUACCUUUGUAUCUAUUCGAAUAUGAACGUCAAUACCUCUCACAAAUUCCAAAAGUUUUUGAAACCAAAAUGUAACACCUUAAACUUAGGAUUUGGAAUUCAUAUCUCCAGCAUUCUCUGCAUCCCCUGCGACCUGUCAGCAUCAUCCUUACUAUUCUUAAAAACUUAUUAGAAUGAAAUUCCCUUCACAAACCAACACAAAAUCUUUCAUCAUGCUUUUCCUCACUCACAUAUAUCCUAGGAAAAUUUCCAAGAGGUCACCCAACAUAGAAUUUCUUCAAGCUAAGCACGCUUAACUAUGAAGUCCCUAUAAUCGAGCCACCAAAAAAAAAAAAGGUUCACAUUGUUGGUAUAGGUAAUAAGUUUCAAUUCUUUUAAGUCUUUCUUAACAUGACUUUCAUGUCCUCAAGGUGCACCUUGUCGGUAUACUUGUCGAUUUCUCUCUCUUCUCUCAAUUCGAACAAUUCGACUUAUUCCAUCACAAUGUUCUAAGUUUAUUCCAUAUGAACUAGCAGGGAAACCUAAUGGACUUAUGUAUCAUGGGCUCCAACGAUUCAAGAUUAACUGGUUAAACACUUUUAGACCGAGUUAAUCAACAUUCGUAAACUAACGGGUCAUUCCACUAAAGUCCCGCAGUUGUACUCCCCUCACUAUAGAUAUAUUCUUGUCCAUUUAAUAUAACCAUGAUCAAUAAGUUAAUCCUUCACAUGUUAUUCGUAACCUCGAAUGGAUCAAAUUACUGUUUUAUCCUUGAGACUACAUCUUAUUUCUUAAGUUUCAUUGAUCCACUAUUGAACAAUUGGUUUAAGGUCCAACCUAUAAACUUAAUCCCUCUCGGGCUAAUGUGAGGGUGGGCCCCUUGUUCAAGACUUGGAUUCAGUGCUUAAGAGAACAACCUAUCUACUAACCCUAAACAGGUAGAAGUGAAUUUUGUCUUGCAUCCUAUGUUCCUAGCCAUUCAUCUGAUCUUACCCUUGAAAUAGGAGGCUUAUUGGGAGAACGUUGAUGAGAUACCCUCACCUAUGCAGAUGUAACCCUAAAACAAGUAGAAGUGAAUUCAGUCUUAUGUAAGUACUUUACAGUGCUUAAGAGAACAACCUAUCUACUAACCCUAAAACAGGUAGAAGUCAAUUCUGUCUUGCAUCCUAUGUUCCCAGCCAUUCAUCCGAUCUUACCCUUGAAAUGAGAGGCUUAUUGGGAGAACGUUGAUGAGAUACCCUCACCUAUGCAAAUGUAAGGAUAAUCUCAUGUGAACAGGAGUUCAUAGUUAGCUUAGGAUUAAGAUUAAGCUACCUAAGUCAUCAAUAAACGAAAUAGUCAGUUCUAAACAGUAAACGGUGUUAUAACGUAAAAGUGACUAUUUCAUGGAUCAGUCUUAUGUAAGUACUUUACAUAGGAUGCCCCCACUUUCAUGUCUCUACAUGAACAAUUUAGGAUCACCUCGUUUGUACUAAUUACAAAGCGGGUCACAUCCGUAGUUUCUCUAAAUAAGGCACUAUAGACUAUUUAGGCUAUACACUCGAACUUGAUCCACGUUUAUGUCUCGACAUAAAGUUCAAAUGUAUUAAAAAAUAGCAUUAAGACUUAGUUUAUUGGAUUUAAGAUUAUAAUUUUAAAUUUUUCAAUAACGAUUUUAUUGAACUGAAUAUGAUAACAAACUACGAGUUUUAGGACAUAAAAUCCCAACAUAUGUAUUUUUGCCUCUAAUAAUAAUGUUGAAAGAUGUUUGUUGUGGUUUCAUAUAGGUGAUAUCUCUUCUGGUUGGACAUAGUUAGGUUUUGUAAUGGGUGACUUUAACGAUAUCAAAAUGCAUUUUGAGGCUUUUGAUAGGUCUUCUGUUCCUAUGGAUAUGGAGGAGUUCGAUAUGGCUAUUUGCGAGGCUUAUUUAGUUGAACCUACAGUACAGGGUAACUGGUUCACCUGGACUAGAAAGGUUCAUGGGUCUGGUUUGAUAAAAUGGUUUAAUCGUAUUCUGGUUAAUGGUGUUGGAUUACUGCAUGGCCUUCGGAUAUUUCUGAUCACUCCCCUCUUAUUUUAUCCCAACUUUUAGCAGAGACAGUGGGUAGUUUCUUUUUGUUUCUUCAACCAUUGGGUUGAGGAUUCUUUGUUUAUUGAUGUUGUCUCUUUGAUUUGGAGUCGCCAUGUAGGAGUUUCUCUGAUUGUGAGUUUCGUGAGAAAUUUACAUAACCACAAGCCUACCCUCCAUAGACAGUUUGGUAAGCACAUUCAGACCUAAGUGAGGAGGUUCGUAUUGCUAAAGAGUCCAUGGAUAAAGCUCAGAGAAAGGUUGGGCAAAAUCCUAUGUCUGAUGUUUUGAGUCGCCAAGCAGGUCUUGCCAUUGAGGCCUUUUGGACGGCUGUUAGAUUGGAGGAAGCCUUCAUGUGUUAGAAGUCCAAGAGGUUUGUGAGUUGCCUUAGAACUUGUGUUACCUCCUCGAUGUUCUCCAUUAUGAUUAAUGGCUCUUUCAAGGGUUUUUUAAUGGGAGGAAAGGUUGUGGUAGAGUGAUCCUUUAUCUCCUUUCCUUUUUAUCAUGGUGAUGGAGGUCCUCUCUCGUAUGUUGAAUCGGCCUCCUCCGAGCUAUCAGUUUCACAGGCAUUGUGAGAAGGUUAGCUUAACUCAUCUAACCUUUGCUAAUGAUCUUAUGAUUUUUUGUGCUGCUGAUGAUUCCUCUCUGAGUUUUAUUAACGAGACAAUUAGAAAGUUUGGUGAUCUCUCGGGGCUAUUUACUAACUUAGUAAAAUUUCUAUGUUUGUUGUAGGGGUUAAUAGUGAUGAUGUUUAUCGUUUGACUACCAGUUUGGGUUUUGUUCUCAGGCAUCUCCCUGUUCGUUAUCUUGGGCUUCCUUUACUUUCUGGGAGGUUACGACCUACUGAUUGUGCUCUCUUAUUCAACGUAUUACUAGUCAGAUUCAUUCUUGGUUUGCUAGAGUUUUAUCAUUUGCAGGUAGAUUGCAACUGGUUUGAUAUGUGCUUGAUAAUCUUCAGGUUUACUAGGCUAACGUGUUUGUGCUGCCUGUGAGUGUGCAUCAUGAGGUUGAUAAAAUCUUGAGGUCUUAUCUUUGGAGGGGUAAGGAGGAAGGUAGAGGAGGUGUUAAGGUGGCGUGGGCUGAGGUGUGUUCCUUUUGAGGAGGGUGGUCUUGCUAUUCUUGAUGGGUCUUCUUAGAAUGUUGUGAGUACUAUGAAGAAUCUUUGGUUGUUGCUGACUAGUUCGAGUUUUCUAUGGGUUGCUUGGGUGGAGGCAUAUGUUCAUAAAGGAAGGUCAUUGUGGGAGGUCGAUUCUUGUGUUGGUCGGUCUUGGUGUCUUUGCGCUAUCAUGUGUAAACGAGAUAGUCUAAAAGAGCAUGUUCAGAUGGAGGUUGGGGAUGGUAGGCAUUGUAAAUCUGUGCCUGGAUCCGUUGUUGCAGGGUGGUCUUAUCCUUCAACAAGUUGGUGAGAGAGCGCUUUAUAAUGUAACGAGUAGAUAGGAGGCUAGGCUCUCUAAGUUUAUUGGUUCGAAAGGGGAGUGGAGGUGGUCGAGGGUGUCUUUGGAUUUGAUUAAUUUAUGGGAUAGGGUUCAAGUUGUAAGUUCAUGUCCUAAUGUUGGUGAUAGGUGGGUUUGGGUUCUUGGUCGUCAUAGUGGUUUUUUGAUUGCUAGUGCAUGGGAUACUAUUCAUCCUCGUAGUGUUAAGGUUCGUUGGACAGGUUUCUUGUGGGUGGGGAUUGAGAGUCUCGUUAUCAUUUGUUUUUUCAUGUCCUUUUGGUUGUGAUAUUUAGUCUCAGGUCCUUUAGGUUAUGGCUUCCUCUCACAGGAUUGGUAUUGGGGGGUUGAGUUGUUUAGGGUUUGUCAUUAGUGUAUUGGUAAGGGUGUGAGAAGGAAGUUGUGGUAUGUUCUCUGGUGUGCUACGAUUUAUUUUAUGUGAAAGGAGCAUAAUCAUUGUCUCCAUGGUGGUCAAGCUCGUGAGCUCAUUGUUCUGUUUCAGCUUAUUCCAUCUUGUAUCAGUGCUCGUGUUGUUUAUUUGCAUGAGGAUGCUCAUGGUAUUAUUUAGCUUGUUUUCUUUUUGAUUUUUGUUUUAUCUGCUUGUUCUCGGUUGUGGGGUUGUUUGGACUUUUUAUGUUUUUGUUGCUCUUAAUUUUGUUGGGAUUAUUAUUGUUAGUUCACAGGAACUGCAUAAUCAAGCACAUAAACAUCCACAUUGUCAUUCAUUGUAGGCAGCUUUGAUACACAAAAAAUAUGGAUAUUUUCAGAAGUUCAAACAUACAAAAAAAAACAUAUCCUUGUCAGAAAAUAGCCAACUAAGAAAGAGAAGUUCAAGAUUUAUAUACAAAGUGCAGCUGCAAAAGGACAAGCAAGAUGCCAUAAUCUAUAUAUUAUGCAGUCGAUAUUAAUUGGCAAGUACUAACAGCAAAGGUACCAAAAUAAAACCGUAUCAAUUUAUCUUGUCUAAAACUAAACAGUAUAUGUAAAUCUUGCAAACAAACAAGUUUUUUGAAUCAAAACUGCCAAAAGAUUUUGAUUCAAGUGAUAUGUGGAUUGUGAUCUUUUGUGUCACCCAUCCAUUCCUCCUGUUUUAACCAUUUAAAUCAAUAAAUAAUUUUAUGUUCAAACAUAAGUUGGACAACCUUUGUUAAAGAACUGCUUCCCAAAACAAAUAGCAUUAACCACCCUUUUUUAAUUCAACACAUGGGAAUAAAGAUCGAAUCUCUGAUUUUUUGGUCUAAGGUACCUUUCCUAAACUUGUCGAAUUCCAUUUUCUACACCAACUUUAGAACGAGUAUAUACAUCAAGUAAUUUCAUGUUCAACUCAAAAUUGGACAACCAUAGUAUUACUCCAAAGCAAACAAUACUAACUGUUCCAUUAAAUAUUUUUUUAUAGCUCUUGAUUGUCUCACUUUUUUGUAUUUUGAAUUUACAAGCCUCUUUUUCUUUCUUUGGUAUGAAAGGUGGCAACUAGGCCUUGCUAGAACGAGUGGGGUAACCUUUCUAUGGUAGUACACUUAGUUUCGAAGUUCGAAGUUUUCCUCCUACAGUGGAUCAUCGAUAUUGAUUCUUCUACUGUUAAUUCGACCUCCCACUAAUUCUCUUCUUCUAAGGAUUCACUUUUCUCUAAGGCUCUGCACUUUACUAAAAAGCCUUGAUCUUCUUCCCCCAAUGUUUUCAUAAACUUCUUAAGACAGACCCUGACCUUGGUUAGGCUCGGAUCUCCUUGGAUUAUCACCUUAUUCCCCUGAUAUGUAAAUGUUAACAUCAUAUUCUUCCAAUCCACUCCAGUCGUUCCCAAGGAAUACAAUCACUGCAUUCCAAGUAUGGCAACUACCCCUCCCAACUUCAAGGGUAAAAACUCAUUCACUACCUUCUAGUCUCCCAGCAUUAACUCAACAUCUUCACAAAUUACCUUCCCUUUGACUACAGUGCCCGAGCCCAAAAUGACUCCAUAAUUCGACGUUUCUCUUGUACUCAGUUGCAACUCUUUCACUAUUUUUUCCUGAAAUGAAAUUGCGUGUGACUUCACAAUCAAUUAGUACUAUAGCCACAUUCCCUUGUAUCAUCUCUUUUACCUUCAUUUUCCCUAGGUUGGAUAAUCCCACCACAUAAUUAAUGGAUAAUUCCACCACCACCUGACUCUCCUCUACGAUCUCAGGGGCAUUCAACUCUUUCUGAUCAAUUCCUCAUUCUUCGAUAAUUUCAUACUCCUCGCCUUCUUCCUUCACAACAAUCAUUCACAAUUCCCUUUGCUCUUUCAUCUUGCAUUUGUGGUCAUGAGAAUAUUUCUCAUUACAGCGAAAGCACAAUCCCUUCUUUCUAGAUUGAAAUUCAGCAUCAAAUAAGCGCUUCGCCUGUCCCUCUUUCCGUACUUCCUCUUUUGUUGUUCCUCGUAGAGUAAUAGUUCUCAUCGGCCAAUUCAUUCCUCCUUUACUUUCUUCUGUAUUCGCAAUGGUAUUAGCCUUGGUGCUAUUAUGGGAGUUUAUCACCUUUUCUCCAGAAUAACAGAAAGAUUUGCUUCCUGACGUAUAUCUUCCUUGUUCUCUACCUUUUGCGCGAUUCAUAUCAUUUGUGCUAAUCCCUUCGACUCACAUAAAUCCAUCUCCGCCUAGAUCCACAGUUUCAAUCACGACAUAAAUGUCUCUUUUACCACCUUCUCUAAUAGGUCCGACAAAGGAGCUACCCACUUAUCGAAUAAAUUUUGAUAUUCCUCUAUCGUUUUCUUUUGUUGAAUUUGCAAGAACCUUACAUACAACGAUUCCUCCCUCACGGAUCGAAAUCGCACAAAUAAUCUUUCCUUCAUAUUCACCCAAUCUACAAAGUUCUCUCGUUCUUCUUGAGAACGGUAAAAGUUCAAUGCUAGUCCCUCAAAACUAAUAGUGGAUACAGUCAUUUUCUCAAAUUCAGUAAGUUUAUGAAUGUGCAAAUACCUCUCUACGCGAAACAGCCAAGAAUCGGGAUCAUCUCCAUUGAAUAUCGACAUCUCCACCUUCUUAAACUUAUUGCAGUAACUAUUACUUUCAUCAUAUAUUUUCUUUCCUUCCUUCCUUGUUUCGUUCUCCCAUCUUGGUCACCCUUCGCCUUCGUCCACAUUCUUCGUCGAUGAAUUGUGCAUUGUUGUCGAUUCCAUAAUUCGUAACAUCAUCUAAAUUCUACCUCUCCAUAUUUUUGGAUAUUUUGGCCAACGUCUUUUCGAUCACCAGUAUCUUACUAAUCUCUUUCUUAAUGUCCUGUAUUUCCUGGUCAAACGUCUCCAUCUCUUCGAUCCGAGUCUGAACCAUUUGCAUUCUUCUUGCCCGAGAUCAAUGCUCUAAUACCAAUUUGAUGGAAACCAGUCUUGGAAUGAAAUUGCUACUAUAUUAUUAAUGAUAGAAUAGGAAUGAAAUCCUAAUUACAAUAUGAAAUCCCUCUCCUGUUAUCCUCUCUCUCAAGGAAGAAUAGAAAUUCACUUUCUCAAACAAAACCUAACUUUCCCGCCCACGAUUACUUUUUAUUUAUACUAACAAUAAGGUAACUAACCCUUCCCUUUACUAACCCUCACAUGCUAUUCAUGUGCACGUGAUAUAUAUUUUUUUAAUUUCUUUGUCCCUCUUCCACUGUACAGAUGUAAUAUAGGGGGUCUAUCAGAUUCCUCCUCUUUUCAAAGCCUCCAACCAAACUCAAUGCUAAGUUUGACUGCUCCCUUCAGAGUGAAGACCCUCAUUUUCCCCCUUCCGUGGUUUGGGGAGGAUUCCUUCUCUUUUUAAAGCCCUCAAUCAAACUUGAUGCUAUGUUUAGAACGCUAAGAAUAGGUGGUCUAGUUUUGGUUAGGCCAAAAGUGAAAAUUUCCCCAAAAGCACUAAUAGUUAGGGAACUCAACACAUUCUACUUGACUUAAUCGACUUGACUCUCUAAUUUUUAUGAGCUUUUUUCAAUGCAUAUUGCAUAUGUUUUUUUUAUAGUUGUUGAUUGUCUCACAUUUUUAUGGUUUGCAUUUACAAGCCCUUUUUUCUUUCUUUGGUAUGAAAUAUGGUAAUAGGCCUUGCUAGAACCGGUGGGGUAAUCUCUCUAUGGUUCUACACUUAGUUUCAAAGUUUGAUUACUCCCUUCGAAGUGACAACAAGCCUCGUUUUCCCCUAUUGUGGAUCAGAGAGGAUUCCUCCUCUUUUCAAAGCCCUCAAUCAAACUCAAUUAGAGUAAAAAGGAAAAAUUUUCAUCUCGGGCGCGUGUACCUCACACGCAUCUCUCUAGGAUUUCCAAGUUCUCUCACUCAGCUGGUGAAGGAGGCGAACGGUUGGUGAGUGCUGCGGUCAGCAAGGGAUCAAAUUCGAAGGUAAUUCGUUCAAUUUUGGCAGAUUGAAUGUGAAAACUAAUGUCAUUUGGUAUCCAUUUCGAAAUUUAUUACAAUUGAUCAAUUGAACCAUUACGAAUGAUAUUCGUUUUGAUUCGGGAGAAUUAACGUCUGUCAGAAAUUGUUUAAAUCGGUUUCCAAGCUGAAUUGAUUUGAACUAUCUUGAAAGUAUUGCGUGUGGUACGAAUCGAUUUAUUGGCUAUCAGUUCUGGGUUUGAGACCGUGAUUUAAUUCACUCGCUGGAGGGAUCUCGCAUGAAUCUCCUCGGUUGAAUUUCAAUUCUUUUUUUAUUCAUGUUCCCAAAUUGGGCCGAAAAGAUCAUCACGGGUGUUGGGUUGAUGUCCUAAGCAUGAAACGAUGAAGAAAUUAUCCAGUGACAUUGAGGAGGUGAAGAAACGCGUGAUGUCAAGCCUUCAACGCGUACAUGAUAUGGCGGCGAACGACCGAAGGGCGGCGACUGUAAAGGCUGACCUAAUUUCUGCGAGGAAGAAACGGUCGGACAUGAGUGGACCCGAACCGGUUUACGUGAACUGUGAUACAUCUAAAAACCGAAAUACAGGAAAUGGAUCGAGCGAAAUGGUCCCAUGAAGAUUGUUGGCCAAAGGCGUGUGGGCCGAUUGUUUUGAAUGAAAACUUGAUGAAGUCCAAUGAGCCGGUAAAGGGGCUGAAGCCGAAUGGUAUGGACACAUUUACGAAUGGAAUUCGUCAUGGAUCUCUGGUUGAUGGGCCAUCGUUGAAUGAUGGGCCGUCCAUCUCACACGAAACUGGGAUCUCACAGAAGGAGUGCUUACCUGUUGGUGCUUCAAGUGUUCAGCAUGUUGGGCAAAUUGCAGCGGCCAAAGGAUAUGGACCUGGGCUGGAUGCUAUUGCAAGUGCCCCAAAGAUUGGGCCGGUUGAUGGGCAUUUGAAUGAUGGGCCAGCCAUUAGAGAACCGUUUGGUACUAAUUCAAAUGGUGGGCCGCCUGUUCCGAUUCGUGGGCAUGAGGUGCAUAAAUCUAAUAAUUCUGGAGGUGCAGGCAAAAAUUCAUGGGCUUCCUUAUUUGGCUCAACAAGAGGUUUCUCUUGACUAUACACCUCUAACUACCGUGGGAGAGAAAAUUGUGGUGACCCCGUUUGAAGGAGAUAAAUGGCCUUUAUCUAUAGUGGAUGGCUCCCCUCCUCCCUUACGAGUAGAUGACUCUUCUAUGGUCCUUUUGAGUACUACAGGUGAUGUCAUUCCUAUGGGAGAGGCAGCUCCCAUACAACCUCAUGGUUAGUUGGUGUACGUGAACGUGCGGGGCCUUAAUAGCCCUGUAAAGUGUAGAGCGGUGAAGGACUUCUUAGCCGUGUCUACGGUGGGUUUCUGUUGCAUCCUAGAGACUAGAGUUCGAGAGGAGAACUUUGUCUCGAUAUCUAGAAGAUUUGGUGAUUCGUGGGGGUUCAUUAGUAACUACAGCAAUAGUGGAGUAGGUCGGAUGUGGAUUAUGUGGAAACGUAACAGAUUCGUGUUCACGACUAACGAGGUUGUCGACCAGUUUAUUUCUGGUGUAAUAACAGAUUUGAUCUCUGGGGAGAAGGUAGAGGUUCUGUGUGUGUAUGCCUCUAAUAGUAAUAUCAAGAGACGUGUUUUAUGGAGGCGAAUGGCUGAGAUCUCUGCUGGUUGGAGAGGACCGGGUAUGGUCUUGGGUGAUUUUAACACCAUCAGACUCCACUCUGAAGCCUUCGGGGGUGCUUCGAACGUGGGGGAUAUGGAGGAGUUUGACAUGGCUAUUCGAGAGGCGGACCUUGUUGAACCCGCGGUCCAGGGAACUGGUUUACUUGGACUAGUAAGAUACAUGGGUCGGGUUUGAUGAAUAGACUUGAUCGUAUCCUAGUGAAUGAUGAGGGGCUUAGUACAUGGUCUAACAUGAGGGUUAACGUCCUCCCGUGGGUAUUUCUGAUCAUUCUCCCAUACUUGUCUAUCCCAGUAAUCAGCGAAGCCAACAAGUGGUCUCUUUUCGUUUCUUUAACCAUUGGGUUGAAGAAGCGUCCUUUAUGGAUGUUGUGUCCUCUGCUUGGACCAAAGAUACUAGAGUUUCUCCAACUGUGAAUAUUGUGAGGAACUAAAGAAAUCUCAAGUCGAUUCUUCGCAGACAUUUUGGUAGGCAUAUCCGGACCAUCAGUGAGGAUGUUCGUCUUGCCAAUGAUACCAUGGACCGAGCUCAAAGAGAGAUGGAGACGAACUCUUUGUCGGAGGAGGCGAGUAAUCACGCGAGCUUAGCCACGGUAAACUUUUGGACAGCCGUUAGAAUGGAGGAAGCCGCUAUGCGCCAGAAGUUGCAAAUCAGAUGGUUGAAGCUAGAUGACCAGAAUACUGCCUUUUUUCAUCGAUCUGUUCGAUCAAGGCAGAGCAGCAAUGCUUUGAGAUCAGUUAUUGACCCAGAUGGAAAUCGGUUGACUAACCAUGAUCAGGUGACUCAGGUGGUAGUGAAUUAUUUCAAAGAUAGUCUGGGUUCUCAGAAUAUUAGCUACAAAGAGCUCUCUACUAGUAUUGAGGAGAUUGUUCAGUUUAGAUGGACUGAGGAGUGUUGCCAGACCCUCCAGUCGCCUAUUGGCAGGGAGGAAGUGAGACGUGUUCUGUUCUCCAUGGAUGGUGGAAAGGCUCCAGGCCCUGAUGGGUAUUCAGUUAGCUUCUUCAAAGGAGCUUGGACGGUGGUUGGAGAGGGUUUCUAUGAUGUCGUCUUACACUUCUUUGAGACCAAUUACUUCCCUCAAGGGGUGAAUACGAUUGCUAUUACACUUAUUCCUAAAAGGAAUGGUGCUGAUCGAUUGGAGGAUUUCAGCCCUAUAUCUUAUUGCAGCGUUAUUUAUAAGUGCAUUUCAAGAAUAUUGGCAGAUAGGCUUCGUGUGUGGCUUCCUUCUUUUGUUAGUGGAAAUCAGCCAGCUUUCAUCCCUGGGAGGAGUAUUAUUGACAAUAUUCUUCUUUGUCAGGAGCUUGUAGGGGCAUACCAUUUGCACAGAGGUAAACCUCGGUGCACUAUGAAGGUUGACCUCCAAAAAGCUUAUGAUUCUGUUAAUUGGGAUUUCCUCUUUGGCCUGCUGAUUGCCAUAGGUACGCCUUUAAGAUUUAUGAGUUGGGUUCGAGCGUGUGUGACCUCUCCGAUGUUCUCCAUUAUGAUUAAUGGAUCGUUGGAAGGUUUUUUCCAUGGGAGGAAAGGACUUAGACAAGGUGACCCUUUAUCCCGUUCUUAUUUGUGAUGGUCAUGGAGGUGCUUUCUCGCAUGUUGAACAGCCCACCUCAGAAUUUUCAAUUCCACCAGUUUUGUGAGAAGGUCAGAUUAACUCAUCUUACUUUUGUAGAUGACCUAAUGAUCUUUUGUACUGCUGAUAAUCAUUCUAUGAGUUUCAUAAAAGAGACUAUUAAGAGGUUUGGUGAGCUUUCGGGAUUGUUUGCUAAUCUUCCUAAAAGCUCAAUUUUUCUUGUGGGGGUUAAUAGUUCGAAAGAUUCUCGGCUUGCUGCUAACAUGGGUUUUUCCAUUGGUCAUCUCCCUAUUCGUUAUCUUGGGCUUCCUCUCCUCUCUGGAAGAUUGCGGAGCUCUGAUUGUGAUCCCCUUAUUCAGCGUAUUACCAUUCGUAUUCGGUCUUGGUCUGCUAAAGUGUUAUCUUUUGCAGGUAGACUUCAGCUUGUUCGCUCAGUCCUUAGGAGCCUUCAGGUUUAUUGGGCUAGUGUGUUCAUGCUUCCUAUGAAAGUCCACAGAGACGUUGAUAAGAUCUUGAGGGCUUAUCUGUGGAGAGGUAAGGAGGAGGGAAGAAGUGGUGCUAAAGUUGCCUGGGAUGAGGUUUGUCUUCCUUUUGAUGAAGGAGGUCUUGAUAUUCGCGAUGGAUCUUCUUGGAAUAUAGCAAGCACGUUGAAGAUAUUAUGGUUGCUACUUGUUAAAUCUGGUAGUUUGUGGGUUUCUUGGGUGGAAUCUUAUAUCCUUAAAGGGAGAUCGCUGUGGGAGAUCGAUGCUGGGGUGGGUCGAUCUUGGUGCUUUAGGGAAAUCUUGCGUAAGCGGGAUAUCCUUAAAGCUCAUGUUUAGAUGGAGGUGGGCAAUGGAAGGAAGUGUAGAGUGUGGUUGGUUCCAUGGAUUCAGGGUGGGCCGAUUAUCCAGCAGUUUGGGGAGAGGGUGAUCUAUGAUGCGGGUAGUCGGUGGGAUGUGAGGCUGGUGGAUUUCAUGGGUCGGGAUGGUGAUUGGAGGUGGCCGCUUGUUUCUUUGGAUUUGAUGGACAUUUGGGAUAGGGUUCAGGGAGUGAGGCCGAGUCCGAGUGUUGAGGAUAGGUGGGUCUGGGUGCCGGGAGUCGUGAUAGUUUUUCGAUCACUAGUGCGUGGGAGACUAUUCGUCCUCAUAGUAGUAGGGUUGGAUGGUCGGGUUUACUAUGGGGUGGGGGAAAUAUUCCUAAGCACUCCUUCUGUGCUUGGUUGGCCAUCAGGGAUAGGUUGAGUACUAGAGAUAGGUUAAGUCGGUGGGAUAGGUCGAUUCCUUUAUCGUGUUUGCUUUGUGGAGGGAACUAUGAGUCUCGUGAUCAUUUGUUUUUUUCUUGUCAUUUUGGGUGGGAGAUUUGGUCGAGGAUCCUUUUGCUUAUGUCAUCUUCUCAUAGAAUCGGUUAUUGGGGGUUGAGUUAUCUUGGAUUUAUAAUCAGGGUAUUGGGAAGAGUGUGAGGAGAAAACUGUGGCGCCUUCUCUGGUGUGCUACAAUUUAUUUCAUUUGGCAGGAGCGAAAUCAUCGUCUUCAUGGAGGUGCUGUUCGGGAGCCUAUGGUUGUAUUCCAGCUCAUUCGGUCGUGUAUUAAAGCGUGUGCUGCUUCUUGGUCGGAUGGUGUUCAUGGUCUUAUUUAAUGUUCUUUUCGUUUGCUUGUCCUCGGGCUGUGGGGUUUCUCUUCUCUUUAUUAACUUUGUUGUCUUUCUCUCUUUUUCUUGUCCUUUUAAUGUUUGGAACACUAGUUGGUUUCUUUUGGUUUUAGUUCUUGUUCCCGAGAUGUGGGGUUGUUUUGGGUACUUAUGGGUUGUUUUGUCUAACUACUUGUUUUGUGAGUGUUGUUCGCUCUUUUGUCUUGACCUCAGGCUGUGAGGUCCACCUUGUUGUUGUAUAAUAUUAUCAUUACCUUUUCAAAAAAAAAAUCAAACUCAAUGCUAAGUUUGACUGCUCCCUUCGAAGUGACAACAAGCCUCGUUUUCGCCCUACUGUGGAUCGAGGAGGAUUCCUCCUCUUUUCAAAGCCCUCAAUCAAACUUGACGUUAUGUUUAAAACACUAAAAAUAGAUGGUCUAGUUUUGGUUAGGCCAAAAGCGAUGUUUUCCCCCAAAAUCUCUAAUAGCUAGGGAACUCAACAUGUUCUACUUGACCUAAUUGACUUGACUCUGUAUUUUUUAUGAGCUUUUUUUAAUGCAUAUUGCAUAUGUUUUUUUUUAUAAUUGUUGAUUGUCUCACUUUUUUAUGGUCUGCAUUUACGAGCCUCUUUUCUUUCUUUGUUAUGAACUGCGGUAACUAGGCAUUGCUAGAACCGAUGGGUAACAUUUCUAUGGUUCUACACUUAGUUUCUAAGUGUGAUUGCUCACCUCUAAUUUUCAAAACACUUAAUUUCUAAGCACAUACAAUGUUCACCUAGAAAAAAAUGAAAAUUGUUGUAGUUAAGAUCAAAACUAAAUAGUUAUGAAAUAAGACAUAAGAGAUUUGAUUUUAACAACCUUCCCGUUGUACUUGGGAUCCACUCUGGCUUUGUGCUGGAAAAUUGGUUUGGAGCUGAUCGUAAGCUUUCGGUUGCUCUUCUGUAACCUUUAGAUACUCUUCAAAGCUAUAAGCUUUGCUUCCUGACGAAUAAUCUUCUACUAUUACAAUACAUAAGAAAAUUCUAUUUCAUAAACCCUGUAUCAUAAUUGAGGCUGAUAGAAUGAUUAUUCUAUAACCCUACCGAUAGUUUCAUUCUUAACAUUCAUAGACACGAUGCAUGGCAGCUAUCCAAUUCUAUUUCAUGUUCUCGAGAAUGGCUCGGUUUAACAAUAAUGUUAAUUUUUGUUUUCUAUUUUAAAAUAAUAACGCUGCUUACUAAUAACUAAAUGUUUUAAGCCAUUUACAAAUUAGAUUUCAAUAAAUCGAUAAUCAUAUUUUUUUACAAUAUAGGACUAAAAAAGAUAACUAAUUUAUAUAUAUAUAUAUAUAUAUAUAUAUAUAUACAUACAACAGUAUUUAGUUAAAUUACAAAAAAAAAUUCUUUUGAAUUUUGUAGUUUGUGUAAAAAAAUAACCUUAAACUUUGAAAUGUUAAAAAAAAUUGUUUUGAACUUUUAAAAAUUAUUCAUAAAUACAUCUAUAUACGUAGGAUGAAGGUAUUGGCAUGCUUCUCUAAAAAAACUUUCCAAAAAGAUGUUGUGUGACUUUUGAAAAGAAAAAUUACAAAUGGGGUCGUUUUUAAACAAAUUAGAUAUAUCGAGUUAUAUUUAUUUAAUUUUUUUCCUUUUUUCACAUAUUAUCAAUCACAUCUUACUUUUUUCUUUUUUCUUUGGAACCCUGCAAAAAUAACAAAAACAUUUAUAAUCACAUGACUCAUGUCACUACAUUUUCUAAAUUUUAAAAGUAGUAAAUUUAAAAGUUGAUAACCCUAUGAUUAUCGUUUGAUAGUCAUCUAAUAUCACUAAUUUUGUCAUAUUCGUAAUAUCCAAAUAAGGUUUCUUGGUGAGUCUAGAGUCAAACGUGAGGACUUAUACUAAAAAUAUAUUUAUAUUUUGAAAUUAUCUUAAGGUGAUUAAUAACAUACGCCUAAGAACAAUAGCGGUAUCAUCCACUUGUAAGGGGGGAGGGGAGUCAUCCACUAUAGAUAAGGUCCACUUGUCUCCCUCACCCAACUUCAUAAGGCUGCCAAAAGAGUUAGGCAUAAUCACAUCCACACGUUUACCCUUCUCUCGAACAUAAACCAACUCUCUUUUCUUCCUAAUAACGAGUAAUUUCAUCUCGAUUACCUACCUCCUUUUCCUUAAUAUGCCUAAUGGGGGAGCUAUUAGUCUUACUUUCCUCCAACUAUUUAAAGUCUAACACCACAUCCACAAGACACAAUUGUCCAUUCCUCCUCUUUGUUUGAAACCACCUUGCUCACAUCCUUCUCUCGAUGAACUUUGUUUUCCACAAUCUUAGGACACUUACCACUAGAAUGCCCAAAAGACCGGCACAAAUUACACCUUCGAGGCUUCCACUCAUAAUUCACAGUCAUAACGAAAUCCUCUCCCCUAAGGUGAAUUGUAAAUUCAGCAAGCAUAGGAGAGUCCACAUUUGAUUCAACACAUACUCAAGCAUGUGACAACCUUCGUCUUUCCUUAGUAGCUAGAUCUAAAGAUAGAGGUUUUCCUAUAGCACUAGCCACAACAGUCAAUCUGACAUCUAUCCAUAACUCCAUUGGAAUCCUACCUAGUUUAAUCCAUAUAGGAACAUAAUAAAAAACAAAGGAUUUAGGGACAAUACCUGGAGUCCAUUUACAGAGGAGCAUACUUUUGCCAGCAAGAUGUCGCGAUCAACGAGGUAGGAUCCAUUCAACAAGUUUUGGGCAUCUGAAUUGGAAACAUAUGAGUCCGUUCUCAAGAAUUGUAAUCGUUGGCAUUUUAAUUUUAUCAACAAUAACAACGAGCUAAACAAAAUCCUCUAUCCAGGACGCACUAAUGAAAACUAAAAUGUAAAAUAAGUACGAAGUAAUUAAUUAAAACAGAAGACAAAAGAAACCCAAAGUAAGUUGACAAAAUGCCCACAAUAAGCUUCAAGAUGAGUGAGAGGGAACACCAAGAGAAACAUGAAUAGCCUUGCUAACUUUUCACUACUAGCUAACUACAUAUAUUUUUACAAUACGUGUUAGGGAAAUCUUUCCCUUUGCAAAACAGACCAAUAUAUAAUCAAUCAUUGGCUCCUUAUGGGAAAAUACAGAAGCCCUAUACAUGUCUGUUUCAAGCUUGUGUUGAACAACUUUUAAUUCCCUAAGAUAAGGAGAUUUAUCUGAAGGUUCGAGAAUAAUGGCAUGUCCUAAACUAACCCACCAUUUCGCAACAGUGAACCAGUUUGAUCGUUAGGGGACAACUUUUGAUAAUAAGCGCACAACCAUGCCCCAAUUCCAAUGUUGCCCAAAAGUAAAGGCCUUUCUUCACAAUGCUCCAUAAAAAAAAAGUUUGACUUUCACAUAAAGAUCUUAUUUCUUUUUUAUUGCUCCAAGAGAUCUAAUAGAUCUAUUUUCACCACGCAAAUCCCUUUUGUUAUCAUGGAAAAUGUGUUGGUUGUGCUCAAACCAAAUCUCUGCUUGCAACACUUUUAUCAAAUUAACCCAUGUUUUUUUUUUUAAAAAAAAGAGGAUAUGAGUCUCACUAUUAUUAAUAUUGAAAAAUGAAGAGACAAAGCUCAAUGUCAUGAGGAUUAUACAAAGAGCAAUAGGAUGGAGGAUCAAUAGACGCACCUGGACAUCUCAACUAGGUUGACACCCCCUUAGCACCCUCAUCACAUCCAAAAAGCGACAACACAAGAUCAAAACCAAAAGCCACAAAUAGAAGGCUUUUUUUGUGUUUGUUUUGCCUUUGGACAUUACUCCUUUGUUAUGGGUUUUAGCUUGGUUGGAUAUGAUGAGGGUGCUAUGGGGGUGUCAACCUAGUUGAGAUGCCAAGGUGCACCCCCUGAUCCAUGGUUACAUGUUCAUUGUAUAACUCUCUUGUACUAUGAGCUUUUGUCUAAUUAUUAUUAUUAUUUUAAUAUUAAUAAAGAGGUUGUCUCCUUUUCAAAAAAAAACAAAAAAAAAAAAAAAAAAAACAAAAGCCACAAAUAUAAAACCAAGCAAAACGAUAAAAUAAUAUGUCCAAAACAAAAUCAUAAAUCAUAGGUAGCAGGUCGAGAACAAAGAAGAAUAAGCCUUGAUUGAGCAAAAAAUCCCAACAAAUAUUGAAUGUUUGGAGAAGACGGAACCAACAUUUCGAUACAAAGACAUAGUCAAUUCAAAGGUGCUAAAUAUUUUUCAUGUUAUCAACACAAAUGGGGCAGACAUGAGGUGAGAGGACAUGGGAGGGAAGUUUUCUUUGAAGUACUAAAGCACAGUUUAAUUUUCCAAACAACGUAAUCCAUAUGGGGAUAUUUAUCCAAAGAGUGAGCUAAAUAGCCCAAUGAGUGAUUGUUUUAUAAAACAUCGUUUUGAAAUAAUAAGUAUUUAACAAUUAACUCUUAACAUAAAUGAAAUCAAACUCAAACAACUUAUCUCAAACUUUCCCUUUCAGUUGCUAUACCUAGAAUCGUCGAGACGAAAAACAAUAAACUAGGCAUAGAAGCCCUAUCCCGUGAUACGAUACUUACGAGAUGAAACUCUAGGCAUCAAUUGUGCCCUAUCUCGUUAUAACUACAAUGAGAUGGAAAACUAGGCAUUCGUACAGGCUCUCAUCCCUUGAGAUGGGAAACUAAGCAUCUUUAGAAGUCUUCAUCUCUUAUCUAAUACCAAUGAUGGAAAGCUAGGUAUUUACUGAAUAUCCAAAUCAAAUGACCUCUAUGCACAAGAAAAUAUUUCCCGAAGGGUUGCUAUAUAUCUUAGAAUAUUUUAGGUAUAGACUAAAACAUGCUAAUAUUAUUUUCAAGCUUAAACAUUUUGAAAACUUAGCACAAUCAUGAUUGCUUAUAAUUUUCAUUAGUAAAUUCAUCAAUAAAAACAUGUUUACCAAAAUGUUUCUAAAUUCAUGCUUUGGAAAUACUUUAUAAGUCAGUAUUCUCAAAUAUUCAAACAUCAAAGCAUGCUUGAAACAUUUGAUAGUAAAUUCAUGUUUAGAAAUCAACUUUAAACUCAUUUUUGUCAUUUAUAGAGAGUAGCUUGGACCCUUGGCUUAUAAACUUGUUCGAUCUCCUUCAGAUCUAAAAUAAUGAAAAAUAAUGGGAAAUAAUUCCAUUUAAUUCCCGUUGAUCAUAAAAAUAUCAAAACUUUGCUUAAAAUUUCCAAAAACCACAAAAACAGCCUAAAGACAUUAGCUUGCGUACAAAAUAUUGUGGCAGAAGUUGGCAGGUGCGCGUAGGGCUUGCCUUGCCAUGUCUCGUUCUAACUUUUCAAACACGGAACAGACUAUUGUGCGACACUUGUUGUAACUCGAUGAACACGUCAGUUGUAUGAAAUUCGAUACGAUGUAGCCUCCCUAUAGGUUUUAAGAGAAAUUGGUUUUAUUAAACAUGAGAGAGAAAGGAAAGCAUUGGAAACAUCGUUAAAAAAAACUUUGAAGACUGUCCAUUGCAAAGAGAGCUUAAAUUGCAAAGAGUACCAUUAGUGUCGUUUUUAAGAAAAUUGUUUUCUUCUAGAUAUUAUAACUCUCUUUCCUUCUAGGAAUAGAAAAUGAAGUAGAAGAGAAUCAUGAGAUUCUAUUAAUUUAUAAAUAAUUAAAUUAAUAUAUAUUUCAAAUCUACUGAUUAAUUAAACAUUAAUCAAUUAGUUAAUAAUUAAUGAAAUCGAAUUUAAUUAAAUAAUAUUAAACUAAACUAUUAAUUAAUUCUCCAAUUAACUAAUAACACUAAAUUAUUUAUCUUAUAUUUAACUUAAAUUAAAUUUGAAUCAUAUUCAAAUAUAAGUUUCUCUCAAUAAUUUUAAUAUGAAUCCAAUUCACAUUAAAUUAAUAUUUGAACUCAUUCAAAUAUUUUAUCUCUCAUAAAUUAAUUUUGAAUCAUCCCCAAAGUUAAAUUUAUAUAGUAAAGUUUGAUAAACUUUAUAUUAUAAUGUAUCACUAUACAUUAUACUAAUUCCCAAGUUAAAUUUAAACAUUUUAAAUUACAACCAAUACAAAUAAAUCUCAUUACCCUUUACGAGCUAGGAAAGGGACCUAAUGGACCUACAGAUCAGAAGCUACAACGAUCUAAGAUUAAUUGGCUAAACUCAUUAAUCAAUAUUUGUUAGCUUUGUGUACACUCCACUAAAGACUCACAACUGAACUCUUCUCACUAAAAAUAUAUUUAUGUGUCCAUGGAUAUAGACCAAUAAUAGUAAGUUAGUCCUUCACGAGUGUUUGUAACACCAGUUGGACCAAUUUACCGCUUUACCCCUAUGUUACCUCUAAUCCUUAAAAACCAGUGCUCCUCUAAUGAACAACUUGUUUAUGGUCCUACUAAUAAACAAAAACCAUCUCAUGUCAUAGAGAGGGUACGAGCCCUUUGUUCAAGUUUUGGAGACACCAUUUAAGCUAACAUUCAUCUACUUACCCUAAAGUAGGAAAUGAGUGAAUUCCAUUUUGUGCAAUUAUAAUCCCAACUCCCCACUCAGUCUUGUCCCCAAAAUCACUACUACAAAAACAGGCUCUCUUGACGGUUGUAGUUUUCCUUUCUUGACGUUUUUUCCCAAAAACGUCAAGAAAGAUGUGAUUUCAAAUAAAAAAACGUCAAGAAUUUUUAUGAAAAGCCAAUUUUCAACUUUCUUGACGUUUAUUAAACGUCAAGUCAGAUGUACUUUUUCUUGAUGUUUUUAAACAUCAAGAAAUAUCUAAUAAUUUUUUGACAUUUUAAAAACGUCAAGAAAUUUGUAAAAAAAUUCUUGACAUUUUUAAAACGUCAAGAUAAUUCUAAAAAAUCAUUGAUGUUUUUAAAAACUUCAAGAAAUUUUAAUUUGUUUUUGAUGUUUUAAAAACGUCAAGAAAUUUCCAAAAAAAUUAUUGUGUUAAUUUUCUUUUACAAAACGUAACGUUUCAAUUAGAUCACUUCCCCUUUUCUUAAUUAAACCUAAUUCGCCGCGACUUUGUCCCUUCUCCACCCGAAAUCAAAAGCGUCGUUCACCUAACCUUCCCUUCGCGUUCAUCUGUGCAUUCAUCUGCGUUCAUCGCCGAAAAAGACUUCCCUUCGCGUUCAUCAGCGUUCACCUUCAUUCAUUUGCCUUCAUCGUCCGUCACCUUUCGUCUUCUUUGCGUUCCCUUCACCUUCGUUGAUUUGCGUCCGCCUGUUCACCGUUUGAAAUGUGUAAACUCAUCCACUUGUAAGCUUUAACUUGCUUUAGGGGCAAGAUGGUGAAGGUCUAGUCCACAACCUUUCCCAAGAAUUUAAUGAUGUUUGGGUUGACCCAAUUAUUGUUAUUGGACACCGUUUUAUGGUAAUUGGUUGUUAUGGUUUUUAAGUGUGUUUUGAUAUCUUGUGUUAAAAAGUAAUUGCAAAAAGUCAGAAAAGUUUGUUAAAGAUUAAGUGUUUUUAAGUUUGUCAUUCCACUUUAAUUCUCACCAGUACUUGCUGAAUGGAAGCCUCUUGUCUAAGACAAUUCGAGUGGAAUAACUCUCGUGACUACCACAACAUUUGGGAACUCACCAAAUGUAAGACUAUUCCUUUAUCCUAGCAUUUGAUCUCUCUCUAUAAUUUGGUUUGCUAUCGUAAGUUUGAUUAAAAUAAAUGCUGAUAAUUCAACUCCAAUGUUCUUAUUUUCUUAACUCUCAUUCAGUCAGUUAGAAUCAGAACUCAUUUAUUUAUCUUGUCUCCAUAAUUUGGAUUCAAAGAUUCAUCACAAUAAUCUUCUCAACAACAUUCUUGAAAAGGUAUUGAAUUUUCAACUGUGUGACCUUUAUACACAAAUUUCUUCAAAGAAAUUUACAUUCUUUAGAGUUUAGAGCUUUGAAUUCUAGUACAACUUAUGAAGCUUUUGAUACUUGUUAGACUUUUUUGCUUGGUGCGGAUAAAACCUUAUUUACAUUCUUUCUUUCCUGCAUGUUCUCUUUUGAUAUUUGUUAGACUUUUUUGCUUGGUUGUCCUUAGUGUUUUCCUCUUUAGCUGAAAUUUCUCUAUCUUGAAAAAAAUAGAGCUUUAAAAUUCAACUUCAACUUUAUUUGAUACUAUCUUAGUCCAUACUUAUUUUGGUAUUUCUUUCCUUUCUCACAAACACAUCUAAGAGGUUGCCUUCACAAUAUGGCCAAAUUAACAAUAUGGCAACCUUUUUCAUUGCAAAACAUAUUAGAGGUUGGUUACUUAGUUAGCCUUAUUGGGUAAAUAAUUGACAUUUAGGUACUUUUUAGUUUGUAUAUUUAUAGAUGCCAAAUCGAUAUGUGAAUUUUAAUUGUUGCUUAUUUGAAACAUUGCAACCAUUUGAUAAAAUGUUGCUAUGUGAAUCCAUCUUAACUUGAUAUAUUAUUUUAUUUUGGUUUAGGUUGUGGAAUCCAAGUUUGUAUUUGAAGUCAAAUUCAUCCAAGAUCAUUGAGUUUCAAAGCUUCUUUAAUUAAGAUUUUGUUUCUUGAACUAGAAUUGUAGUCUUGUGAUUUUUGGAAUAGCAUAGUUGGAUUGGUUUUGUAAUUUUGGGAUUAUCAUAUUAGGUUGGGGUUGACUGAAGUAGUGUUUUGUAUAUGACAAUAUCAAACAAACAUGUAAAGUUUUCGAAAUGUUCAUACAUAUAUGAUUAAAUGUUAAUAUAUGUUAAAGUUUUGGAAUUGUAUUCGUGCAUAUUUAUGAGAUUGUUGGGCCACACUACAAGAAUUAUAGAGACAAUACAGGAACAAAAAUAUAAAUAAAUUAUAAUUUAGAAAAAAAAUGAAACAAGCUUCAUGUUUUUUAAAUGUCAUAAACAAAUACAUUCUUGACGGUUUUUCAAUGUCAUUAACAAGUAAAUUCUUGACGUUUUUUAAACGUCAUAAACAAUUGUGUUCUUGACCGUUUUUAAAUGUCAUAAAUUACAUUCUUGAUAGUUUUUAAAUGUCAUGAAUACUCAUUCACUUGACGAUUUUUAACUGUCAUGAAUAUUUGUAUACUUGACGUUUAUAAACUGUUAAGAAUCGCUAUUCUUGACGUUUUAUUAACCGUCAAGAACUUUGACUUUCUUGACGCUGGCUUCAACGACGGUUUUAAAACCGUCAAGAAUAGUGAUUCUUGACAGUUUAAAAACGUCAAGAGAGUCUAUUUUUGUAGUAGUGAAUGAUAAGCUUAUUGAGUCGGCGAUCUAGCCACUCUCACUCGUACAAAUCAAAGGACAAUCUCUCGCGAACAAGAGUUCAUAAUACACUCAAGAUUAAGACUAAGUUAUCUAGGUCAUCCUAGUGAAAUAGAAACCUAACUAGUUAAUGUAGUAACACCAAGUGGUUACUAUUUCACGGUCUGGUCUAUUGCAAUCUCAUUGCAUAGGAUACCUUCACUCGCAUGUCAACUACAUGAACACAUUGGAUCAUUGUAUUUGUAUCAAAUACAAGGUGAGUCGUAUUCAUAAUGUUACCAGGAUAAAGGUACCCAGUCUUAUCCCUAUACUAUAGACCCUUUAAGCUGAUCUCGAACAUUGAUCCUUGUAUGUCUCUACAUAAUAUUCAAUACUUAUUAAACAGUUUAGGAUGUUAGUUUAUUGGAUUUGAGUUAUUAAGACAAAACUAAUAAUAUAAUCAAUAACAAUUAUUACAAUAAUAACACUUUAUUAACAAUGGUCAAUGGAUUAUAUUUACAAUCUACGAGUUUUAGGACAUAAAUUCCAACAAACUCCCACUUGGACUAAAACUCUAGUCUCUUUGGGAUGUUCAUAAUAAAGUAAUCCUCUAACAUUGAAAAUGGUAAAAUGUACAAGUGUAUUACAUAGAAUGUGUAUAUACAAAUACAAUAAACUAGGGCAUCCUCAUACCCAUUACACAUCUGCCACUUUUCCUAGAUUACCUAAUGUACAUAACUCGCAGAUCUAGACUUUCUAGAAGACCCUUGAACACUUUAGCCAUGAGAGUCUUUGUAAAUGGAUUAGUAAUAUGCCCCACUAUUAUCACAAUAUAGAGUGAUGGGGUAUGUUCAUGUUUGGAACAACUUCCAAAUUAUGCAAGAACUUCCUCAGCAAAACUGCUUCUUUUGCUGCUUCACAAGUAUCAAUAUACUCAACUUUCAUAAUAGAGUGUGUAAUGACGCGUGGCUCAGGCUGCUUGAUCAUGCUAGGACAUGCUUCCUGCAUGUCCGAAGCCUAAAUAACCUCUUUCGCUCAAAACACACGCUCAUCUCACCUUGUCAUCCUGGCAAUCAACCCACCCUUGGCCUUGCCUAGAAAUAUGAUUUUUCUACCAGAAACUUAACUCGACUUUGAAGCUUAAAUCAAUAAGAUUCCUUCUACAAACUUACUUAGAAUGUCUUCACUAGCUUACCACAAAGUGUCACUAACAAAUUCCAAGUAUUGAGUUAUGUAGCUCCAAAAUACUCUAACAUUGUUUAGGUUUUUUUUUUUUUUUUUUUUUUUCUGAAAAUGACCUUUGAGUCUUUCUUCACUUCAAUGCCUUUCUUCCUGGUAGCCUUUCUCCUGAUACUACACUCAAUUUAGGAGAUUUUCGAAGUAGAGUUACCCAAUUAACACAAGUUGAUUGUUAACAUAAUUCGUCCAAAGUUGUACAUAUAGUGAUCCUUGCAUGCUCUUUGGUUGACACUUUUAUUAUCACCUCUUACGCCUAUACUUGCCACUUUCCACCUCAUGCAAGACACUUAUUUGGCAAAACUUAGGUAUCUUGUAUGUUGUCCACUUGUACUCUACCGCACAUCUUACCUCAUAUUGCUUAAGUCAUCCUUGGACGCAUAUCCCUUUUUCUAUAAGGGUUCUUUAGUAAAUUCUUACUGCCAAGAAUGCCUAAGACUUUUUUUUCUCGCCUAAUCUCCCAAACAUCCCUCAAUGCCUUCAACAAACCAUGCCAUCUUGACUAGCAUUUGGUUGAAUUGCCCCAUUGGCCGCAUGGCCUAUGUCCACAUAGCCCACCUCUUUGUUGCAUGACAUUCCUUAUCCACGUUCUAACUUCUUUAGAGUUUCUUGACAUUUCCUAGAUGCUUAGCUUCCUUGCCUAGCGCAUACCCUUGGUCAUAUAGCCUUGUCUUAUAGAGGUUGUCUUGACACCUUUCGGCCAUACCACAUCUCAACCUUUGGCCACCCAACAUGUCUCUUUAGAGGUUCGCUUGACACUUUUGGCCGCCUAGAGUAUGCAACAUGCCCUAGCUAACACUUAGCCAAUUUUCGAACACCCUUUAGGCCUUUCUUUGUUACGAUGACACUUUUCUUUUGUCAUCUUAAAAAUAUUAACACAUCUUCCAUAACACUUCAACUAAACUAUCCAAUCUUAAACCAUCUUUCUCCUAACAUCAACCCCUAAUGUCCUAUUGAGUUAUUUAGAUGAAUUAAGGAUUAUUGGGUAUCGGGGUUUACACGCGAGAUGUAAGUCUUCCUCCUUGGAAUUACGUAUAGUAGUGUGCGGAGGGAGAGGAAUGUGAUGCAGUUCUUCCUCCUCAACCCUAAGGAAUUCGUCUUCGCUAACAAUGCCCUUUUUAUCGGGUAAGGGCUUGUUCGGUCAGGUCGUGAGGUGAAGGAUGUUGUUAUAAUGAUGAGGUAUUUGGUGGUGAGAGGAUAAUAUUAAAGGUUUUGAGGUGUCUUCUUCUUCUCUGCCAUUCCAUUCUUCUCCCUUAGCUUUAUUAAAGGUUUUGAGGUGUCUCUGUUCUUCUUUAUUUUGAUGGAGUGUUAUGGUUUGGUUGAGAUUCGCCUGAGAACAUGCAUAAGGGGUGAUUGGAGAAAAGCUAAAAGCUUAGGAACCGUCGGAGGAAGGGCAGAUCAUUAAUUGUAUGUUACGCCUUCCUCUGACGUGGUGGCAGCAACGUUGAGAAUAGAUUUAGGGAUUCCCGACGUAUCAUUAAUCGCGUGGGAAUAUGUUUAGGGAUUUCUGACGUUUAACAAAUCAGGUCAAGAAUAGGGUGCUAUUCCCGACGUUUUCGUUGUGCGUCAGGAGUUCUCUGUCUUUUUUAACUCCAUUCUUUACAUAAAAAAAACAUAAAGAGAAAGAAAAUGAGAGAGGAGAGGGAGACCGAGAGGAAGAUUGAGAAGAAGAGGGCAUUGUCAUCUCCAUUGCCGUCCCUGUUGUCGUCCUGUCGUCGUCGCCAUCGGUAAGUGGUUUAGUUUAGAUAUUGUUUUGUUUUAGUUAAUUAGUUUUAGUAUUUAGAUUUCAAAUUUGUUUUAGGUGUUAGAUUUUAGAUUUCAAAUUAGUUUUAGUAUUUAGAUUUUGAAUUAGUUGUAAGUUUUAGUAUUGAAAUUUAAUUUCAAGUGUUGUUAGAAUUUUAAAUUAGUUGUAGGUUUUAGAAAUUUGAAUUUGAAGUGUUGAAGUUGAGAUUGAAGUGUUAAAGUUGAGGUUGAAGUGUUGAAGUUGAGUUUGAAUUUAAAAUUUUCAAUUUGAAUUUAGGAAUUAAUUGAAGUUAUUUUUUUUAAAAAAAAUAGAGGAUCUCCCGACGCAUGGUUCCUAGACAUCUCUCGAUGCUAUAUUGACAACAUCUUCGACGUUCAUACAACGUCGGAAGAUGUCUAGAAACUCUCGACGCACAACAUUGUGCAUCGGGAGAGGAACUCCCGAUACAUUUUUCCUGACUUGUGUUCCGACGUAUAUUAGUGCGUCAGAAAAGCCUUUUCUGACGCUUUUUAUAUAUCUCCCAAUGAUUUUAUGCAUCGAGAGAGCCCUCAUUUCUUGUAGUGUUAGACAAAGAGCUUCAAUGUGGUAGAGGGGAAAGGCAUGACACCUUUAGGUUUCAUCAAAGGGAGGAUUGAGGUUCUGAUUACGGCGCUAAGGUUAACUGCGCCAUCUUCUUCUUAAUGCAAUAAAUCAUCAUUGUGCACUCUAGUGGGAUGGUGUUGUUGUCAACCAGGCAGGCGGUUUCGUUUUCAAGUCUUAGUUCUUAAUUCUUAACAACCUUUGAGUAUUGAUGCUCUACCCCAACCCUCAUCCAAAACGAUAACUAACACAAUGGUUUGGAAGUUUUUGUGAAACAUCAUCUAUACUUUUUCUUUAAUGGUCGAUGAAAAAAAAGUCAGGAAAAUGGUAUUUCUGACCAUUUUAAGUGUUACCAAAAUAUCACAUUUGGUGUAGUAUGGUAUUGUUUUGAAUAUUUUUGUAAAAUAGUGGAUCAAGAAGUUUUACUAAGAUAAAGUUUCAUGUUGGACAAGAGGAUAGUGGAUGGGAAUUAAGUUGAAUGGUCCACUUUUUUUUUAAAUCCUUUAAGGUUUUAUGAAAACCUUUCACAAUACCUUUUCAUAAUCAUUUUGUAAAAAUAAUAUCAAAUCAUUUAAAUAUACCAAAAAAUUAUUUCAUUUCAAAUAAACCUUUCUAUGCUUAAAAAAUCAUUUCAUUUUGUCAAGGAUCCCGAAUCGUUCUCUACGCUUGGUCUCAUUACCUCGCGUUUAGACUACUGUAUCAACAGCAUCUGAGAACAUACAAAUUCGUCUUUGUUGCUCAUACCGCUAAGCUUUAUACGCUCAUUUCAAUGCAUAAGUCAGCUUCUUAUUACCAUGUAGUUCGUACACUCCAUAGUGGCCUUCACUCUUUAUGUGCACACAAAAGUUAGCAUCAUCUCAAAGAAACAUAAUAUUGAAAUCAUAGUCAUCAAAUCAAGCUUUAACAUUAUAAAUAAUGCUUGAAAACAUAACUUUUCAUAGAAAUCUUUCUGAAACAUUCUCAUCUGAAUUCUUCUUUCGAAUCAGUAAAGAGAAAUCGUAAUAAAGUUUCUUAACAUAAAUUCUUUUGACUGAAAAGCACUCACCAAACUUUACUAAAGAAGUCCUUCUCACAACCAUCUUUUCGUGUGGCUAAACCAACAACACUUUAGCAUUUCAACAAAACUCUCAUCAUCCCCUCCUUAGUUACCUAAAUUCUCCUAUUUUAUAGAUCCCUUAUACUAACUUAGUCAUGCAAAUCCUUAAUAUUUAACCUAGUCAUGCUCAAAUCCUUAAUCUUACAUGUUAACCCAUGUCAAAUCAGAUUUGACAUUUUCUUUACAAACCUUGCUCCCCACCUAACCCAAACCGUGAAUAAAUUCAACCACUUAACAUUUCUCGUGAAUAACCUUAUCGCUUGAUUAUAUUUUUAUUAUAAGAAACGUUCCACAUGAACUAACCAACUUUUACUCGCAUAAAACUCUUAUCACGAACUUAAACUCCAAGGCUUCCUCGUAGACUUCUUCUCCACGAAAUGCUUGAUUCUUCUCGCGAAGACCACCCAAAACUCCUAGUCUAACACUCAAAACUUUCAUUUCUUAACUUACGCAAAGACUUUUUCGCUUCUUAUCGCACAACUUCUUUCGCGAACUACACACUUAUCGCAAAAAAGUAUACUUAACCGUAAAAGAUCUUAUCACUUAAUCUUUCCAUGGAUUUAUUUGAACACCAACUUCUUAAUUCUUAGCCGAAUUUUACUUCCUUACUCGAAUUAGAAAUGGGUCGCACAACUUCCUUCGCAAACUACCCACUGAAUCGCAAUAACGUAUACUUAACCAUAAAUUUUUUUAUCGCUUAAUCCUUUUCGUGGAUUUAUUCAAACGCCAAAUUCUUAAUACCUAGCCAAAUUUACUUCAUUACUCAAAUUAGAAAUGGGUCUCACAUUUAGAGCCUAUCGCUUCUUUAAGAUACAUGAUCUUACUGAUUCAGAGAAAUUAACCACAGGCGUUAUUAGUUUUGAUGAUCUGGCAUUGGAUUGGUACCAAGCACAAGAAGAGUUGGAAGUUUUUAAGAAUUGGGCUGACCUGAAAGAACGAAUGCUUGUACAGUUUCGAUCAAUUCGAGAAGGAACUUUGGUUGGAAGAUUUUUCUCAAUCAAACAGAAAAUGAAUGUAGAAGACUACCGCAACCGAUUUGAUCGAUAUUUAGCUCUAGUAGCAUUUCUUCAAACGGUAGUGUUAGAGGAGACUUUGAUGAUUGGGCUUAGCCCAUGAAUAAAAAUGGAAGUGGAAACUGUGGAACCGAUUGGGUUGGCCCAGAUGAUGAAAUUUGCGUUGAAGAUUGAGAAUAAGGAACUAGUGAGAAAAGAGUGUGGGUUGAGCAGUGCAUUUCAUGUAAAACUGCAACUCACCCUAUCUAUUGUGGAAAACAACAAUACAAUGAUGACUAAGGAAGAAACCAGCAAUGGAAAGUCUACUGAUGAGAGCUAUCACCCUGAAGGGAGUUACUGAUAGAACUAAGACAUGCACAACAGAAAAAGAAUCGAAAUUCUACCCUAAUUGGGCUUAAUUAACGAGACUAAACCAAAAAAUAAGGUUUUUAGAAUACUUACAUUUGAAGCUGCGUUUUAUUCGAACAACCACUAAGUUUGACUUAGUAUCCUCUAGACUCAUAAUCGAGUUGUGGGACCCGUUGGAUGAAAGAACCGGACGAGAGAAAUAGAUGAAAAAAAUGGGCGUGGUAAAUUUUUUUUUUUUUUUUUAAGUAAAUAAGAAAAAGAAAUUCCAUUUGGUGUGAAAGCCCAAAUUUAAUAGGAAAAUGAAAGGGAAUUCCUUGGAAAGUUGGUUUGUGUGUCAUUAAAAGUCAAGGUGGAAAACAAAGUACAACAUAUGGCUAAAUGUGAGAGUAGGCGUGCAAGUAUAAUAAAUACCUACCAAGAUGUUUAUUAAUAACAUGUGUUUGAUACAUAAUUACAACACUUUGACCAAACAACCAAUGCUUAACUAUUUUCAAAACGUCUGGUCAUCUCGCUGCAAAUCCUUCAACCUUCUUCUCUACUUGGCCUAAACACCUCAUCUUGGAAGAUGAAUUUUUGAAAGAAUGUCUAAAAGACUAAGGUUUUAUGAAAUCCUUUUCGCAAUACCUUUUCAUAAACAUCAUUUCGCAUAAACAACAUCAAAUAAUUUUAUCUCGCAUAAACCUUUCUUUAUCCUUAACAUACUCAUAACAUAACAAUUUCACAUAAACACACAUUAGUUAACAUUCAUUCCUUUCACCAAGGAUUUUGAAUCGUUCUCUACACUUUGAUGUAGAACAUCUCCCUUCUUGAUGUUUCUUGAGUUUUAUCCUAGAGGAGUGGUUUGAAUUACCAUUUUUAUAGUUUAGGAUUAGUUAUUUGAAUUACCAAUUUUGUAUCUUGAGUUAGUUAUAACUAACUCAACUCCAAGUUAAACUAACUCAACCCCAAGUUAGUUUAACAACUCUCGUAAUCUCCAGCCUAUAAAAAAGCUUCUCAUUUUCAUUAAUAAGACAUAAAAAAAAAGAGGCAUUAUACAUAAAGAUUUCUAGCUUUGCAAUUACUGCAUCAAUUGGUAUCAGAGUGUGAUCCUAGCUCACUCUUCCCUAAAAAAACUUGGAUCCUACCACUCUUAUCCAUGGACGCAGAAGCCUCCUUCAACCAAGGCUUGCAGUUGGUAGAACAAGCUAUUGAAGAACUUCGAAAAGGGCAGUCGAAUAUACAGCAAUCGUUAGUAGAAUUAACAAACCUUUUUACCCGAUUUCAUGUCCAACCUUUAGAAGAAGCAAUUCAUCCCCCAAGAAACCCAAUUGCAGCAAACCAAGAAAGACAAGAAAGACCAAGAAACCCAAUUGCAGCAAACCAAGAAAGACAAGAAAGACCAAUAAACCCUGUUGUAAACCAAGAACUACUAAGAAAUCAACCUAUUCACAUCCACAAUAAUCGAUUGUAUGGAAACAACGUACUUGGAAAUUUCUUAAACGAUUCUGACUCUUUCGAUGAAGACAACUUGCUGAACAUUCAUCAAGAACCUCAACAAAGGUUUGGACUUCGACCAUACUUUCAAGAAGAUCAAGAAAUACGUAUGAAAGUGGAUCUCCCUACCUUCAAUGGUCGAAUGGACGUGGAGAAGUUUCUUGAUUGGAUCAAGAACGUAGAAAUUUUUUUCGACUAUGCCAAUACACCCGAACACAAGAAGGUUCGAUUAGUUGCUCUCAAACUUCAAGGUGGCGCAAGCGCUUGGUGGGAUCAAUUACAAAACAAUAGACGAUUAUUCGGUAAACAAUCUAAAGAUUAGCUGAAUAUCUUAUAAAAAGAUGUUGCCGUAGGCUUAGUGGUGACAGGUGAGAAAGUAAGCUGUAUCUUUUAUGACUCUUAAACGUUGAAGUCAAUCAAUGAGUUCCAAAUGCAAUAUUGGAAGUUUUCUUAAAUAUUUUGAUGCUUUUGCAUGUUGUGAAAGAACUUGGUUAGAUGUGAGAAAGGGGUUUAUGAGAUUAGUUACUUACUAUUCCCUUUUUCACUGUCAUUGCUACUCCGUAGACAUGCUAUGGGCUCGUGUUUCUGUAGAAUAUAAUUCAGAUGCUCUUUCUCUAGAAUAUAAUUUAUGUGCUUUCUCUACAAAUUUGAAGUAAUUUCUACUGCUUUUGCUAAUAUUCUCUAAAGCUUAUUCAAAAUGUAGUUGUUUAAUGACUGUUCAGAUUUAAAAUAUAUUAUAGAGUUAAAUUUAACACAGUUAAUCAGCUUAAGCAUUUGACUCUGGUGUUCUUAAGAUAUAAAUUCAAAUCCCUAUAAUUUUAUCAUGUUGAUCUUUUCAAUCUUCUCACAUACCGUCUUCAUUUCAUAAUCUUGCCUACUAGCUGUGUAUCAUCAAUGAAAUUACCAUAGGAGUCCACAUGUGGUAAUUAUGGAUCUAGCACGAUAUACUGCGUAUCAUGUUGUUGGAGAUCAGUUUAAAUGAUUAACCAGUCUAUUGGUGGUUUGAGUCUUUUCUUUUGAAUCUAUAGGUUGUUCAAUGGUCUAAUAUUAACUGUGUUUAGAUUUAUGGUAAUUUUCAUUCUUUUACAGCCUUAAUAACCAAGAAAAGGUGUGCUUUGAUAAUCUUUUCUUUCUCUUCAGCAUGUUGGUAAUGUAGAAAGAUUACAUGUAUACUAUGCCCAUGGACUAGAUAGCCCAACCUUUGUUCGCCGGUGUUAUUGGCUCCUAGAUAAGUAUGUUAUGGUUGAAAGAAAAUUGUUAAAUUGCUUGCUACCAGUUGUUUCAGUGGGGUCUAUCCCCAUCAUGCCACAAGCAAAGAAAAAUGAAAUUAGACAGUGGCAGUAUAUCGUGUUCUACUUAUAUAAUUUAUGACUUUCUUCUGCUUUUUGUUCAGGACCUUUGAACACAUUGUCCUUGUUCAUUACCGUGAAACACAAGAGGUUAGGUUCAACACAAUGCAUCUGCAGUUACUAAAAUAUUAUCUUGAGACAAACUUUUAUCAUUUGGACUACUACAUCUAUUUAAGAUUUGCUGAUUUUUCCUCCAUGGUUGCAAUAUUAGAACUUCAUCCAAAAUAAUGUUGUCAUGUGUGUCUUUAUGGUGAUUCAUGUGUUGAGAGUUCUCUUUCUUCUGCUAUCCAUAAAUUUAUGGAAUGGAAAGGCAAUGAUCAUGACACUAUUUUUUGUCAGAUAAACACAGGUUUCAUAUGCUUCAACUCUGUGGUGCUUCACAGCACACGGAUAAAACAUUCUGCACCCAAUAUUACCAUAAUGCAUUUGGACACUUCAUUAACAACUUCUUACAAUUAGCCUUUCUAUAUUGAAAAUAAUUCGUUGUCUUAACUUCAUGUUGCUGCUAGUUUCAAAAUUUUGCAUCCACAUCGUUGAACUCAAAUUCUGGUUCUGUCUCUAACCCAUCAACUCCGUGGCUUUUAUCGGAGGAACUUGAUUCCAAGGCUACUCAUGUUUAUUCUCUUGGUGAAAAUGAAUUGUUUGGUGAUACUGGCCGAACCUGUCAAAAAUAAAUGAGUCAAAAAUUUAAUUUACUAUAUAAAGGUUAUUAUGCUAAUUGAAAAAUAUAUUUCUCUCAAGUAUGCAAUGACAGAAAAUUAGGUUAUAAAUAUAAAAAAAAUAUAUAUUUUUAGGUAUUAUAAUUUUUUUUAAAAAAUUAUAUUUUAAAUUUUUAAUAAAACCUUGCAUUUGGGGAUUCACAUGUUGUUACUUGUCGAACCAAAAAAGAUAAAUUCGUGGUGAAAACUCUUUAAAAGCCCAAUUCGUGGAAGGAAAAAUUGAAGUGUGGCGUUGAGUUAUUUUGUUGUUGAAGAAGAUUAGUAAAAAACCCACAGCAUUAAAACUUCUUUUUGUUUCUUUAAGUAUAUUUUAGAUUGCAACGUAUUUUCUAUUUGGGUUUAGUUAGGGUUUCUCUUGUUUAUUCCAAGAUAUGCAUGGAUAGUUCAUGUUCGACUAUUUGGAAAGAGGGAUUUAUGUAGCACGGGUAUUAUAUUCUGGUUUUGGAAGUGUCGAGAUAAAUUAAGGACUUUUUUAAUCUUCUUCAAACAAACCUAUACGAAGGCGAAGAAUAAUUUGUGCUUGUAUUUUAGUCGGAAUAAGAAGAAACAUGAAGAGAAUGCCCACGAGGAAAAUGACCAUGAGAAAAAGUUGUGUAUUCCUCCAUCCAUAACUGAGCUCUCUAAUGUGUAUUCCUCCCUCCAUAACUGGCUUACUUUGGACUGUUUGGAUAGAAAGAAGAAUCCUUCGAAGCCCUAGACUUGUCUCUACCGCAUUCGAAAAUGCCAAGUUCUCUCUGAGGAUCUCUAACUUCUGCCGUGUUCACCGUCCGUCCGUCCGCGUUCACCACGUCUGCGUUCACCGCGUUCACCACGUCCGAGUUUAUCUAAUAUAUUUUUCCAAAUCUUAAAGAAGAACUUUUGAUUUCAUUGGAGUUUAUCAUUAGAGGCAUUACUAUAUUGGCUGCCUCUCAGUGGGCGAUAGGUUUUCCAAUGGUCAUUUGAGACUGGUUGAUAAUAGCAAAAGUUAGAGCUUGAGAAGAAGGAGCGAAGAAAGUAGUGAAGACAAAAGAAGAAAGAAAGCUGAGUGAAAAACGAAAAUUGACAAGGUAGAGAUGUGACAUGAAAAUGAUGAUGAGAAGUGAAGGAGGCACGACACAAUACUGGUACACAAUAACAAAGCCUUGAUAAUUAAAAAAAGGAUGGUGCCAAGAAAAUUUAAAUACAAAAAAAAUGAAGGUUCUUGCAAGUGUAUUGAGUGAAUGGGAGAAAGAAAGGAUAAAAAAGGUAGAAAGAGAGAAAGAGAAGUCAAGGGUAGAGAUACAUAGCUUUGUAUAUAGAAACUUUAUGUUUAUACUCCAUUAUACGUUGUGGAGAAUAUAACAUCCUGAUAUGUUUGAUUCAAUUUGAAUGAUGCAAUUAUUUAUUUUUCUGCAAUAAUUCUACUUCUAGAACCUAAAUUUUGAAAGCCUACUAAUUUUUCAGAAUUAAUUCGAGACCCCACUUUUGCUCCCCUUCCUACCUACGGUUACUUUUUGCUUAAACUUUAAAAGUUGUUUGAAAAUUUUUGCUGAAACUUGUAAAAUUUGUUUGAAGUUCGUAUAUCUCUCACAUAUUGCAAGGUUUCUUAAUUAUUUUAUUGAAUUUCCUACAUAAAUGCAUUCAAACAUGAGUUGACAUAAAUGCAUUUUGCUAUCAAGAGAGUAUACCAUACAUGCAUGUGUAGGACUUUUAUCCCUUAUAUUUUAUAAUUUGUCUUACUACUGUUAUUGACUGAUAUACCAAUAUACAUGUGUAAAGUAUUGAUCAUAUAAUUAAUAUUAAAUUUAUUACAUUCACUCAUCAAUUUAAGUUUUUUAGUCAAUGUAUGUUCAUGAUGUACCAUGGUCAUAUCAUAAUAGAAUAGAUCCAAGAUUAUAUAUGUUCAAACCAACUGGUGAUUUAAUUAUCAAAGAUAUUAUGAUUUUGUCCAGUUUUUUUUUCAGUCACUACUAGAAAAAUGGAUUUUAAUCAAGACAUUGUGUCGUUGAAAAUAAAAGAAAAAAGAGGUGGGAUGAGGUACAUUGUGUUGUUGAAAAUAAAAAUAUGGAUUAUUUCUUAAAACAAUCAUAUUGACACAAUUUAAUUUAUUUCAAAACAAUUUUUGCGUCAUUAAUUAACAAUUUUUUUGUCAUUAAAAAAAUUUUCAAAUGAAAAAACCUCAAAUUUCAAAAAAGUUCGAAGUGGGCUACCGAGUCGUUAUGAAGAACCCUUGCCCUCCAAUUUUUUGCCACUUGCCGUCGUCGAUUCCACACUCCAACCACUGUUGUCGUUGCUCCCACAACAAGCCUUCGCCGUCAAACCCACCAAUCUAGCCACUUUCGUCGAAUAAAUUUAUUUAGAAAUAUAAGUUUUAAUGACACUUGAAAUCAAGAAAAAGGGAUAUGAGGGAAUAAAAUGUGUCGUUAAAAAUAAAAAUACAAAAUUUUUUGUGACACAAAUUGAGUUUUCUUGACAAAAUUUUCGCAUUGUAAAUAAUGGCAUAAAUUAUGUGUCAUUAAAAAUUACCCUAAUAAAAAAUCAAUGUUUUCCUUCAAUCAUACGCUUUUUGAUUUAAAACAAAUAAUUCGAAGCUUUCAUCCCACUUGUGAACAAUGACCAAAAAAAACCUUACUUCAUCCCACAUCGUCACUGUCUUUAGCUCUCUCGCAAAUGCUCUCUGGCGACGUUCCCCCCUCUCUCGCAAAUACUCUUCACGACUUUUCCUCUCUCUCAAAAUUAAGCUCUUCGCCCACCGUUUGAAGGAACUCACCAAAUUUGCAAGUAAUUGAAGAAUUUGUGGUCCAUGAGAUCGAUUAAGUCCAUUUAUGAGUUAGUUUGAUUAGAUUAUGUCACAUAUACAUGUAUUACAAUUAAGGGACACUUGCGAAAAUGGCAAAAUAAGUUAUAAUAAUUAAGUCCAUAGAACACAUACUUUAUUAUUUGAGAAAGUGACAAAAACAAAGACCAACUGUAACGACCCAACUUUUCUAGGUAAGUCGAGGUCGUUAAUUUUUGACAAAAGACUUUGGUUGAUACAAAAUGAAAUGUAAGCCAAUUGAAAAACAACUUUAAGUCAGGCCUGAUUUUCAAAUAUUCCAAAAACUUAAAAAAAGUACUAUUUACAAAUAAAAGUUUGUAAGCUAAGUUUCAAUACAACGUCUUAAACCUAAAAAAAACAAUAAGCGGAAGCAAAAUAACACAUUUCCUAUGGCAAUCACACUUCCUUCCUGCCCCUCGCCGGUUUGCCGCCUUUAUUACCUUUGCCUGAAAAUUAAACAUAAGAAGGGUGAGUAUAAAAAUACCCAGUAAGAGACCCUCUACUGGUCCCGUCAGGGGAAAAAUAAAUUGUUAACAUUCUAUUGGGACACCCUGUACAGUCGCAGUCUUGUGAUCCCGUAGGAUGCACAUUUCAGUCUAACGCCCCGAGGGACGUACAUUUCAGUGUAGUGUUCUGCAAAAACACAUAUCAGUCUAAUGCUCCCAAUGGUGCAGAAUAAUUGGUGAUCCCGUGGGACACCUACAAGGCACACAUCCCAAUAAAAGCUAACAAUUUUUCCCCUCAAUCCAUUCGUACCAUCUUUCAGUUACUUCAAAAUAUAAAGUUCUUUCACUCAACGUUCUAACAGUCAACUUAUCUCACUUUAGCCCAAUGUCUGUCAGUAACAUACUAAUACGUCAGUCAAUCAAACUAUAUAGUCAUAACGCCUCUCAGUUCACCAGCACACAGUCAUACUUUAGUAUAACGUACACCCAGUCUAAACGACAAUCACAAGUUCACAUCCGCAUCUCAUACAAACACAAUCUACAAUUGUCGUCCUGUCUACAUCCACACACAUAUAUAUAUAUUCCAAGACAAUCACAAUAUGCAUUCAACAUCAAGUCUACUUCAAUCCAUGUGUAUAUAUAUAUUUUCAGUCAUCCACAGUAUACAUUCAACACCGAACCUACAUCCAUACGUAUAUAUAUAUUGUCUCAACACAUUUACUCAAUCAGAGGUGACUAACAUUACAAUUCAAAAGCAUAGGUGAGUCCAGUAGAAAAUAAAAUCCCUUACCUCACUUUUAUGCAAGUUCUUCAAUCUACUAAAUCCAAUGAAUCAAAUCCUAAACAUAAUCAAUCAUAAAAUCAACAUCUUUCUAAAUAGUUUCAACCAUUCAAAUUACCCCAUAUGUAAAUUCCACAACUUACCCAAGAAGUGGAAAAUCAAGUCCACUUCAACCUUUUGGAAAAUCAAGGAUUCGCUCACUGAAUCAAGAUGUACCUUCAAGAAUUAAGCAUUUCGCCAACAAUUAAAUCCAAUGGCAGCAUUCAACAAAAACCAAGAAACCAACAAAAACCAUAACUUGUUCUUACCCAAAUAUGAGCCCAAUGGUUCACGGCGAGGCAAAAAUGACAAUCAAGAACGAAUCAAGCGGCUGUAAAUAGAGCAACACUGAAUGCGACUCAACUGGAAAAGAAAAUCGGCUUCAAAUCGUAACUGUGUCUUACAACGAGCAGAAGAACGUCGACUUGAUAGGGGACACGUAAUUUAGGAAGAGAUCGGCUUGGAUCCGUGUAUGACUUCACGAGAUGUAUGCGUCGACGGCUUCACGGAGGUGAAGACAGACGCGGUCGGAGAGUCGCGCGGCAGUGCAGAAAACGGAGGAGAAAGGAACGGGCGGCGGCUGGGCUUGGCUUCGACGGAGACAGAGAUUGCGCAGCAGGUCUUCACGAACGGAGAGGAAAGGAAUGGGCACGGCGACGCAGAUCUGGACGACUGCUGCAAGGUGACGCGUACGGCUUGCUUCACGAACCGACCGACGAUUGCAGCGACGGAUCUGGGUUAUGGCGAACUGCAAGGGUGAAGCACAUGCGGCGGCGAGGACCUGGACGGCUCGGCGAUGCAGAUCUGGACGACGAUUUGCUUUCCGAGGGAGGCACGACGGUUGUGAGCGAGAGGCACGGCGGUUGUGAGCGGCACGGCGGUUGUGAGCGAAUGGGCGCGGCGGUUUCGAUCCGAAGGAGAAAAGGAAGACGACCGGAAAGAAGAAGAAGAAACGACCGGCAGCUUGUGUGGCCGACUGGGUGAACGGAGAAGAGAGGGAUGUGCGGCUGCUAGGGUACGGGAAGGAGAAAGGGAUGGAGGACGCACGGGAGGAAGAAGGAAGGAAAAAUUUCUUUUUUCUUUUCUUUUAUUUAAAUAAUAAAAAUAAAACUAAAAUAUAAAUAAAUAUAUAUAUAAUAAAAUUUCUUUUUCUUUUCUUUUAUUUAAACUAAAUAAUAAAACUAAAAAUAUAAAUAAAUAUAUAUAUAAUUAUAUUAUCACAUUUUCAAAUCUUCUUUCCCCCCUUCAACAUAUUUUCUUCAAAACAAUAAAUCUUGUACAAAUCGAAAAAAUCUCUUAAAAUAAAAUACCUUCGAGUUUGGGGCGUUACACCAACUCACACAUCAAGAGGUAAAAUGUCACAAAUGCCCUCGUUAUUGAUGUACAUUUGAUACACCUUAUACACGUCUGAUACACCUAAUACCUCUUGAUACAUUAAGUCCAUUUAUGAGUUAGUUUGAUUAGAUUAUGUCACAUAUACAUGUAUUACAAUUAAGGGACACUUGCGAAAAUGGCAAAAUAAGUUAUAAUAAUUAAGUCCAUAGAACACAUACUUUAUUAUUUGAGAAAAUGACAAAAACAAAGACCAACUCACACAUCAAGAGGUAAAAUGUCACAAAUGCCCUCGUUAUUGAUGUACAUUUGAUACACCUUAUACACGUCUGAUACACCUAAUACCCCUUGAUACACUUGAUACUUCUUACUGAUACACUUGAUACAUUUGAUAGAUACAAUUCAUGCACUCGGUACUCAUUGAUACACUCGAUACUUUUUGAUACACACCUGAAACAUCUUCAUACACAUAAUACUUCUCGUUCCACAUAAUACUUCUCGUUACACUUGAUUCUUCUUGAUACACUUGAUACCCCUGAGACCUUGAUACACUUGAUUAGUUUGAUACACUUAAAGACUUCACUUAUAAGUUUGAUACACUUGAUACACCACUAAUAAACUUGUUAUACUUCAUUGGUACACUUAACAAAUUCGAUAUGUUUGAUGUACAUGCACUACAAGAAAUUUACCCUUUGUCGAUGACAAAUAUCGUCAGUAAAUCUUCAAAAACUAAUCAACUUUUCUUUUGCCAACGAAAUUAAGCUGUCAACACACACCGUCAGGUAGGUCUGUCGGAAGAUCCUCUAUCGAUGGCAAAAAAUAAACUGUCAGCAAAAAUAGGAACUAUCGAUGAAAUUGAACCAUCAGUGGGCGUGUGUGUGUGCGCUCGUGUGUGCGCAUGUCCACGUGUGCUUGGGUGUGUGUAUGCGCACAUACAUGUGUACGUGAGUAGGUGUUUGCGUGUUUCCGUGUGCAUUUGUGUGCGUGCGGUUUGGUGUGCGUGUGCAUGUGUGUGUUUGUGUGUGUGUGCCUAUGUUCGUUUGUGUGUGUGCGUGUAUGGGUGCACGCGCGUGCAAGUGUAUGUAUGUGUGUGCGCGUGUGAUUGUGUGUGAAUAAGUUGAUAUUUUUUAAUGUUGAGUUUCUCCCAAUUUUAAAACAAUAAUUUAAUUAUCUUGAUAUUCAAGCCAUUAAUAUUAUUGUGAGAUAAAGAUAGUGAAUAAGUUGAUAUUUUUUAAUUUUGAAAUUCAGUUAAAGUUAUUUUGAUACAAAAUCUAUUGCUGAGAUUAUCAUAUUCUGAAAAAUAAUAAUUUUGUUAUUUUGAAAUUCAAUUUGGUUAUUUUGAAAUUCAAAUUCAAUUAGGUUAUUUUGAAAUUAGUAAGAUUAAAUAAAGUUGAAGUCUUGAAUCCAUUAGUUGAGUCCCGAGAUAUUAAGAAAAAAGUAUGAUAUGAGUUUAUGUAUCUUUUUCAGGUAAAAAAUAAUUAAAAGCUGAUAAAUGCAUAAUAUAAAUUAAUUACAAUAUAGAAACAAGAUAAUUUUAGUUGGAGAAUGUGAAUAUUUUGGUAUUUUAUAAAAUAUUAUGCACGUGCAAAAAAUGUUAUUUGCUAAAAUUAACAAAAAAAUAGUUUUGCCAUUUUUCAAAAUGACCCAUAAAAAUGUUGCUAUAUCUCUUAUGACAGAGUGUAUAUCUACUGGUUCAUAUUCGACAUGUUUGUUGCUAAUAGAAUUGGAUAAAAUCGCAUUAUAUUGAAAUAAUUACACGAAUGACACUUUUAAGCCAAUAUUGGUAGAAAUUAUAGUUUAAUUAAUGUUAUUAAGUCAAAUGAACAUGGUUUAAAAGUCCUUCUAAACACAAUUAAUGUAGUUGUUUUUUAAUUUUAACUCAUUUAUACAUCUUUAUGCAUAUGUGCGUGUGUACGUGUGCGCGUGUAGGUAGGUGUGCGUAUGUGUAUGUGCGUGUGUUCGUGCGAGUGUCCGUGUGCAUGUGUGUGUGGGUGUGUGCAUGUUUGUAUGUGUUUGUGCAUGCGUGUGUGUGCACGGGCUAUUGCGUGUGUGCUUGGGUGUGUGGGUGUGCUCGCGCGUGCGUGUUUGUGCGCGUGUGUGUAUGUGUUUACGUGUGUGCUUUUGUGCGUACGCGUGUGUGCGUUUGUGCAUGUGUGUGUGCUUGUGCGCGUGUGGAUAGGUGUGUGUGUGUGCAUGCGUGCGCGUGUGCAUGUGUGUGUGCGUGCGUUCGUGCGUCUGUGGGUGUCUAUGUGUAGGUGUGCGUGUGCACGCGUGUGUGUAAGUGUGCAUGUGUACGUGUGUGCGCAGUGCUUCUAUGCUUGUGUGCGAACAAGUUAAUAUUUUUUAAUGUUGAGUUUCUUCCAAUUUUAAAAUAAUAAUUUAAUUAUCAUGAUAUUCAAGGCAUUAAUGUUAUUUUGAGAUAAAGAUAGUGAACAGGUUGAUAUUUUUUAAUUUUGAAAUUCAAUUAAGGUUAUUUUAAUACAAAAUCUAUCGUUGAGACUCUCAAAUUUCGAAAAAUAAUAAUUUUGUUAUUUUGAAAUUCAAAUUCAAUUAGGUUAUUUUGAAAUUAGUAUGAUUGAAUAAAGUUAUUAAUAUGUUGAAUUAAUUAGUUGAGUCUCGAGAUAUUAAGAAAAAUAUUAUGAUAUGAGUUAAUAUAUCUAUUUCAAGUAAAAGAUAAUUAAAAGCUGAUAAAUGCAUAACAUAAAUUAAUUACAAUGUAGAAACGAAAUAAUUACAGUUGAAGAAUGUUGAUAUUUUGGUAUUUUAUAAAAUACCAUGCACGUGCAAAAAAUGCUAGUUGCUAAAAUUCAAAGGAAAAAGUAGUUUUGUCAUUUUUCAAAAUGACCCCUAAAAACGUUGUUAUGUCUCUUAUGACAAAGAGUGUAGAUCUACUGAUCCAUAUUCGAUUUGUUUUUUGUUGGUAAAAUUGGAUAAGACCGCAUUAUAUUGAAAUAAUUACACGAAUGACAGUUUUAAGCCAAUAUUGAUAGAAAUUAUAAUUAAUCAAUGUUAUUAAGUCAAAUGAACAUGGUUUAAAACUCUUUCUACACAUAAUUAAUGUAUUUGUUUUUUAACUUUAAUUAAUUUACACAUCCUUGUGCGUGUGUGCAUAUGUGCGCGUGCGUGUGCGUGUGUGGAUGGGUGUGUGUGCGUGCGUGUGCGUGUGUUGUGCACGUGUGCGCGUGUGCUUGUGUGCGAACAAGUUGAUAUUUGUUAAUGUAAAAUUUCUCCCAAUUUUAAAAUAAUAAUUCAAUUAUCUUGAUAUUCAAGUCAUUAAUGUUAUUUUGAGAUAAAAAUAGUGUACAAGUUGAUAUUUUUUAAUUUUGAAAUUCAAUUAAAGUUAUUUUGAUACAAAAUCUAUCGUUGAGAUUCUCAAAUUUCAAAAAAUAAUAAUUUUGUUAUUUUGAAAUUGAAAUUUAAUUAGGUUAUUUUGAAAUUAGUAAGAUUGAAUAAAAUUAAAAUCUUGAAUCAAUUAGUUGAGUCCCGAGAUAUUAAGAAAAAAGGAUGUAUCUUUUUCAGGUAAAAAAUAAUUAAAAGCUAAUAAAUGCAUAACAUAAAUUAAUUACAACGUAGAAACGAAAUAAUUACUGUUUGAGAAGGUGAAUAUUUUGGUAUUUUAUAAAAUAUCAUGCACACGUGCAAAAAAUUCUAUUUGCUAAAAUUUAAAAGAAAAAGUAGUUUUGCCAUUUUUCAAAAUGACCCAUAAAAACGUUGCUAUAUCUCUUAUGACAAAGAGUGUGCAUCUACUGGUACAUAUUCGACUUGUUUUUUGUUCGUAAAAUUGGAGAAAUUGAGGACACAACUCCAAUUCCUAGCAUGGUUUCUCCCUAAGACUAUGCUGGUCCUAGUCGGGGAGUGGCAUUUACAUCCCAGAAAGACACACAUGUAUCACCUCGUGUUGGCACUUCCAUUGCAAUGCACAACUCUGACAUAUAUAGUGCCGACAUUUCCUUCCUUAAGCUUGAAAAAAAGGUGAUUUGAUGUCCAUAAAAAAUUAACUGAGCAGUUAGAUAUUUUCUAAUAUGUAUCUCACGUAAUUUGAUGCUCAUUGAUACUGCAGUACUGUGUCAGGAACGUGUUGAUGUAAAAUCUUUCAGUUUUGAUGGAUCUUAUUACAAGCUUUCAACUCUUCUUAGCACGACUUCUGACAGAACAAAGGUUUGAUAUAUCUUUACACGAUCGCAUAUCACAUAUGAACGAUCGCAUAUCCCAUCUGAAAUAUCGAUCACCCUUGGUAAAACAACCGUUUAGAUAUUCUACACGAUUGUUUGCUUAAGGAUACACGAUCAUUUUGUAACUAUUUUUUUUAUUAUCCUUUUUUCUUUCUAUACUAGAACCAGAAUCAAUUGUUUGAUGAUAUUAACAACAUGUAUGAUGAUCUUCGUGAUGAUUCUAGUCAUCACAAUCUGGACAAGAAUGAUGACCAUCAAAAUAACAAACAUGUGAUCAUCCAUGAGAAUCCAUUUGUUCAAGAGUCACAUCUUCAAGAAUCUACUGUAGAAACUCAACAGUUAGUGUUUAAUUCAUUAGUUACCGCUUUAUAUUGUUUAAAAUUGCUUAGAUUAUAAAUAAACAACAAUAAUUUUUUUUCUUUUCUGUGUAGGGAACAAAAAUGAACAACGCCUCAACAUCAAGAGUAGUCAGGCAGUGAUAUUAGCAUAUAUGGAAGAGAUGCACAUUUGAUAUUAACUAUAAGUAAUAUAGCAGAAAAUAUGGAAGGUCAUACUCAAACAGAAAAGGGAUUGCUAGAAAUGAUUGAAAAUCUUCCGUUGGUAAGCCAACCACUUCCACUUUGUGAGAUGCUACCAUUAACUACUGUCAAAGGUCUUGCAUUAGUUUAAUUGGUAUGUGUGCCCUAAAGGGAUAAAAGCUCUUGGCAGUGAAAGAUUUUACAAAACCAUUCAUCAAUUUUAAUUUGAAAAUUCCAAAAUACCAGUACAUUGACAAUAUUUAGAAUCAAAGUUCUAAAUAAAGAACUAAAUAUGCUUUUAAAUUAAAAGAUACAUAGAAUUGACUCUUGUUGACGUCUCUGAAUCUAGAAUCCACAGAAUUUGGGACACCACCCGUUGGAGACCUUCCUAUCUUCGAAGAUGAGAUUGGUUUGUGGAAAACAAUUGGAAUGAAAAAAAAAUUUAGAGAGAAACUAUGUAACACCCCCAAUAUCAAGGUAUUUCUCUCAAGCUAAAUUUUUAAAAUUUUAUUAAGAUUUUAAGGAAUUUGGUUGUGGUGUGGAUUUAGCAGGAAGUGAAGGGGGCUUUUAUGAAAAAAUAUACUAAUACUAAAGGUUAAAUAAUAAUAAUAGAAUUAAUGUUAUUAUUAAUUUAAAAUAUCAAUUCUUUAUUGAUUCACGUGCAACCCCAUCUCUUUCUCCUUCACUCUUCCUCUUCCCCGUGCCCACCGCCACCUGCCUCCCUUAGCCAUUUUAUAUUACUCUUGGACGUCAGCCGGCCACGCCGUCAUCGAUCCCUUCGUCUCCGUUGAAGCCGAAGCACCGUUCGUCGUGAGUUCGAACUCUCGGCAUCGCGUCUCACCUCUGUUUUCCAGCCAAGCUGUGAUUCAUUCGCGCGUAGCUCCUUCGACGUUCGCGCCACCACAUUCUGCUCCAGGUGACGAGGAGCGUCAACGAUUGACCUAUCAUCUCACCGGCAUUGUUACUUAGUUGAAGCAGCCGUCGACCAGACCUGAGCCCGUCACGUCUGUUGAAGUGCUGUCGCGCGGCUCUUCACCUUUCAGCCAUGGGUUGUAAGCUGAAGUUUGUUUUUUGUUUCUUGAUUAGAUCUGAUCUAUUACACGCGACGAUUCCAGUUAUUCGAAGUUGUUGCCCCCAUUUUACUCUAAUUUUUGGGAUUUUUGUGGUAAGUUGUAUUGGUGAGUGUGGUGGUUUUACAUUGUAAUUAUCCUUGGGUUGUAGUUUUGGAUAAUUAGUUAAAUUGUUAAUUGAUUCUUGAAGUUAGCGUUUGAGUUCUUUGGAUUCACAACUAAAUUGUAGAUUUGUUGGAGUUCGAUUCGCCAAUACUUUGAUAAAGCUAGAAUUUACAUUGAGGAAAUUAAAUGAAAGAAAGUAUUGUGAAAGUAAUUGAGUUCCAUAUUCUUAGUAUUAGGUUUCCUUCGUUCGAGAAAUUUAAGUAACAUUAAAGUAAGGGGUUUCUAUUACUGGACUCUUUGAAAGUUUUGAAAUGUGUUGACUGUUUGGAUCUCUGGACUUAGUAUGGUUUACCAAAUAUGUAGAAGUAGAUAUGAUGACAAAUGUAUAUUAUGCCAGACUAGUAUAGAAGUAGAUACGAUGGAUAAUGUAUUUGUAAACUGAGAAAGGUGUUAUGUAUAUAUAUAUAUCUUGACUGUCUGGUGUGUUGUUAUAGUAUCAACUGAUUUUGUGAUAGAUUGAAUAGAUUGAACGUAAGUGUGUUAAGUUGGAUUGAUGAUAUGAUUGUAACGACCCAACUUUUCUAAGUAAGUCGAGGUCGUUAAUUUUUUUUACAAAUAAAAGACUUUGGUUAAUAUAAAACAAAACAUAAGCUAAUUUAAAAACAUCUUUAAGUCAGGCCUGAAUUUCAAACAUUUAAGAAAACAUAAAAACAAUACUAUUUACAAUAAACGUUUGUAAGCAAACUUUCAAUUCAUCUUAAACCUCACAAAAACCCAUAAGCGGAAGCAAACAACAUAUUUCCUAUGGCAGUCACGCUUCCUUCCUGCCCUCGCCGGUUUGCCGCUUUUAUUACCUUUGCCUGAAAAUUAAACAUAAGAAGGGUGAGUAUUUAAAUACUCAGUAAGAGACCCUCUACUGUCUCGUCAGGGGAAAAUAAAUUGUUAACGUUCUAUUGGGACACCCUGUACAGUCGCAGUCUUGUGAUCCCGUAGGAUACACAUCUCAGUCUAACGCCCCGAGGGACGUACAUAUCAGUCUAGUGUUCUGCAGAAACACAUAUCAGUCUAAUGCUCCCGAAGGUGCACAAUAAAUUGGUGAUCCCGUGGGACACCUACAAGGUACACAUCCCAAUACAAUCUAACAAUUUUCCCCUCAUUCCAUUCAAUCCAUCUUUCAAUUACUUCAAAACACAAAGUUCUUUCUUUCAACGUCCUAACAGUCAACUUAUUUUACUUCAGUCAUAUGUCUGUCAAUAAUAUGCUAAUACAUCAGUCAAUCAAACUAUACAGUCAACACACCCCUCAGUUCAUCAGCACACAGUCAUACUUUAACGUAACGUACACCCAAUCUAAAUGAAAAUCACAAGUUCACAUCUGCAUCUCAUACAAACACAAUCUACAAUCUUCGUCUUGUCCACAUACACACACUUAUAUAUAUAUUCCAUGACAAUCACGAUAUACAUUCGAUGUCAAGUCUACUUCAAUUCAUAGGGAAAUGUCCUUCAAAUUGCUUAUACUUUAUAUUUUUUUUAUUUUGGUUUUCUUUAGUAAUUGAGACUGUUUUGGGUUUCAUGAUUGAACGACUUUUAUGUUCUUGAACUUUCUUUAUUAUCGAUACUUUUACACUUUCAAAAUUUUAUUUGAAAUAGAGACCGAAUAAAAACUCUUUAAUGUUGUUAAAAAAUAUUUUUUUAAAUUACAAAGUUUUAUGGUUAAAGGACGAAUCUAGUCUUAAAGUAAUAACUUCAGCUUAAUUCGAAAAAUUAGGUCGUUACAAUCUAUUUUGCAUAAAAGAAAAUCAUCGAUUUUAUUUUGGUUAAGAAAAGCUGUUUUUCUUCUACAUAUUUAUAACUCUCUUUCUUUCAUUGAGUAGGAGACGGGGUAGGAGAAAAUCAUAGGAUUCUAUUAACUUAAAAAAUAUUAAAUUAAUAGAAGUUUCAAAUCAAUUAGUUAAUAAUUAAUUAAAUUAUAUUUAAUUAAUUUUUCAUUUAAAUCUUAUUGAAUGAAUAUCUCUAAUUGAACUAAGCAUGGUAGCUACAGGUAGUUCUCUAAGAUCUUUAAAAACUAAAUUUACACUGUCUACACAAUUUGAUGUCAUCAUUCUAUAUAUGAAACUCAUUAUACCUGAGAUAGAUUCAACCAAUUUAUCAAAGAACCUUGGAAUCAACAUGUAUGAUUUAACUGUGUCACCUUUUAAUAUCUUUACUAUGUGUUCUUUUGCCCUCCAAGCUUUCUGCUAACUUAUAUUAACUCCAAGAUUUGUACAUGCCUUAUGCACAAUUGCUUUCAGAAUGAAACGAUCAAUAGACAUGAACCUGAACUCAUCUAUCAAGCAACUGUCAAUUACUGUUGAAGAAGCUUGCAUAUGACAACUAGUAUUCAAUGAACGGUCAUGUUCAUAAUUCUACUUAUCCAUCCAAUUGAAUCUGUUCACAUAUUAAAUCAACUAGAGAAUUAAAGCUGACUCGGACAUCUACCAAAAUUUCAGCAACUAAGUAAUUCUCAUAAAUAUUACAUCCAUUCCAUUGACCUCCAUAAAAAACAACAAUAGGAAAAGACAUUAUAAUCUGUAAAAAAAAAAAAAAAAUUAAGUAUUUAAUUGGGAUAGAAAGAAAUAGAUAGACAUAGAUAUACAUUUAUUACUGAAUAAAAGAAUAAAAUGUACAAAAUGAUAAUACUAAACACAAUGCAAGAAUAAGUAAACGAUCGUGCAAUGAAAUAAUAUACAUUAAACGAUCCUAUUAACCGUGAUAAACGACCAUUUAACAACGGUAAAUGAUAAUAUUGAUUAAAAUAAAUUAUCGUGUUGACAUGGGUACACGAUCAUAUGAUAUUGGUGAUCGUAUUGAAUAGUGUAAACAAUCGUCUUGUUAUCGGUACACGAUCGUGUUAAUAUUUGUAAGUGAUUCUAUUGAUAGUGGUAACUGAUCGUGUAAUUCGAUGUAAAUUAUCGUAAAAAACUUUAAACUAUCGAUCUUUAUAAUGAAGUACAUAAUUCUUACAUUAAUACUUAAAAUUUGUUGUAACGAUCCAACUUUUCUAACUAAGUUGAAGUCAUUAAUUUGGACAAAGAGACCUUGAUUGACACAAAUUAUAGUAAAAUUCACUUGAAAUCAUACGAUCAAAGAAAACAAACUUAAGUUCGGGCCCUAUUUCAAAUAACCAAAACUUUAAAAGUACUAUUUACAAAACAACAGUUCGUAAACUCAGUUCCAUCACAAAAUUUUUAAACAACCUCAUGUACAAAGGAAAAACAAGAAACAUAAAGCGAAAGCAUUUGAAGAACAUUCCCUUAUGGCAAUCACGUCUCCUUCUUGUCCCUCGUCGGUCUACCUCCUUUGUUACCUUUGCCUGAAAUAGUUAAACAUGAAAGGAUGAGUAUAAACAUACCCAAUAAGAGACCCGCUAUUGGUCCCAUUAGGGGAAAAAGAAACUGUUAACUUCCUAUUGGGGUACCCUGCACAGUCACAGUCUUGUGAUCCUGUAGGAUACACAUAAUCAGUCUAAUGCCUCAAAGGACGCAUAAAUCAGUCUAGUGUUCCGCAGAAACACAUAUCAGUAUAAUGCUCCCGAAGGAUGCACAUAUCAGUCUAGUGCUAUCGAAGGAUGCACAUAUCAGGUGGUGAUCCCGUAGGACACCUACAAGGUAACUACCCAAUAGAAAUCUAAUAAUUUUCCCCUCAAUCCAUUCUAAACAUCUUAACACUCAUUCAUAGUACAGUCCAACUACUUCAACAUAUAAUCCUUUCACUUAACACCCUAAUAGUCAACCUAUCUCACUUGAGCCCAAUGUCAGCCAGUAACAUAUUAAUACAUCAGUCAAUCAAACUAUAUAGUUAUAACACCCCUCAAUUCACCAGUACAUAGCCCUACUUUAGUAUAACCUACACCAAAUCUAAACGACAAUCACAAGUUCACAUCCACAUUCCAUACAAACACAAUCUACAAUUGUCGUCCUGUCUACAUCCAUACAUAUAUAUAUAUUCCCAGACAAUCACAAUAUGCAUUCAACAUCAAGUCUACAUCAAUCCAUGUAUAUAUAUAUUUUUUUUCAGUCAUUCACAGUAUACAUUCAACACCAAGUCUACAUCCAUAUGUAUAUAUAUCGUUUUGACAUCUUUACUCAAUCAGAGGUAACUAUACAGACAUCACAAUUCAAAACUAUAGGUGAGUCCAGUAGUAGAGAAUCCCUUACCUUAUAACCUUACUUAAGCUUCUUUUUCAAACUAAAGUGCAACGAACCGACCUAAACAUAAUUGAAGAGAAAUCAAUCACUUCCACAAACAAUUUAAUCCAUUCAAUUCACUCUAUAUGUAAAUUCCAUAACUUACCCAAAUUGUGGAGAAUCAAAUUCUAACGGAGACGGAUCGGUGCAACAAAUAACCAAACAAUUCAGAUCUAAACAUACAUGGCGUGACAGAACUGGAGUGACUCGGGCUAACGGUUAUGCGACGAUAGGAAAAAAUUUGCUUGACGUUCUGUGUAGGUGGAAGACGGUGGUGAAGUUGAUUGGAGAAGGAAAAGAGAAUGAAGAAAAGAGAGAUUAUGCAUACACUGUGAGAAGCACACAAAAAAAUUGAAAAUAAAUUGAAAAGAAGAGAGAGAUAAGUCUGAGGGAGAAAUAUUCAUUUCCUUUUCAAAGUGAAUUGCAAAGAAAUUUUCUCAAAUUGAAAAGAAAGGAGAAAUAUACAAAGUCAGCCACCGCUUCUUCUCCCUUCAGUUUGCAGUUUUCGUCUCCCUCUCUUCUAUUAUUAAAAUAAAUAAAUAAAAUAUCACAACCCGACUUAACACAAACUAUUUACUCCAACUUUUUAAACUACAAAUUUAAUUUCUCAACUUUUAAACUAUUUUAAACUUACAAAUCUACUUUAUUCAUUUCUUCAUAUUUAUAUCUAACAAAUAAAAAAAAAAUCAAAAUUUAUAGACACUUAAAACAUAAAAUUGAAAGACCUAUUAAACAAUUGAAAGGUUUAAGAGGUAACUAGACAAACUUUAAAAGUUCUAAGGGAAAGAAUCUUUUGUUUAACUAUUACAGUAAUUAAUUUUGAAAAUAUGUUAUUUUAGAAAAACUACAAGUGUUUGACAACUCUUUGAAAGCUAUUGAAAUACUCUCAAAUUGUAUUUUAAGCAAUUUUAAUAAAAAGAAAGUCUACAUAAAAAAAUUACCCUUUUUAAAGGAACAUUUUUUCUCUAAUCACUCCAAUGGAACUCAAACACGUACUUCAAGUUAAUUCUGGUAUCCAAGAAUCAGUCUCAUCCAACAUAAACAAGAACAUUCAACUUGAUAGAACUUCAUUACCUCAUUUUUACAAUUCCCAAAGUUACUAUAUGAAGGACCAUUCCUAAAACAUACUUACAUCCAACUUUCUCCAUGAAUAAACUUAUCGUCUUUUAUGUACUGAUGAAUAUAGAGAUGGAGCGAUCAGAGUUUGUUUAUGUACAAAAUUAGAGUGAGUUGAGAAAAGAGUGGAUUUACACAAGGACGAAAUGGCUGGCUGCUGCUUGUUCAAAACUGAAAGUUAGGGUGACCUUGUUUCUCAUAGGGACUCAGCAAAUUGAGGGGCCUCCAGGUCUACUUCUGGUCUCAUUAUACAUGCCAUUAGCCAUUCAACGUUGAAAGUCCAUAUCCCUUUUUCUACGGCCACCAAGGCUUCCUCCACGUCUUCCUCACAAGCCACAAAGAUCGUCUUCCAUACGUUGUUUACUUUAUCUAGCUCAUGAAUCACCUAAAUUUUCAAGCAUAAUGAAUUUGCCAAAUGAGAGAAAAAAUUAUGUAUAUACUACAAGGAAAUUGCAAGAAUUCACCCUAUCAAAAAAUAUUAAACAAAUUCUUGUUCUAGUCCCUAAAAUUUUCCAUCUUUUCCCAACUUUCAAAAUGAUUCCUAUGAGAUAUAUUCCAAUCACAUAUAGCAGAAAUGACCGAUGAGUAUUGGAUAAAUGAAUAUUAGUUGAUAAAAUAAUUUACAAAAUACUAAAAUCGUUAGUUGGCUACGUUUUGGAAGCUCGAUGAUUAAAAUGGAUGUUUUGAAAGUUCUAAGGCUAAAAUGGAAUUUAAAUCAACAUAAUAGUAAGUUCAAGAUCAAAGACAAGCUAAACAAUAAAAUGUUGCAAGCAGAAAACAAUCUAAUCAUAAUUAGAAACAUGAAUGUAUGUAUUUGUAAACCAAAUCACAAAAAAUAACUCCAAAUUUCGAUCUAGAGACAAUUAAAAACUUGAACAAAUUUGAUAAAUAAAGAAACACGGAGAUGGCCAUAUGACCCCUUGUGCAUAGACUUUUUACAUUACAUGCUCAAUUCCUAGGAUCAAAACAAACAUAAAUAUUAAAGACUUAAGCACAUACACUCUAGAUUGGCUAGUGUAUCAAUAAACAAUAUGUAUGGAACACUCGGAGAACACGUGUUGAACACUAGUUAGUACAGUAGAUGUGUUAGACAACAAGUACUUAUUGACUUUGAAUUUCUAUAUAAAUAUGAGACAUACUUUUUAAAUUAUAUAUAUUAAAACUGUGUUCUAGCACUAUCCUAUAUUUUUUAGAAAAAAAUGACACGUCACCAUGUCUAUAAUUUAUUGACCCAUGUCUAGAAUUCGUAUACGUGCUUGUUUGUUGAGAACUUCACGUCUUCAUUAGAUGGGAGGAUAGCCAUAUUAUAGUGGUCUAUAUGUAAUAUAGAGAACCAAACCUAGUACUCGAGAUUUGUACAAUAACAGAGAACUUACAUUUCCACCGGUUGACUUGACUAUCAAGGAUAGAGUUUCAGGUGGUGGUUGAGCGUGAGCUGAUAUGCAAACAUCAUACCCUUCAAAUAAAGCUCAAGAACAUGCUUUUGCCCUGAGAACUGCAGCUUUUAGGCUGGCUCGAUACUUCGAUAUGUAGUCAUCAUCAUUUAGUAUGUAAGGAAACUCGUCUGCAUAUCAAUAAGGAAUUAAUCAAUCACAAAAAUUAGGUAGGAUGAAAAACAUAAGUGGAAGAAAAUACAUUACGCUUUGAUACUAGCAAGCCAUUCGAACUUACCAACAAAUCUGCCUUCCCGUUAGGUUUCCUUUAACCAACUGGAGGAGAAAAUCCAAGCUCUGAGUAAUUUGCAAUUAACUUGCAAUUUUAGUAACAAGAUAUAGUAAAAAUUAUGAGCAAGAGCAUACUGACACACUUGAAGCCACAUGGUAAUGCAUAUGCUCGAUAAUCAUUGAGAACAUUAACAGGAGAAAAUAAAGUUAAGAAAAGUAGCUUGAAGAACAAAAAACAUUCUACAACAUAAAAUCUUCAAAAACACAUUGCUUAAAAUCAAGUUUACUAAUAUAAAAGGUAAGAUAUUACGUUCCACUCUCCACACUACUGAAGUUCAACAUUUCACAUGAAAGAAAUGAAAUACUACUCUCAAAUAUAACUGAAAAAAGCAUAAAUGGGUAAUGAAAAAGCAUAGAGAAAUGCAAAAGAAUCCUUGGCUUUGAUAUAUUGAAAGGUAAAGAAUAUCAACCAUAGAUGCCCGGGAGAAGAACUCCUACAAAUACACACUUAACGCAGAUUAUCAUUCGCUAACAUGAGACCUUCUAGACGAAUUCUGUUAGGAUACUUCCAAACAAGAACAAAAUCUUAAUUUAUUAUAAUGAACUAUAAGAAAAUACAAGAUAAAACCAAGUAUAAGGCACUUGGAACCUCUCUCUUGAGUACUCUCACCCAAGCCCUAGAUCACUCCCCAGAAUUCUCCCCUCACUUACCCUCCCUCCAUUUAUAAUAAGAUGUAACCACACUUACAUAAUAACUACUAGUAACUUUCUAAAUGAAAGAGGUGGGCGGCUGCUAGGGUGAACGGAGAAGAAGAAAGAGAUGGAGGACGCACGGGAGGAAGAAGGAAGGGAAAAAUUCUUUUUCUUUUCU
rnacentral:lncRNA from 1 species